CCGCAGAGCGCAGAGGCGGUCGCACGCGGUGCCGGCGGCUCUCGGAGGCAGGACGCGGCUGCUGCAGCUGGCAUCUGUGACUCGGCCUUCUCCACGGCAUUCUCCCGCCUGGCGGGUGCCCACCCCCGGCUGCCCGGGCCCCGCGGACUUGGAAACCUGAGGCCGAGAGAGGAUCUGCCUUUAGCGAGUUCCUGGACUGGCAGAGGGGUUUUCCCGGCGCAAUCUGUGGGUUCACGAGGGCGAUGCGCAGGGAUGAAAAGAGAAAAGGUGCGUCCAGGACCGGUGCUCUGCCAGCGCAAGGAGGCGGAGCGCGUUCAUGGGGUCCUCCCGGCGCCUGGCUUAUGCCUGCGGCGCGCCCACCCCUGGGGACCGCGAGGCAGCCGCUUGGGGACCCCAGGCGAGAUUCCCCGCCAUCUCUGCGGUGGAGAGGCUGGGGGUUGGCGGCGCUUUGGCCUUGAAUGGACAGUGGGGAAAGGGAUGGGGGCUCCCUAACGUGGAUUACUUGGCGCUUAUCAGCUGGGCUCAGAAGACCCAGGACUCCUCUUCAUUAGUGGAUUGAUUCCUUCUACCUAACAAUCGGUCGCUAAGCUGGAGGUAAGUUUCCUUUCAGUUUGGGGAAGGGGAUUUGAUUUGCUCCCUUCGUCCCCCACCCCUCCGCCCCACGGUGUCUCUUCUUGGAGAUCAUUUUUGUCAUCCCUCUGUCUCGAGGAGGAGCGUAUUCCCUCCGGUUGCAGUGAUCAGCGACCACCCCAGCCUGGCAUUCUUGGUUAUUAUUCUUCAGGCUCCAGCGCUACCAAGCCUUUGGCUACCUUUUGGGACAGAGCGUUAGCUGGAGGAAGCGCCCCGCGUCCUUACGCACCGGCUUGGCCCUGGCACUUACCUUCUUGCUUGGUCCCCCUCCGGUCCCGUUAGUUAGGGAGCGAGCGCUGCGCUCCUAACAGCUCCUGACAUCUGCUCACUGGCGACCCAGCGUGCUGCUGGGGCGCAGCUCUUGGAGAAGGACCCGAGGUCAAUAACUGGGGCUAGGAGGGGGCCGGAGUGUUUGUUGAUUGGCCCUACUGAAAGUACUGGCCACCCUCAAUGGAAGCCAGGUGGCUGCGUUUGGCCAGAGUGUAAACAGGGUUCCUGAAUGAGUGGGAGAUGGCAGGAAUUUAGUCCAUUGCAUUCACCUGCCACCCUCCUACCUCCUCUUUCCUCUGGGCAAUUUGUAAUGGAAGAGGUUUCUUGGCCAGUAUGGGAGGGGGUCUAAGUCUUGAGUCCUGAACUGAAAGUAAACGAUUUGUGCAUCUACAGUUUCCUUCUCUCCUUGUUCUUUUGUGUCGUCCCUGUUUGGGGUAGCCAUCUAGGACCUGUCACUUCAAUGUACAAAUCAGGGUCCUUUUUUCCUUCUCCCUUCUUGGCACUUGUCCUGAACUCCAGGACUCUGCCUCUGAAGAUGGUUUCCUGGGGAUGCUUUCCCAGCUGUGGGAUUCCCUCCUCCACCCACAAACCCACCUGCAGCCUAUAGGUUCUCUCAUGGAACCUGUUGGUGAUGAUGUUUCCCACCAAGUCCCUCCUGCAUAGAAAACUACAGGUGGUCAGCAUCUUCCAGGGUUUCAGCACCUCUAAAGAGCACCUGCUCGGCAGGGAGAGAGGCAGGCAGCAGAGGAAGGGAAAAAAAAAUCAAACGGUGAUAGUGCUGAUAUGUCCCUCUCCCCCAGAAGUUGGGGUCCUCAGCUGCCUUCAGCCCCACCUGGCUCCCUGGAGCUGCCCAGGUUGGUGCAGCAUGAUCCCAGGCCAUUCCCCCACCUCCCCCUGCCCAGUUCUCAAGCUGACCCUGGGGAAGGACUGUUGAAACUGCUCUGCUCAACAGUGACCCAGAGUGCCACCUCUGCAUCCCACCCAUUCUCUUUUUCUCCUUUACAGAAAGCUGCAAAAAAGGUGGAAAAUGCAGGAAGAAAUAGUAAAAAAAAAAAAAAAAAGCAUAUUUCCUCACUGGUAAAAUCUUGUAAUUUGCCCAGCUCUGUUUCCUGCUCGAUUUCACCCUUGAUUUCAUUUGAAUGUUUCCCCAUGCAGUGAUUCUGUGAUACUGUAUUCCACUGCAGGUGAUGAACUAUAAUGUGCUUGAUAAUCCCCCCACUGUUGGCCACUAAGGUAUUUCCAAACUUUCACCCCCAGAGGUAAGGCAUUGUUGAUUCUCCUUCUACAUAAGGAUUUGUCCACAUUUUGGUUGUUGCCCUGUGGAAAAUCCCCAGAAAUUGCUAUUUUUUUUUUUUUUUUUGGUUUUAAUUCAGAAUCAGGUCUACAGUUGAAGGUGUGCCUCUGUUGGUGAGCAUUUCUUGCACUUAGAGGCAAAGGCCACCACUUCUCUACCCGAUAGGCCCGCAUCUUGGGGAGGAAACACAGGUAUAGGAUAAAUGACUGCCGACUGAAUGCAGGGUUUUGUUCGGUUCUUCUUCCUGUGUCAAAGAGUUGAUCAGCUUUGGUAUGAGAAUGUCUUAGACUUUGCCUUCAGGACUGUGGUAUGAAUAGGUUUAGCAAUGCUGUAUGUAGACAUAGUGUUAAGUAAGCAGCUAGAGGAAAAUACUGCCUUGUCUUAAACAAUAACUUGGUUUUGAUAUAAAUCUCGAUUUACAGGAAAGUUGCAAAAAUUGUACCCAGUUCCCCCAUAUCCUCUUCCAGCUUCCCCACUUGUUAACGUUUGACACCCCUGUGCAAGGAAGGUCCAGCUGCAGACAUUAACAUUAAUACAACGCUCACUCAUAGGUCUUACUGACAUUCCUCCAAUGGUCCCACUAAUGUCCUUUUCUGGUUCAGGGUCUAAUCCCUGGUCCUACAAUGACAUCUUGUAAAAGCAGAAGCAGAGAGGGUCACAGUAGAUGGUCUCUGUUCUGGAGAAGGUUUAAAAUUGAGAUGGUCCCUUUACCUUCCUUACCAGGAUAACUAGCCCCCUCCUGAAUGAUAGCAGCUGAGUCGGAUCAUAGCCCUGGGGCCUGGAGGAGCUCUGACUGAACAUGGGAAACCAUCUGUGUCUCCCCUUCUUUCUCUCCAAACCUCCACUGGGAAUGUGGUUGAGUAAAAAUCGGGUUAUUACCCAAUCUGUCCCAACACGUCUCUGGGGGCCAGGUAGAUGGAUGUCAUCUGGUGUGCGUGAGAGCAGGCUGCUAAGUCACUGACUCUGCGGUUGACAAGUACACCAUGCAAUCAGUGCCUGUGCUGGUGACUCACGCCGCAGGUGUGUCAGGGAGCUCAUGGUGCAAACCCAGCCAUGUUGCAGUUCCUGGUCAUCUGGGCAGAGCUAAGGAACAUGGGUUCUUGCUCUCGGCUUGGGAUGGAUCGAGGGUGUUGUUGGGUAAUCUUGGGUGAAGACUGACUCUCCUUUUCUUUUGGGGCUUUCUUUGUCUGGAGGGGUGGGGGAUUUGGGGUGAGGAGAGCUAUCCUGAAGGCGCUUGGGGACGCAGCUAAUGUGGGUAGACGCUGGCCCAAGGUCUUUGCACCAAGAGAGUGCUCUUGAGAAGUUUAGGAAACCCAAAGAAGACUGAUUCUUGGCAGUGACCGUCUAAACGGGCCCUUGAAGUCUAGCCAACCACAGAGCUCACUCUCUUCCUCCAGGAAGCCUUCUUGGCUGACCUUCACAUGGUCUUCUGCGUCCUACAACAGAGAGACCAUGUGAGUCUGAGCCUUUGGCCUGUAAACCCUGAAGAUAAGCACCUUGGUGUCUUUUCCAAUGUGGAGUGGUCACCUGCACAGAGCAUGGGUGAUGUUUGCUGGGGGUUUAGAAGUUUUAAGGUGCCUUCAGUCUCCACAGAACACCCUUCUGUUGGCCAGGUAGUUUCUGUUCCUGCCAGGGUCUGUUUGUCUGGACUUGGCCUUUCGUCCCCUCUGUGAGCACGGCCAGCCUUCCCACAGCUUGUGUAUAAAAAACAACGAUUCCACCUCGCUGUCCUCAUGCACCGUGGUGCAGGUGUCCUUGGUAACCGGCUGGCUCCUAGGGGAAAGGGGAGAGGCGAUGUCACUGUCAUUAUGGAGCAGGCCGGGCCCAAACCAGGCUAUCCACACCUGGUUUGUCCCUCUCCUUCACGACUCCUGAAGUCCCUGCUCUCCCAGAGGCCGCAGCUCUUCACAGAUCCAUGUGGGCCCCUUCAGAAUGUUCACUUUGGGAUAACUCGCUGUGUUCCCACGGUCUGUUCUCAGGGGGCGGUUGGAGAAUGAACUGCUUGGAGAACCUGCCAAUAACACUUAGCAGCCCCUUCUCACCUUUAGAGGUUCCGUUUUGGUUUGUCUGAGGCUGGGGAGGCUGCUUGGGGUUCCCCAGUUUCUGUGUUCCACAGCCCAUUCAGACAGAGAUGGACACUUUAAGAAAUAGGGAGUCGACUGAUUUUUGGCCAGCUCAAGUCUAAAUUGAGGCCUCCCCCACCCCGCCCCAGCUCCCCUGGAACUUAGCCAACCACAAAGCUCUCUUCCUCUCUUCCAGGAGACCUUCUUGGCUGACCCGCACCUGGCCUGGACCGCCAUUUGCACUUAGGGGUUGGUUAGUAUGGGUUUUUACCUAGACAUCGUGUGCCCUUUGUCCUUGGCUGAGACAGACGUGGCCGCGUUGGGGUGAAUGAUAAAGGAACUGCGGAUCUGGGCCACGGAUCCAGUCAGAUCUGCAGCAGUCCUUCCCCUUGGGAGUGCGAAGUCCCUGGAGCUUGGGAACUUCCCCUUCCCUGCUGCUUCCUGGUACAUUAGCUUGCUGGCGUUUGCGUGCAGAUUAAUNACAUUCCUCCAAUGGUCCCACUAAUGUCCUUUUCUGGUUCAGGGUCUAAUCCCUGGUCCUACAAUGACAUCUUGUAAAAGCAGAAGCAGAGAGGGUCACAGUAGAUGGUCUCUGUUCUGGAGAAGGUUUAAAAUUGAGAUGGUCCCUUUACCUUCCUUACCAGGAUAACUAGCCCCCUCCUGAAUGAUAGCAGCUGAGUCGGAUCAUAGCCCUGGGGCCUGGAGGAGCUCUGACCGAACAUGGGAAACCAUCUGUGUCUCCCCUUCUUUCUCUCCAAACCUCCACUGGGAAUGUGGUUGAGUAAAAAUCGGGUUAUUACCCAAUCUGUCCCAACACGUCUCUGGGGGCCAGGUAGAUGGAUGUCAUCUGGUGUGCGUGAGAGCAGGCUGCUAAGUCACUGACUCUGCGGUUGACAAGUACACCAUGCAAUCAGUGCCUGCGCUGGUGACUCACGCCGCAGGUGUGUCAGGGAGCUCAUGGUGCAAACCCAGCCAUGUUGCAGUUCCUGGUCAUCUGGGCAGAGCUAAGGAACAUGGGUUCUUGCUCUCGGCUUGGGAUGGAUCGAGGGUGUUGUUGGGUAAUCUUGGGUGAAGACUGACUCUCCUUUUCUUUUGGGGCUUUCUUUGUCUGGAGGGGUGGGGGAUUUGGGGUGAGGAGAGCUAUCCUGAAGGCGCUUGGGGACGCAGCUAAUGUGGGUAGACGCUGGCCCAAGGUCUUUGCACCAAGAGAGUGCUCUUGAGAAGUUUAGGAAACCCAAAGAAGACUGAUUCUUGGCAGUGACCGUCUAAACGGGCCCUUGAAGUCUAGCCAACCACAGAGCUCACUCUCUUCCUCCAGGAAGCCUUCUUGGCUGACCUUCACAUGGUCUUCUGCGUCCUACAACAGAGAGACCAUGUGAGUCUGAGCCUUUGGCCUGUAAACCCUGAAGAUAAGCACCUUGGUGUCUUUUCCAAUGUGGAGUGGUCACCUGCACAGAGCAUGGGUGAUGUUUGCUGGGGGUUUAGAAGUUUUAAGGUGCCUUCAGUCUCCACAGAACACCCUUCUGUUGGCCAGGUAGUUUCUGUUCCUGCCAGGGUCUGUUUGUCUGGACUUGGCCUUUCGUCCCCUCUGUGAGCACGGCCAGCCUUCCCACAGCUUGUGUAUAAAAAACAACGAUUCCACCUCGCUGUCCUCAUGCACCGUGGUGCAGGUGUCCUUGGUAACCGGCUGGCUCCUAGGGGAAAGGGGAGAGGGUGCUGCUAUCCACACCUGGUUUGUCCCUCUCCUUCACGACUCCUGAAGUCCCUGCUCUCCCAGAGGCCGCAGCUCUUCACAGAUCCAUGUGGGCCCCUUCAGAAUGUUCACUUUGGGAUAACUCACUGUGUUCCCACGGUCUGUUCUCAGGGGGCGGUUGGAGAAUGAACUGCUUGGAGAACCUGCCAAUAACACUUAGCAGCCCCCUCUCACCUUUAGAGGUUCCGUUUUGGUUUGCUGAGGCUGGGGAGGCUGCUUGGGGUUCCCCAGUUUCUAUGUUCCACAGCCCAUUCAGACAGAGAUGGACACUUUAAGAAAUAGGGAGUCGACUGAUUUUUGGCCAGCUCAAGUCUAAAUUGAGGCCUCCCCCACCCCGCCCCAGCUCCCCUGGAACUUAGCCAACCACAAAGCUCUCUUCCUCUCUUCCAGGAGACCUUCUUGGCUGACCCCCACCUGGCCUGGACCGCCAUUUGCACUUAGGGGUUGGUUAGUAUGGGUUUUUACCUAGACAUCGUGUGCCCUUUGUCCUUGGCUGAGACAGACGUGGCCGCGUUGGGGUGAAUGAUAAAGGAACUGCGGAUCUGGGCCACGGAUCCAGUCAGAUCUGCAGCAGUCCUUCCCCUUGGGAGUGCGAAGUCCCUGGAGCUUGGGAACUUCCCCUUCCCCGCUGCUUCCUGGUACAUUAGCUUGCUGGCGUUUGCGUGCAGAUUAAUUCUACUUCUAUUUCUGGCCAUCACUGUCCUAGGCGAUGUCACUGUCAUUAUGGAGCAGGCCGGGCCCAAGUGAGCACCCCCUCUCCCCAGGAUAGAUGUCUGCCGCUCGCUUUGCAAGAGGACGGGAUUGAUCCCACAAGAACGUCUUCCUUCAGCCACACCUUUAGCUAAGGACACCCUGGCCCAAAUCACUGGGGCUCCCUUGCUUCACUGAAUAGGUUUGCCCCAAAAAAAAUGCUACACAAAACCAACUUUGGCUGAUUACGUGAUACCAGGAGGCCUGGAGGAAUCAUGACCCAGCAGGAAAGCUGAGGUGGCAGGUUCCUGUCCAGGAAUGCUUUCUGAACCGUGAAUCAUCACCUCCUCCCAUAUUUGGUGUGUUGGUACAGGUUUUUGCACAGAAGUCCUGAAACCAGGCGUCUUUGUGUGUCGUGAAACAGGCGGCUGUGCUUGGGCCGACCAUGUGGGACUGCAGUCCUGUGGUUCUGAAGCUCUGGGAACCAAUGGGCCGAGAGCACACGCAGCGCAACAGUUUGGAAGAUGCUGAUUCGUUACGGUUUCGUUUUAAUGAUUAUCAGACUCAUUUCUUUUGCCUAAAAAGUGUGACCCUGACAACAUUUCACUUUAUUGAAAAGAAAUUUUUGUUGGUGCACUAUGAUCAUACAUAGCAAUGGGGUGCAUUGUGCCACGUUCGCACAUGCACAUAAUUGAUCAGUCCUAUUCCCAGGACAUUCCAUUUCACCCCGCCCGCCCCCUGCCAUCUGCUGGCUCCACUCUCACCGAAUUCCCUUCUAUUAUUAUUAUUUCAAUUAGCGCAUUAUAAUCGCACUCAUUUCGUUUUUGCCAUUUACUUUCCUAUGCGUGAAAGCAUAGGACUGAAAGGCCCCAGUAGGACAGGCCAGGAAGGACCAUGGCUGUCUGACCAGCAGAUCUAUCUGAAAAUUGCUUAGGGAUCUCAGGGCAUUCUUUUUUCCUCCAGCUUAGUGCCUGUAGGCUUCUUCUCUCCUUAAUUCUGCAAAUAUUGAGUGCCUGCUGGAUGCUUCUUAGAUACUGGAGCAACCUCUGUGGUUCUUACACAUGUGGUCUCGAGUGGUCUUUGUGCCAAUCAAAGGGUGACUUGAGGAGGCGGCAGUCUUUGCUGGAGGGAUUCUGCUGUGCUUUAUGUGUGGAAAUGAAGAUGCCCGAGAUGCUGGCCUCUGGGGACAACUCCUUCAGGAGUGAACCACUCAGGACCUUUACAAUUGCCUCUACAAUUGUCUCCCUCACUUAACUCAUUUUUAAAAAUGUAAAGGUUUUUUAUUGUGACAACAUAUACACAACAUAAAAUGUACCACCCUGAUCAUUUUUAAGUGUACAGUUCUGGCAGCUCGAAGUGCAUUCGCUUAGUUGUGCCCCCAUCCACCUUGAAGACCUCCAUCUUCCCAACUGAAACCCUUCAGCAAGAGUUCACCAUCUCUCCUCCCUGUCCCUGGCAGCCACCUUCUGCUUUCUGUCUUCAGGAAUUGGACGUCUUAGGGACCUCGUGUACAUGGAACCACACAGUGUUUGUCUCUGGGUGUCUGCCUUUGGUCGCCUAGCAUGGUGACCUUCUCGGUUGACCCACGUCGUCAUGGCUCAGGAUUCCUUCUUCAAGGCUAAAUGCAUCACGAUGUGUGCACAGACCUCGUGUGCCCAGACCUUUCCUCCUGCCACCUUGUGACUGGGAGGUGCUUUUAAUUCUGAGGAGUGGUCUUCACCCAGGAAACCACGGAGCAGCUGAGUAAGUGGGCAGCCCCCAGCUCUGAAUGUGCAACUCUUCCUUCUAAAUUAGAAGGUUGGGUGGUCAGCAUGUUCCCAAAGUCCUGAUUAUUUAAACUGUCCCACUUGAAAUCACCCUGGGCCUGAGGAAGUACCCAAACAUGUUCCCUGUCACAGAGAAGGACAUUAGGGUGCAGGUGGGAGAAGGAGGCAGGGAGACCCAGCAGAACUCACCUGCAGACCCUAACUCCUGACCUGGUGAACGCAGUGAGAAGUGGGUGCUUGGAGGUGUUGGUGUGGAGCCGGGGCCGGGAGGAUGGCAAUUAGGCCCCCGACUUGAGAGAACUCUGGGGCGAAUCUUCUCUGCCAAUGUGUCCUGCAGGGUCAACGUUCCUCCAUGAAGUUUGUUGAAAGUGGAAUGGAGAUCUGUAUAUGAUUUAAACAUGUUUAAUCAUACAGGUGUCUAAAUAGAGAGCCCUUCUCUGCAGUCAGGUGGCUUCAGAAGCGCAUCCCGGAGGGUCGUGAGCUGGCCGUCGGGUUUGCACGGCAGCUCGUGGAGAGCUGGGUCCUGGCUGGGUCGGGGUGGUCACCUCCUUCUAGGACUUUCUGUCUUGGGCUGGGACUGAAAGUCCCAGGGCUCCAUCCUCCAGGGGGGUUAAGAUUUGUAGUAAGUGGCUUCCCUGACCUCGGGGGGCUGUGCCUGCCUCCGUGUGGCUCUCACAGCCUCUGUCCCUUCCCACUCCUCGUGAGAGAAAGUGGGCCCGGAGCUGCUGUAGAUGUGCUCUUUCCAUCCGAACUUCCUCACGGAGGUGUUUCUUUUCACAGUGAAAGUUGAGGAGCCGUCAGUGAAGCUGUGGUUCCUGCACUUGAUUGGACGCUUCCCUUGUGGCUCUCUCCUCUCUGGAGGGGAGGGUCACCUGCCUGUCACCCUGCUCCUUCACCUGCAGCCCAGGGUUGGCCGAGGGAGGUCUUCCUGAAUCUUGGGGAAUCUGUGGUCUUUGGCAAGCCGGCCAGGAAGCUCCGGUGUUCAGGGCUUUAAUUAAAUGUGUCAGCUCACCGAGGAGCCAAGUCUGACCCAUUUCUCAUUCCAGCCGGACCCGGGGCUAGUGGCCUUUCCUGCUGUCUUUCUUCCUCACCUUCAGUGUCUUCCUUCAGGCUGUCCCCACUGUUGUGAGGGGACAUCCCCACUGUUGUGAGGGGACGGGCAUGAUCCCCCUUCUCUAAACCCUUCUUUCUGCCCCUGGCACCCUGGACCUCUGAAGGACACCAGCCUGGGGAAGGUGGCAGCGUGACCGGGUUCACAGGUCUGCCUGCCCACUGGGCCAUGUCACUUGUCCCUGAAAUCAGGGAAGAGUUCAACAGAUGAGCUCCUUCAGCCAAUGCUCCCUGCCCGUUGGCAGGGUUCUAGCUGAAAGGAGAGGGUCAGGCGCAGAGAAGAUGCUUCAGUCUUUCCGUCUCUGAAGGCAUUUUGUCCCACUGUCCCAGAGGCGGACCCCUCUGGAAACUUAAAUGUAGCCUAUGACACAUGAUCAUAUACUAGGAAUAUAGUAAUAUUGAUAAUAUAACCACAGGUAUGAGCUCUAGAUGAUGAUUGCCAACCUGUUUGAAGGCACCUGCGUCAAUGUCAUUGAAGUAUUCGCAGAAUUGAAAGCUUGGGCUUAAUUGUAAGGUGGGAUGUCAGUGUGGCUGCCACUGGGAUUUGAGGCUUAGAUGCAUCAAGGAGCAUCCCUCAGGCCACAGGGCUUUGAAGACGGGGCCGGGGUUCAGAGUGGGGCCCUAUCCCACUGCAGUCACCAUGGUUGUACUGACCCAACGCUGUGGGUCAGUUCCUCACCCCAGAGUCUAAUGAGCCUGGCCAUUUUCAGUUGUAGGUCCCAGUUGCAGGAUCAAGAGUUUUGUUGGUGCCCAUGACUCUCACGCGAGGCAUGGGGGCUGUGAUUUGUGGGUCUUUUUCUCCAGCUGUGUCCGUCCUGUCCUGUCUGUAGACAGCUUCAUCCUUAGGUUGAUUUCCUCAGGGGAUCUGAAGGGGCGGCAGUAUUUGCAGAACCUCCUGCCUCUUUGGUUCUUUUGUGCCUUCCUGAGAGCUGGCCCUGGGGCCACGCCCACUCCCGGACCCCCAGCUGUGGCGAGGGGAUGGGGUGCAUUGAUUGGCGGUCCUGUGGCUUCACCCCUGACUCUGGGGGUGAAGGCAGCGUCCCUUCCCCUGGAUUCUGCAAAAGGAAAUGAAGGCCCUUAGGAAGCGGGACAGAUGCAGGGCGGUCCCACCCCGUGUUCCUGGGACGAGUUGGAAUACUGGGUACUGCACCGACAUGCGUGCUGCUGGGGCAGGGAACCAGUUGUGUCUGCCUGGUACCUAGGAGAGUGCCCGGGACACCUUUGCGUUCAGUAAAAGUUGGCAGACAAACGAACCGCAGCAGGCCCUUCCUCAGACUCAGCCUUCGUCUGUUUUGGCUUGGGGACAUCUUCUUGCUCCAUCAGAGAGCUGGCAGUUUGGCUCUUAGGUUGCUAAAUCCAGCCUUGCAGUUGAUCACUGGUGACUGGUUCUGGUGACAGAAUUAUCACUGGAAUAGCAACUCGGUGCUUGGAAUGGCACCUCUUACCUGGAAUUUCUUCAAAGAAGGGAAAGCACGUUACCUAAUUUGAGCUCCUGUGGACUAAUGGGGCUGCCUCCAGUCUGCUUUGGAGAGACAGAUUUUGUUCCUCUCCUGGUGUGAAAAGCCCGGUGACAGGAGCGGGGGGUAAUGGAUCUGGGCAGACUUCUGGGCUUCUGCAUUGACAGCCAGUGAGGUGGAGGCAGGGGACUGAGAACCAGGGAGGCCAGACCCGGGGCUGGUCCAGGAGUGCACACACAGGCAGAUUCAUUCCGGAUGGCUCCUUUGCGUUCAGACACUCGUGUGCCACCAGGAGGACGUGUCUGGGUGCUCCAUGUGAGAGACGGCUUUGAUCCCCAGGCUGCGGAGUUCCAGGUGGGACCCACUGUUGCUUGUUUGUCCUCUGGCUACACAGGUAGGCUUUGUUUGAGGAGCAGUGACUCACGCUCAUGGGUUGUGUGAGCUCUUGGAGGAAACCCUGCUGCUCUGGCAGGUGUGACCAGCUGUCCUUGUUUGCCAUUGUUUUGGGGAAAAAAUAUCUCAUUGUCAUUGAGGUAGACUAUUCUGUCUAAGCUUGAGUAGGAAUAGCCUUUUUAGGGGGUGAAGUGGAGGCGAGGGAGGGGCUGUUUGUCCCAGUGGGAGUGCUAGCCCUAGAUGAUGAUUGCCAACCUGUUUGAAGGCACCUGCGUCAAUGUCAUUGAAGUAUUCACAGAAUUGAAAGCUUGGGGCUUAAUUGUAAGGUGGAGAUGUCAGUGUGGCUGCCACUGGGAUUCCAGGCUUAGAAGCAUCAAGGGCUUGGUAUUGCCCCAUUUACCAGACGGGGAAGCAGAGGAUCCAGGUGCUUAUGUUACUUGUGCAAAGUCCCCCUGAUGGUCAGUGCAGAGCCAGAACUUUAUCUGCUUCCAAGUUGGGCACGUGACUGCAUCCACCUAGUUGCUAGCUGUGAGCUUGCGUCCUGGUCUCCUUUGGAAAGUGCCAUUAGUCACAAAUAAGUGGAUGUCAUCCUGUUUCUGUUGCUAUGAUGCAUCUUUGCCAUUUUCUCCCAGGAACCCCCUGGAAGCUUUAAAACAGUGUUUCUUUCUUCUGCCUUCUCAGGGCAGAAGUGAGACCUGCCACCUUUUAGGAGUGAAUGAAGAUAAGACAGUGUCUCAGUGUUAAAGUAAUGAAUUCCAAAACGAGUGGAGAGGUUCAUUAGCUAGACUCUCCUCUAUGAGAAAUGCUCAUUAAUGGCUCCCCAGGUUCAAGACUCCCCCAGUUUACCUCUUUUGAUUGCCAUUCUUCUUAUUGCUCUCUAUGGACGUGAAGUCUGGUUUGGAGAGUCAAUCAUUGCAUAUACUUCUUGAUGGGCAGGUGGUGGAGUCAGGAUCCAGUACGUCUUCAAAGCCUGUACAUUUCCUACACUAUUUGCUUCAGACGUGUGUGUGCCCAGCAUGCAUAUCGGCAUUGUUAAUGCCUGUGAAGGUCGCUGAAGUGGGGGCUUGCUUUGCCUCAUAUUUAUUUAUUUAUUUAAUUUAUUUUUUUUUUUAAUUUUUUAUUGUUGGCUGUUCAAAACAUUACAUAGUUCUUGAUAGAUCAUAUUUCACAAUUUGAUUCAAGUGGGUUAUGAGCUCCCAUUUUUACCCCAUAUACAGAUUGCAGAAUCACAUCAGUUACACAUCCAUUGAUUUACAUAUUGCCAUACUAGUGUCUGUUGUAUUCUGCUGCCUUUCCUAUCUACUAUCCCCCCUCCCCUCCCUUCCCCUCCCCUCCCCUCUUCUCUCUCUGCCCCCUCUACUGACAUUCGUUUGUUCCCCUUGUAUUAUUUUUCCCCUUCCCCUCACUUCCUCUUGUAUGUACUUUUGUAUAACUCUGAGGGUCUCCUUCCAUUUCCAUGCAUUUUCCCUUCUCUCUCCCUUUCCCUCCCACCUCUCAUCCCUGUUUAAUGUUAAUCUUCUUCUCAUGCUCUUCGACCCUACUCUGUUCUUAGUUACUCUCCUUAUAUCAAAGAAGACAUUUGGCAUUUGUUUUUUAGGGAUUGGCUAGCUUCACUUAGCAUAAUCUGCUCUAAUGCCAUCCAUUUCCCUCAUAUUUAAAUCCCCCAUGAUUGCUGGCCUUUAGUGUGAUGAUCCCGGGGUGGGGCCGUCUCCUAGCAUCCUGAAUAAUCAAUAAAAAGGCUUGUGAGAUUGGACGCAGGUGUUGCAGUGGGCUGGGAUGGCAGACACCCCUCAUAAGGUGUUCCAUAGCAGUUUGUGCUCAGGGUCCUCCGGGCAGACCAACGUCUUUCUGUCGACCAGGCUGUGCACGGUACUCCCUGACCUGAGCUGAGCCUCCAGAAGAGCUCCAUUGCUGGGCUUGCUCUUCUGCUGCUAUGCCUGCAGAUGGGGAGAGGUGCCCCGGGCUGAACCAAGAUCGCCUUCAGGUGGGCUGAGGGUGUGGAAGCCUUGCCCACCUGAGCUGACUCAAGUCAGCUGCCAUGUGCCCUGCCCUUCACAUGCAGAACCUGUAAGUGGAAAUGAUUGGGGGGAUGGAGAGUGGAGCCCCUGGUGGCCUCGAGGUUGGAGCAUUGGAGUUUGGAGGAUGCCUCAUGCACUGGAUGGAGUAGAGUGAAUCUCACAUCCCUGCUUCCCCAUACUUCCCCUGCCCCCUCUAGCUCAAUCCUUUGCAAGCCUAAAAUCCUGGCUCAGUGGCUCUGUCUGCUUGGACUAUAGCUCUGCAUGGAUGUUGUUGGGUUCAACUGGGGGAAGAGAAGGGUUUCCAUUCCCUAACCAGGAGGUCCACUUCCUGUUCUGGCUUUUUUCCUUUGAAGUAUAGAGUUUGGACUGUGGCUUUCUUGGCUUACGUGCGACAACUUACGUAAAGGUGGUGUGCCCACUUUGGUGUGCAAGGCAAAUAUGAUGAAUGAGCCCAGGAAUUUCCACUGGCUCGAGCGUAGGUGUGGGGAAAGGAGGCAGACAGCACCCUCUGGCUCUUCCUUCCUGGGGUCUGGAAUGAGCUUGGCUCAGCCCCUUUCCCCAGGAUCUUGACAGGUUCUCCUUUCCUCCUGGGCCGCACCUUCCAUCUCCUUUCCUUCCUCUCCCAGGGCAUAGUCAGUGAUCCUCAGCUUUGGAGGUGACAUUGAACCCAUCAUUCUUGUCCAGUGGAUGUUGCGGGUGAACUUUCUAAUUGUGCAUACUGACAUGAGCCCUGCAUGCCCCUUCUCUGAUUUCAGCCCCUGCUCUGAUGCCGACCCCAGGAAAGCCUUGAUGUAUACGGAGUGACUCUGCAGGUGUGGGGAGGCACACUAUGCACUCCUGUGGGGUGUGUGGCUCUGGUCCCACUGGAGCUGGCUCUGAUGCAGACACAGCUUGCUCUCUGCAGGUGCUGCAGGCGGCUGUCUGGCAUGGUCCUGAGAACCGUGUGCCUCCAGCCCCCGAGUCUGGAGUCUGGAUUUCUAUCCACAGGUCCCUGGUUGUCACUUGCCUUUGGCUUUGGGCACAUGGCACUUCACGUCAAGCCUCAGCUUCCUUUCUGUGCUUUGGAACCCGCUGAUGCCUGGUUCUUUUUAGCACAGGAGGUGUCUCCUUAUUUCCCUCAAGUCCUGCAGAUGGCAGAGGAGGAGGAAGGCAGGGUCUUUCUCAGUGGAUAGUCGCCCAGCUCUGUCAGCAGCACCCCUCAGUCCUCUGGAGAAGUACUCAAGCAAACAAAUGGUCCUGCCGGGCGAUCAUUCAUGACAGUGUUUUUUUUUUUUGGGUCACGGAUUGAACCCAGAGGCACUUAACCACUGAGCCACAUUCCCAGGCCUUAGUGAGACAGGGUCUCUUGCUAAGUUACUUAGGACUUUGCUAAAUUGCUGAGGCUGGCUUUGAACUUGUGAUCUUCCUGCCCCUGGAAUGACAAGUGUGCACCACUGCACCUGGCUUGGCUGUCUUUUUAUAUGGUGAGUAGCUGGAAGCCUGAGUGACCCUUUUCUCCUGUGGUUUGGAGAACGGUAUUUAUUUGUGGGCUUGGGGGCGCCUGCUUACCCUUUCCAGGGCUUACAUUGAGGCUCAAACUGCCUCCAGAGAAUUGAUCUUCAGAACCAAGGCUUGAGGCCCUUCCUUCUGGUCAGAAGGGAGUCCUGUUUUGUGUGCUGGGAGGAGCGCAUCUUGGAUUUGGGAUGCAAACCUGGUGCUGCAGACUGAUGCACCGCCAGGAGCCCAGACCCAGCUUUCCCUGUGGGGCCGCGUGUGCUUGCCCCCUAGCAGCUCCCAGGCACAGAGAUGCCUUGUCACAGCCCGGAUUGUUCUGGGCCACUCCCCCAACUUCCCACCCUGAACGCCCUCCCCUCCCCUUAGGAAAAAAAAAAAAAAAAAAACCCUCCCUUCCCUCUUUCAGCAUCCGUGUCUUUAAGAAUCGCCUCCAUUGUCGCCCGGGACAGAGAGCGCUCUGUGAGUGUGCGGGAGGCCUGUCCUGGGGACGCCCCCCCCUCCCCAUUAAAAGACCAUCCGGAACAAGCUCCCCAUUCUCCUCUGGAGAGGGUCCCUCUGUCCCAGGCCAAGGGACUCUUAAGGGAACGUUUAUCCCGGGACACUCGGUUUACAAAGACUGUUGCCGUGUCAGAUAAACUCGCUCAGCCCCACGGUGGGGGGAGGAGAAGGACAAAACCCCCUUUAUUUUCACCCCCGCAGUGAGACCAAUAAAGACUUUGUGCGAGAGACCAGGGGUCUGGGCAAGCAGAAGAAGGGGGUCUGUGUUGGCGUGGCUGCCGGACAGCGCCACAGCUUCUUAUCAUUUGGGUUUGAUGGGGAAUCUGGGCGUGGGCUGUGAGAGCAGCUCUUCCAUCGGGAGAUGAGCCCACUUUUCCACCUCCCUCCUCUGUUGCAAGUUGGUCUUGGUUAGCCAGGGAGAAUCCCCAGGGUGCCCCCCCCAACCCACCCAUUACUUAUUUGAAUAGAGAAAGAUUCACCGAUUCCGAGGACCUGGCUGUGUGUGUGUGUGUGUGUGUGUGUGUGUGUGUGUGUGAAGAAUCAUGGUCUCAGGGACUCUGGGCCAUUUAGAAGCAGGUGGUAAAUGCAUGCAUGCACAUCCAGGGUGCAGAGCAAUGUGGGAGCCCCUGCGUGUAUGUGGCUCCACCUGAGAAUACUCUUCCUGAUCAUGAGUGACAUAGGGUUUUACUCGGUCAUAUAAACAGAACAUUCUGUGAUUGGCCCUUUGUGAAAGACAGGCAUCAGACUCUGUCUGUUGAACAUCUAAGCACCAAAGUUGUAUCAGCAUCUCCUUAAUCUGAGGACAUCUUUGCAAGGCUCAGAGAGGGAAAGGGCCUUCCCGGCGAUGUUUGAGGUUCCUCCCUGCUGGGUCUGAGUCCCAAGCCUCCUCACCUGGCACUGGCUGGGAGUCAGCCACUGAGGUUCAGGUGAGUGAAGGUGUGUGUUCUCGGUGGCCCCCAAUCCCUCCUGCUGGGUGUCUCUGGAGGGCUCAGCACAUACCUCUGGUGACAGAGGCUGAGCCUGUGCCCACUCAACGUGGGCUGGGAGGGAGGCACCGGCCUGCUACAGCAGCUGGAUUUGGGGACCUUGCUGGAAUGCUGAUCCAGGAGGACCCUCUCAGUGACAUCCUAGAGAGAAAAACCCCUAGCCCUGCCCCAGCCCCAAUCUGUGACCCUUUCCUUCAUUGUUACUCUCAGGAGGAGUGUCGGGCCCUGCCAUCGAUGUAUGUGUGCUGGGGAGGACGCUGGAGUGGCGGGGGCUCCUGAGUUCCAUUCUGUGCCUCCUACAGGGGGAGGUGGGGUGCAGGGUACUUGAGAAGUGCCUUUCCAAAUGGGCUUCCUGGCACAGUCCAGAGUUCCUGUUCACACAGGACAGUUGUCGGGGUGGUUGGACUUAAGCUCCAUCAGCAGGAGAAUCCUGGACCACCCCCUGCCUCGCUGAGCCUACGCUGUCCCACUGCAGGACCUGAGGUCAUUCCUGAGCCUGCCUGAGGGUCAUCCUGAAAUGCGGGAAGUGAUGGAGACAGACCAUCAGAUGGUAGAGGCUUCUGGGCUCUGCAGACGCACAGCCUGCAGGAGGUGGAGCCUGAUCUCAGAAGGCACCGUGUGCUGCUGUGCAGGUGUCUGGGUGCAGGUGAGGUGCGAGGAGAGUGGUUUGGGGAAUUCUGGAUGUAGCCAAAUGCAGGCUCUGGGGGAAAUGAGCCUUGCUCCCUCCCACAGCGCUGUGGACAGGUGGGUCCAGUGGCAGGACACAUCAAAGGGUUGGCUAGAUGGAAGGUUUCAUGCUCAUCCUGGGAGGGGGGUGCUAGGGAUGGGAUGUUGGAAGAGGGGUGAAUGCUAGACUUGGAGGAACAGCAGCAGCCCCAUCUUGGACAGGAGGGCAGGUCCCUCCAUCCUUGGUAUUUUCCUGGACUAGACCUAGAACCUGAGGAUUGUGGUGCUGAAGCCACUGCCAACCAUGGGAUCUGGAACAGUCUCCAUGGACUCUCACGCCAGAUGGGACAGUGUCAUCCAGAAGGGGGCCAAACAGCAGAUGGGAAUGGGGAUGGACUGGGUUCUUGCCCCACCCCCAACCCCCGCUCAGUUACCCCGGCAGGUGGCUGUCUCUCCAGGUGUGCCUGGUCACUUCUCGUCUUUACCACACUGAGAACCCUCACUUUGUGCGGUAGAUAUUUAGAGCCUGCAGGUUUCGGUUUCAUCUACCUGUAGAUUGGUUGGGUAAAGGAGGAGGCUGAGAGUCCCGUUGGACCAAAGUUUGAAUGAUCUGGGUCUCAAUCAUUGCAUGUCAUUUCUUCCAUAGGUGACCUUCCAGAUGUCUCUGUCUCUCUGUGGCCCUGUUUUGUUUCUUAGGCAAAAUACCAGCCAUGCACUCCAAGGUUAUGUCUAGCUCUAAAAGUAAAGCAGCGGCCUGCCUGGGACAUGGGUGGGUGUGGCUUUCCAAGUGUGUGUGAGGUGCAUGGCCUCCCUCGGCUCCUGGUUCUUCCCUCCUGGCUCCCUGCAGCUCAGGUCCCUCCUGACCUGUUUCGUGGGUACCCAUGACCUUCCACCCUGCCUGGGGGAGGGUGGGGUCUAGCAGGGGUGGCCAUGAGGACAUGCCGGCAGGCCCAUUUGGCCCACACAGCCUUAUCGAGGGCAGCAAGAGGCAGGCAGGGGCAGUUCAAGAUCCCGUCAGCUCAGAGGUGGUGGACUCUGCUAUUUCCUCUGCUCUACAGGUGGUCAGGGAGUGGACAGAGCUGAUGGCCCUGGCACUUCUGUGGCUGCUGUCUCCUCCUGGCUUCUUUCUCACCUUCCAAACCUGGAGGCUCUGGGGACCGUCUUGCAGACUCGGGAACCUCUGAGGCUGAGCAGACCAGGCGCCAGCCUGUGUUUGGGGAGGAUGACAUGCGCGUCUCAUUUUGGCUCGCGACCCCUGCACACUGGUGCCUCCCACCCUCCAGUGGCCCAGGAGAGCGGGGCCUCUGCAGCAGCGGCCCUCUCCCCGGCACACGUGGGAGCCGCGCGGAGCUGGCAGUGGGGGCUGGAGCCACUCCCUGCCCGUCCAUCUCUUUCAUGGCUGAGGUUGGGGAGGAGAAUGUCGAUGAGAGACGUGUUUUGGAGCCUCCUUCCUUUUUAUGUCCACACUGCCAGUUACCACCUGCACAUGAGCUAGUGGUGGAGGCUGGCUGUUCUGAGUCAGGUGACAAUGUGGCCUUUCUCUGGAAGACACAGUGGCACCUGAUGGCAAGGGCAGGGGCUGCUUCUGUAGAGAGCAGGCUGUGUUUCUCCCCCCUCAACAAGAGAUUCCUGUUCUUUCCUGGGGGAGGGGGCCCUUAGCACAAGGGAGACUUCAGACAGGCAAGGCCGGGAGGGCUAGCGGGUUGGUGGCAGGAGGUGGGGGAGCAAUGUCAUUUAUUAGGUCUAUGAAAACAAUAUGGGGUUUGUCUCCUGGGGGUGGCGGUGCCUGGGGAGGCAAGCCAAGAUGCCGAGAGAAAGAAAACAAGCCCAGGUCUGAUGAAAACGUGGUGACCCCGGAGAGCAGGGAGAAAAGCACCUUUGUUUAGGGCGGUCUGGGCGGGGGCUGAAUGGUCAGGAGGUCGCUGGGGGAAUGGCGGCCUCUCUGCAGGGAACCUGGGCGCCUAGAGGGGCUGCAGGAGACCAGACUCCCAGCUUGAUGGGAGUGUCUGGGGUGGCCGAUCCCCGGGCACUGCAGUCUGGACUGGGUUUGGGGGACCUCUUUCUUAUUAGCUCUGUUCCUGAGGGAGGCUGGAGAGACGCUAUCACACCCCAGGGCUAGUGCAGGAGGAUGGACGGAGGGUCCACCCUGAAGUGGAAGGUCAGGCCUGCUGCUCACCAUUCUUGCAUGAUCUGGGGCAUAGAAGCCCCUGGAGCCCAGGGACAGGCCCUGCAGACCUGGGGGGAAAGGAUAUGCUCCAAGCACCAAGGGAUAGUGCCAGUGACUGUAGUGGCUUCCCUGUCCCAGGGUCACAUCAGCCUGCCUGACAGCCUUGGAGGGUCACUGUCCUUUGUCCUUGCUUUAAAGUGCCAGAGCUGCUGGGCAUGAAGAUUAGGGGACUCAGCUCAAGGUCACUCACAUGCCAGCGUGGCUCCAUCAAACUCCAUCCCCAAGUCAAAAGUGUGGUCCCCGCUGCCUGCCACCUGAGGGCAGAGGUCUGGCCAGAGUUUUUGGAUCAACUGAUGUGCAUUUUCCUCAUUUGAGGGAGAGCAGGACAAGGCAGCAGGUCACCUGGGGGAGGAGCAGGGCUCACCCUUUGUGCCCCUGACACCCAUCUGGGAGCACCAUCUGCAGCCCUCCACCCCUCUCCUGGGGGUGGCCCAGCCCACUUCAGGUCCCCAGUGGCCCACCCAGUAUGCACUCUGCACCGUUUCCCUUCUGGCCCACCCUGGUCUCCCCUGGACAUUCCUGGAGGUCUGCUUUCCACCUGGGCUCCUGAAGACAACCACUUGGGCAAAGGCGGAGCCAGCAGGACCUGUUCCUCCCCUGGAGGAAAUGACCUGCUGCCCCAGCAACUGACCCAGGUCGGUCCGGCUGCUUAGUGGGGCCUCUUUGUUGUUGCUAUGGGUGGGGGGACACUAAGCUGAGGAGGGAGCAAGGAGAGAGAUGUUGCCUGGACUAGGUUUGAGGUUUACUUAGGGACAAAGAAGAACCAGAAGAUGCCCUUCUGCCAGGUUGGUCUCUUCCCAGCCCCUCUGCAGCGAGCCUUGGUUCCUGAGCCGUUCCUUUGGCUCAGGUUUCUAGCGCCCUCAACGCUCUCCUGCUACCUGCUCACCUAAUGAUUCCUGAGCUCCCACCCUGAGCCAGGCUCUGUGGCGUUCUUCUCUCCUUACCCGAUACUACGAGGGGUCCCUGCUUUCAUUCCGGCUUUCCUGGUAGGGCCGGAUGUUGAGGAUCUGCUGGCCUCACAGCCGGGAGAGCCUGGAUUUUAGACCAGCGCUCCGCCUGGGAAGGCCAGGCCUGUCCUUCUCGGAUGUUGCUGCCCUCUGGGGACUCCUGCCCCACACCACGGCUCCACCUUUGGGCUUCUCGGCACCAGUCCGUGGGGGUGAGGGUUCUCGGCUACCUUGACUUGCUUUUUAAGUGCAUCGAAAAAGUUGUAAACUGGAAAAUCGGGCUCUUUAUGUUACUUUGUGCCCCAAAGCACAGUGCCAGCACCUGCCAAGGUCUCUGUAUGCACCUGCGGAACGGACAGGACAGGACUAAAGGCCACUCUGCCUGCCUGUAACAUGGCCUUGUCUGAUGUCUUGGUCUCUUCCGGGCCCUCUGCAGUGAGCCUUGGUUCCUGAGCUGUUGCUUUGGCUCAGGUGGAAGAUGGUGGAAACGCUGAUUUUAACUCUGGGUCAAUUAGAGGAGGGGGCUUUGGUGAAGAAGGCCAGGUUCCUGACAUUCUACUAUUUAAAUCAUAUUUGUUUUUUAAAAAGCAACUUUGAAUUUCAAAAACACCUGCAUUUGUUGCAUCUGUUCAGCAUCUUUCUGCAGGUGAGAAGGUCAAGGUCAAGGCUGGGCGUUGGGGAUAUACCCACCACCAAACAGCUGGGGGGCUGCUUCUGUCUGAUCAUGAGCUCCAUCCUUUAUCCAGUUCCCCACCUCCCUGCUGGAGUCCCCGGAGCCGGAGGGACAAGGGGUAUUCCUGAUGAAGUUGGUAAAGGCAACAGGCUCCAGAGGAUGCUUCAUUCUUUUUCCACUGAGCUGCCUGUCUGAUCACCAGCUCCCCCCCCCCACCGUGCUUCUAAGCCAGCUUUACUGAGGUGAAAUUUACAUACUGUGCACCCACCUAUAGUUAAAAGCACAGGUCUGAGAAUUGCAGUCAGCUGGUAGUUUUGCAGCCAUAACCACAGAGUUCUGAGGCAUUUUCAUGGACCCCGGGGCCUUCCCUCUUGCUACUUUGCAGUGCCGCCUGCUACCAGCCCUGGAUCUGCUUCUGUCUCUGCAGAUCGGCCCUUCGGGGACACGUACUGUGAAUGGAACGACACACAGGGACUUUUCUGUUUUCCUUUACUCAGGAUAAUGUAUAUGAGAAGGUGGCCCUCACCCACUUUUCCUGGAACUUCGUGGGUGCAGGCUGGUGACUUCCAGGCAGUGAAUGGGUUAACGGGAACGGAGGCUGAGAUGGGCGGGUGGGGGUUGCACUUGGGGUCUGGUUGUGUCUUGUCUUCUGUGCUUCCUGCCCAGGCUCCCUGACCUGGCUUUCCACCUUCCCAGCCAGUUUUAAGGACCUGGCCUCCUCCUUCCAGGCCCUUGUGGCUUAAUUAAGUCACAAUGACAGACAGAGGAGGCCUGUUUCCUGGCAAUUAAAGUAAGUGGACGAUUGGAACGUGGUCCAGCCCUCCUCUCAGCCAGGAAGAGUUGAGUCUCCCAUCUCACUGCUCCUGCCCCACCAAGGAGGGUCUGGGGGCCUAGUACCCCCUUCCAGGUCUUGGAAGAGGGCUCCUUGCAGCUGACUUUUAAGGCUAUUGCAUGCAAAAAAAAAAAAAUGUCCAUUUAUUGUUAUUUGCAGGCAUCUUUCUACCGCCCCAACCCUAAGCCUAGGAGACGGGGAGGGAGGGCCCAUUUAUUCAUUUAGCAAGCUCCUGCUGAAUGUCUGGCCUGGGGGAGAAAGAGAAAUAGCCCAGACUUCCUGUGUUCACAGCCAGAGGUGGAGGAGGAGGUGGGAGAGGAGCCACAUGAGGCGGUGGACAGGGGUCGGGGGAGCCCUGGCUCUCCCUUGGUGGUGCUUAGAAAGUCAACCUUGAGGGUCAGAGUGUGGGGGAGGAAGAAGGAACCUGGGCAGGGAGGACUCAGGUUGGGGUAGAGGGCACACAGGGGCGCUGGGGUGGUGAGGAGUCACAGGGCCCCGACUGAGUCAGGAAAGGCAAGAAGUGUGCUGAUGGCUCGUGGGGAUGCUGAGUUCAGCUUCAGGUGGAUUUGAAUGAGGGGCUUUGGUUAAGCAGGCUGGGCUUCUGUUGGGGAGGGUCAGUGAUUUUCUCUGCUCUUGGAGAUACCUUGGGGGUCACCUCUGCUUCUACUUAGGUCAGAUUUGCUUUUCAGAACACUUGGCAUUCCGUCUCACUGGAAUUCAGCUCCCUGUCAUGCUUUGACAAGUCUGGUCAUCUCUUUUAUCCCUAGUCCCCGUUGGGGUCUUGCAGAAUCAUCAUCUUGGAGUGGUGUUGGGUUCCCAUCUUUUCCUUAAUCUUUUGUGUUCAUUUUCCACUUCUUACACCUCAGUUUAUCGUUGGUGCCGGUGCUGUGGAGCGAGUACUGUGGCUUGCUAAGGGACCUAUUGAGAGUAUGAGAUGUUGGCUUCACUUAAUCCUGUUAUAUAACUGAUGCUCUGAAACGGGGUUUCCCUCCAUUGUCUUUUGGUCACCCUGGGUGCCUUGGUAACAGGGUGGCAAUUGUGUCAGGUGAGGGUGUGGGGAGUUUGGAUCGCAGCAGGUGAGCAGCUGGUUGGGAGGGNGCUGGUGACUUCCAGGCAGUGAAUGGGUUAACGGGAACGGAGGCUGAGAUGGGCGGGUGGGGGUUGCACUUGGGGUCUGGUUGUGUCUUGUCUUCUGUGCUUCCUGCCCAGGCUCCCUGACCUGGCUUUCCACCUUCCCAGCCAGUUUUAAGGACCUGGCCUCCUCCUUCCAGGCCCUUGUGGCUUAAUUAAGUCACAAUGACAGACAGAGGAGGCCUGUUUCCUGGCAAUUAAAGUAAGUGGACGAUUGGAACGUGGUCCAGCCCUCCUCUCAGCCAGGAAGAGUUGAGUCUCCCAUCUCACUGCUCCUGCCCCACCAAGGAGGGUCUGGGGGCCUAGUACCCCCUUCCAGGUCUUGGAAGAGGGCUCCUUGCAGCUGACUUUUAAGGCUAUUGCAUGCAAAAAAAAAAAAAUGUCCAUUUAUUGUUAUUUGCAGGCAUCUUUCUACCGCCCCAACCCUAAGCCUAGGAGACGGGGAGGGAGGGCCCAUUUAUUCAUUUAGCAAGCUCCUGCUGAAUGUCUGGCCUGGGGGAGAAAGAGAAAUAGCCCAGACUUCCUGUGUUCACAGCCAGAGGUGGAGGAGGAGGUGGGAGAGGAGCCACAUGAGGCGGUGGACAGGGGUCGGGGGAGCCCUGGCUCUCCCUUGGUGGUGCUUAGAAAGUCAACCUUGAGGGUCAGAGUGUGGGGGAGGAAGAAGGAACCUGGGCAGGGAGGACUCAGGUUGGGGUAGAGGGCACACAGGGGCGCUGGGGUGGUGAGGAGUCACAGGGCCCCGACUGAGUCAGGAAAGGCAAGAAGUGUGCUGAUGGCUCGUGGGGAUGCUGAGUUCAGCUUCAGGUGGAUUUGAAUGAGGGGCUUUGGUUAAGCAGGCUGGGCUUCUGUUGGGGAGGGUCAGUGAUUUUCUCUGCUCUUGGAGAUACCUUGGGGGUCACCUCUGCUUCUACUUAGGUCAGAUUUGCUUUUCAGAACACUUGGCAUUCCGUCUCACUGGAAUUCAGCUCCCUGUCAUGCUUUGACAAGUCUGGUCAUCUCUUUUAUCCCUAGUCCCCGUUGGGGUCUUGCAGAAUCAUCAUCUUGGAGUGGUGUUGGGUUCCCAUCUUUUCCUUAAUCUUUUGUGUUCAUUUUCCACUUCUUACACCUCAGUUUAUCGUUGGUGCCGGUGCUGUGGAGCGAGUACUGUGGCUUGCUAAGGGACCUAUUGAGAGUAUGAGAUGUUGGCUUCACUUAAUCCUGUUAUAUAACUGAUGCUCUGAAACGGGGUUUCCCUCCAUUGUCUUUUGGUCACCCUGGGUGCCUUGGUAACAGGGUGGCAAUUGUGUCAGGUGAGGGUGUGGGGAGUUUGGAUCGCAGCAGGUGAGCAGCUGGUUGGGAGGGUUCCCAGCAACAGGCAUGAACCAAGGAGACCAGUGGCUAGCAGGGCUUGGCCAGGAAGCAGUGUCCUGGCACAUGGGGCCAGGGGCUGUGCCCGUGUUGGUGUAUCAUGGCCUCCGUUUUCUCCCUUCUCUAUUCUCAAGCUCCCUGUCCUGAGGAUCUCUGAAGACUCUUCCCUUCUGCUCUUGAACCUGUGUGACACCCAGCUGCCGCUCAAAGACUGUCUGUCCCCUUACGUGGAUUUCCACAUUCAGAGUGGAGUGAGGAAUUUGGGGAGGUGCCCAGAGGAGAAGCUUGAAUCUCUAGGCUGGCUCGGUGUCCCUGGGGGGCCCCUUUCCAUGUUGGCUCUCUGUCAUUCUCCUGCUCUCUGCCCCUGCCUCCUCAUCCUGGAAGGAACUGGGCACAGGGAGAGUCGCACAGGAGUGGGUCCUCUGCCUGGGAUUCCUUCCAGACACGGAAAAGUCAUCUUCCUUUCUUAAUCCAGUGCAGGCUCAGGACGUUGGAGUGUUACGCAAACAGCCCUCCAAAGAGAAAAGCGGCAUUGUCCUCCCCCUGCCAAUGGCCUGGCCUCAAGAGCCACCAAUUUCCCUGGCUGAGAAUUGCCAAGUGCAUUUGCAGAGAGAGAGAGAGAGAGAGAGAGAGAGAGUGUGUGUGUGUGUGUGUGUGUGCGCGCGCGCAUGCACACGUGUGUACACACAGCACGUGGUGGGUGUGGCUGAGCUCUUAUUCCCAAAGAGCCCUUCUGGAUGAUUACUGUUGUGAGAGGAGAGGAGGAGACAGGAAAGGUGAAGGAGGAGCGAGUUGUAGGUGACUCGGCCAAGGCUGCUGGUGUUAAUGCUCAUGGAAACCCUCGGGUCAAAGAGCAUCCGAUCUGCAAGGUUGAGAGUGGCCUAAAGAUGAAGCAUGCCCAGUGUCUCCCUGAAGGUCUUGCCCAGGGUCCUGCAUCGGUGAUAUAACCACGGGAGCUUCUGCCCAUCCCCCUUCUGCCACUUUGACACCUGAGUCAUCUUCCCGUGCCACAACCCGCCUUGAUGACUCCAAUGGUGCUCGAGGACCAGCAAGCCGGGAACCAUUGUUUUAUUAACUAGCUUCACCUUUGGGCUGUUGAGUCUUUCACCAUGAGCAAUAAAUGGCUUUAUAUGUUGGUAGCUUUUUAAAAUUUCAAUAACAGGAUCACCUGUUCUGACUUGAGUCUCCCGGCUGAGGGUCAUAACCCUUAGUUCCUGGAGACCCUGGUGAGGCGGGGGACAAACGAAAGACAUGCCUCCCAUGCCUGGUCCCUUGGCUGGUGCCCUGUGCAGGUGGGAGCAAUGGCCCCCUGUGGCACUGGUCAGUGGGGUGAGGUGUUGGCUUGCUCCAUCUUCUGGGCCUCACACUGUUCCUUGAUUCAUCCCCCUGAACUUCAAAGAGAAGCGCUCUCUCUCUCUCUCUCUCUCUCUCUCUCUCUCUCUCUUUUAAUUGAUCUUUUGCUUUUCUGGCAUUGGAAACAAGGUCCAAGCGGGUCAUCUCCUCCCGACCUGCCCCUGUCUGCCGUCUCCUAUCUUUCAUUCAAGGCCCUUUGGUGCAUGGUGAAGCCCUCUCCUCCUCCUCUGCUCACCUUCCUCUUGGGGAUAUUCCUGUUUCUCACUCCUUUUCCCAGUGAAGAGGGACCAAGCCCAGCAACAGGCAUGAACCAAGGAGACCUGAGGCUCAGAGACAGAGGCCAGCACAGAGGCCACCUGCUGUGUGAGCCCUGCGCAUGAGGUGUCCAGAGAGGCAGAUCACAGGUCGGGCGUUAGCUUUUCAUUUCUGUGACCAGAAUGCCCGACAAGAACAACUUUAGAGAAGGAGAAGUUAAUUUGGCUCGUGGUUUCAGAGGUUCAGUCCAUGCUCAGCCGACUCCAUUGCUGUGGCCUGAGGGGAGGCCGCAGUCAUGGUGGAGGCGAGUGGCAGAGGGAAGCUGCUCAGGUCUCCGUAGCCGGGAAGCAGAGGGGGAGGAGAGGCAGGGGCAAGGCAGAGUCCAAGGGCACGCCCCCAGGGACUGACUUCCUCCAGCCAUGCCCACCUGCCUUCAGUGACCACGCAGUAGUUCAUCCAGUUCAUUCCUCCAUCAAGGGGAUUAAUCCACAGGUGUGUUUACAGCUCUCGUGAUCUAACCAUUUCACCUCUGAACAUUCCCGCAUCGUCUAAUGCUCGCAGUACAUGAGCUUUUGGGGGAAUGCUUCACAUCCACAGCACAACAUUGUGAAAGUAGGUUCACGGUGGCCAGGGACUAGGGAGGGGGCAGAGGUGACUGAUGGGAAGAUUCGGAGUUUCCAUUUGGGGAGAUGAUUGUGUCCCAGAGCUAGAUACUGGCGAUGGCUGUACUGCACAGUGCUAGGAAUGGACCCGCGCCACUGGGUUGUACACUAGAAAAUGGUCCAAGAGGUGGGGUAUGUGGUGUGCGUGGGGGACAAAUGCUCAGGGAGCACAGGUGCUUCAAGACAUGGCUUGUCCACCAGCAGUCCGUCCCUGACUUGUGACCGUUGGACUUGGGGCUUUUCCAUCUCACCCUGGUGCAAAAUUGCUCUGCCGUCAGUGGAUCUGGAUUUAGGUCUUGCCCUGGGCUAGGGCCAUGUGGUGUGACUCUGUCUCGAGAUGCGGGGCAGUGGCAGUGGGCCCUGGAUCGCAGGGUGCCCUGGGUUGCUGAGGGCAGAAGUUCAGUAGGUUAGCUGUGUAAAAUGCAUUUUCGAUUCAUGAUAUUUUCAACUUCCGAUGGGUUUGUCAGGAUGUAGCUGCACUGUAACUUGACGAGACCUCUGUGUGACCUCCUGAUGUUACCCAGCUGUCUGGCCCUCUAGUGCCCCGACCUUAAGAUUGAUUAAGAACUUUCUUUUUUUUUUUUUUUAGUUGUAGGUGGACACAUUAUCUUUAUUUCAUUUCUAUGUGGUGCUGAGGAUCGAACCUAGUGCCUCCCGUGUGCUAGGUGAGCACUCUACCACUGAGCCACAACCCCAGCCCCAAGAACCUUUUUUUGUGGACACAAUUUUAAGUGGGUUUUUUUUUUUUUUUUUGUCAGCAGGAGAUUUCUGGUGCAAUGUGGAAUCUGUUGUCCUGGUUUCUGGAGACGGUGGCCACAUCCUCAGGGCUGAGGAGAAGGUGGCGAGGGGGCUGUCUCCAGUGCUCUGUAAGAGUGUCCCAGCUGCCCUGGUCCAGGGCCCCUGGCCCUUCCUCCAAGGCUGCUCCUUCCUACUUAAAAAAUAUUAGAAGUUUAGUUUUUACAACUGUAUUGCUACGAGCACAUGAGGUGAAUAUGGCACAUUAAAACACUUUCUUCAGCCUAAAAGUGUGUGUUCUUUUGUCCUUAUUUUAAAUGAAAUUAAAACAUGCGUGGCCCUUUGAAGUACUGUGGGUCCUGGCACGUGUCUCCUGGCCACGUGGUAGUCAGCCCGGGUGGCAGCAGCCUCCUCUGGUUGGUCCCAUGCCUGGGGCAUCUCUGAUCCUGUGGCCUUUGUCCUUCCUCUGAAGCAGCUGCAGUGUCAGGAUCUGCUGUGGCCCCCAGACUGAGCCCUGGCUCUGAGACGGGGCCCCUGAAGAGUGGCUGCAGCCCCUGCCAGGAGCUUAGCUCUGGGACGCUGUCCCCACUUCUCAGUGCCUGUGAAGGCGUGGAUGCGGGCUGUGGCAGGAAGGACUUUGUCACACACAGUCCCAAGUGCGGGCCCUGCCAGGCCCUGCUUCAGGAUUUAGAUGGAUCUUCUCUGGGGCAAAGAAUGUGGUUCUCUCUAUUCUACAUACAUCAUUUGGGACUUAAAUGGGGUUCAGCAGAUCCAUUCUUCUUGUGGAAAUGGGAGAGGUUGACGUAUUAUCGUUCUCUGCCCAGGAACCAUUUCGGGGAGAUUGUUUUUUGACAGAAAAUAUUUAGUAGGGCAAAACCAGACUGAGCCCAGAAAAUUGGAGCAAGAGCGUUUCCCCAGGGUUUUGGUCUGAAAGUAAAGUAGUUGCAAAAAAUUGGUGGCCACUCCCUGUUGUGUCAUUUUUGCAUGGUCACUCUGCCUGGUGGCAGGGAGGACCCAGGCACCCCUGAGCUUGGGGGUGGGAGCACUCCCUGGGUCUCCUCCCCAUCCUUGUGCUCGCAGCCUCCGUGGGUUUGUGAAAAGGGCUGUCAGCCAAGGCUGGGGACAGAGUGGCCAGACUGAAUUGCAGGGAGAGAAGGGCAGGUCUCUUCCGGUGCCUCUGGGAGGUGGGGGCACAAGUGUGCAUACACGUGUACACGCACACAAGGCCCUCCCGCAGGGGCAGCACGCGCUCCACCUUGCCUUUUAUGGGGGUGCUCAGCAGCAGACGGCACUGAACCCCGUGGUGCAUAGGACUCAAACAUUUCCAAGAAGAGCCGCUGGGCUGCAGGCCUCUGAGCGAGGCUUUUUCCCUGUGGCUGGCCUGAGCCCCAACACCUGGGGACCCACCUGAGCUCAGUCAGUGGCAUUGGCACCAGGUGCAGCCCACUUCUGGGCUAUCACGGGCAGGACUCCUGGGAACAGGUUCAUGUUUGGCUUUUGGGAGGUGCUGUGCACAAACAGGAGCCACCCUGGGCCUCGAAGUCGCCCAGACGUGCAGCCAGGAGAAGUCUCCUUCCACUUACUGCAAGAAGGGGUGAGGACCAGCUUGCUGAGUGCGGGGGGGUGGGGUGGGGUGGGGUGGGGUGGGUGGAGGGGGAGGGGUGUUGCAACGAGGCAUGUGUAAGGAGAUGUCUGUGAGCAUCGUAUGUUCCGUGGCACCAUCUCCUAGUCUCAGUGCUUGGCAUGCGGUGGGAGCCCAGGCACCUGCAGGAUGAGCAGGGCAGAUUUGUAGCUCUACUUUGUGUGCCCCCCAGCACCUGCUUACUGACACCCCUGUUGACCAGCACAGGCAGGCGAGCAUUCAGAGUGUGAGGCUGAGAGCCAGUCUCCUGCAGGUCUUAGGGCUCAGGUGCUUUCUGGGGUCUGAGGAACCUGGAGCUUGCUUCCACAGCCUGUCCGCCCCGGGACAGGUCCUUUGCAGCCAGACUCUUGGGCUCUGGUGCCCUCUAGUGUCCAGAUCAUAUUAUUGCAGGUUUGCGUACAAAUUCACCAAAGUCAAAUGGGCUUGAAAAACUACAAUCCUGGAUCUGCCUUUCUUCACCCUGGUGGGGAACUGCUUUAGAAAAGUCAUGUGUCUUUGGCAAACCAUUAAACAUGCUAUGUAUAACUAGCUUGUUGGAAAAAGUAUUUAAGGUAGUUUAAAAAAGUGUCAUUUUUUAUGAGUUAGGAAAAUUAAGGUAGAAAAACGUAAGAUAAAGGCAUGGGAAAAGUUGGGAUAAAAUGUUCUGCGGUAGUUCCUGUGUCAUUGUGAGGCUGUUGUGGAUAUGGUCCAGAGUAGUCAGAAUGUUCUAGAUCUUUCCGUUCUCUUCAGAUGGCCUCAUCUGUGUGCCAUCGCUGGUGCGGACGGUGACCCGGGAACCCCCGGCUCCCCAGGACGCCUUACCUUCUCUCAGGAAAUUCUGAGCUUCAAGGAAUUUCUGGGUUCUUCCUGUCACCUUCCACUGAGAGGACCCGGGAUGUAAACACCACAGAGCAGGUCUGUAAAGAUGACUCGGAGGAAGGCUGUUGGGUGUCAUGGAGAUGUUCUGGGAGCACUGGAGCUGGGUCCCCCAACCUGAGCCCAUCUGGGCAGCUGGAGGGCUGUGGAGCACAGCCGGCCCACCCCGAGUUACCGACGAGUUGCUGUGCACAGAGCCUGGGAACUGGCAUUCCUGACAAGCUCCCUGCUGAUACUGCUGGUCGGGGAUCCCGCCUGGUCUAGAAAGAACAGGUGCAUGGCCUCUUUCUCUCUCCCCUCCAUGAGUGGCAUGCUGGCAGCAGAGCUUAUGGUGACAUUAACCUGAACAGUGUGUGAAGCUCUGCUUUGCCCUUCCAAGCCCCUGUUAGGACAGCUAGCUCCUCUCUGCAGGUGGCAAAGGAAGACACCUCAUAGAGAAAGGGCAUAUGGGGCUUGCCCUUGGCUGCAGCCAUAUCUCUACUCUGCCCCAAUGGCACCUUCUCCAGAUGCAGCCGGAUCUGUUCUAUACAUGAAUGACACUCUCUGGUAGAGUGUUCAGAACCUUUUGCUAUGUUCUAGAACCUAGAUCAGGUGAGAAGCAGUUGAUUCUAAACAUGCACUUGACCAUGAAAACACCCCUCAGAAGAGCAGAGAUAAAACGUUGCACUUCUGCCUGGGCAACAUCCAGGCUUGUGCUUCAAGGUGCAUGUUGCCUCUUAUUGCCCUGGGAGCCAAGGCGGCCACAAGGUGGGGUUCUUUGGAUCUGGCUGGAGGUUGAGGACCUCUCUCGGGACUGAGUCUUUGGUUUUGAGAAAGCUCCAGGUUUUUUUUUUUUUUUUUUAAACUCCGAAUCAACAGCAGGGAAUCUGAUCCCCUGGUGCUGCCUUGGCAAGACCACGACCACUAUAGGAAGCAUCCUAUUGUUGAGGGCCAGGGGGUGUAAAUCCACCCACUCAAGGGGUAGGGAAAGAAUAAAGAUAUGCCAACACUUAGGAAGCACUGAUUUAAGUGGCUUUCACCUAUUAACCUGUAUCAAUCCAGUGCUCCCAUCUCUGGGCCCCAGGGGGGGGGGGGAAGUGAGGACCACAGCUUAAGCCAUGGGCCAAGAUCACACAAGUGGUCAGUAACAGAGCUGGAAUCUGAGCCCUGACAGUUGGGUUCUCAGGCUGGAGCACCUGAGGUUCUAUAAGGGAACCCAGAGCCGGUGUCUGUGUCCUACACUGGUCAAUUGUGAACCCGUGUCAGAACAAGUCCUGCAUACCUGCCUUGCCCGGUGAACGUGAAGGUCCAUUCCAGGUGCAUCUGGGUGCUCAGAGAUGUUUGCCAGUUUCUGGAAGAGUCUUUAGUUAUUCCUAACAGAUGGGCCUCCAGCAUGACGGCAGUGGUUGAGGGAAACCACUACUAUCCCCUCUCAAAUCUGGGCCAAGGAGAAAACACUGAUUAGCUUAUAGCAAGUGGUGCCCAACAGGAAGUCUUAGGCCAAGAACUGGACUGAGCUGGGCUCCCCUGGCUGCAACCCUCCUCCGUAGUGGUAAGGGUCUGCCGCCACCUAGUGGUCCUUCUGUGUAUUGCCGCUCAAGGACCCGCUCACCCAGGGUCUGGGCCUUGGUGUGACAGAGGAAGGCUUGUCUCCUACAGGAAGCUGCCAGGAAAAGGGAACUUCACUUCCUGGAGGGUGAGGGAUCCACAGACACUAUUUGGAGAAUCCUUUUCUGUAAAGAAAUCUUGUUCUUUCUCUGUUUAUUCACAUCAGCUGGGACUCUCAGACACCUGUUAAAGGAUGCUUUUUUGUUUUGAUCCUGGAGCGGUUUCCUUUGUGCCAGGAAGGAGACCCCUUGUUGGGGUUGUGGGGUGCUGAGUGGGUAGUCCUUUAUUGUUUCUUUUAGCUCCAGAUUUUUUUUUUUUUUAAUAUUUAUUUUUUAGUUUUCGGCGGACACAACAUCUUUGUUUGUAUGUGGUGCUGAGGAUCGAACCCGGGCCGCACGCAUGCCAGGCGAGCGCGCUACCGCUUGAGCCACAUCCCCAGCCCUUAGCUCCAGAUUUUUAAAAGCCUGUAGCACAGAGUUUAUUCAGCGACUCGCUUGGAUUGGGACUCUGUGGAGUCUUUGAUAUAAUGAGAACUAGGUUUCACAGGGGCCUGGCCCAGGGUUUGUUCAUGGAAGCCCCUCACAGUAGUUGAGGGCCUUUGCUGUCCCCUCUGGGAGAGGCAGCCGGGGCUCAGGCUGGCCUCAGGUGGAAUCCUGGUGCCCCCCCCCCCCCCCCCCCCCCCCCAUGUUUCUUCCUUUGGGCGAGUCUCUGCUCCCACCCCCCACCCCCAGCUUCGUCCUCUACAGAGCCUUGACUCUCACCUUGACCAGGUAGAGGCUAGGACUGGAGGUCACGUGUGUCUUUAUUGUCUCUCUUAAGGAUGUUUGCAAGGUGGAUGCGGACAUCAUCCCGUCCUCCUGUUGAGAAAGUCAUUAGGCUGAACUGCUUGGGACUGUCCCCCAGGCUUCAGCCAUGGUAUGGUGGGCUGGCAUCUGGACCAUCGAGGUGGGUGUAUUCAGGCUGAAAGGCGGGGGACACCACAGGGUCAGAGAAACCCAGAGUGCUCCGAGGCCUCACAGGUGGCUGGCCUUUCCCAGGGUCUGGGGAUUGGUCUUGUAGGUCCUGACACAUCAGAGUUGGAGUUGCCCUGGCUUUUGCUGACGGUGACUCUGGGGCAGACACAGGAUGGGUGUGCGUGCCAGGGGUCCGUGUGCCACUGGGCUGAGGAUUCAACCUUUCUCAAGGGCUGUGCUGCCUGGAGUCUCUGGCCGUGCCAACCUGGUCCUGGUUUCCGGGCAUCUGAAAGGACACGUUAUGCUAUAUAUUUGUCAAAUAAUGUGUAUUACUUACCAAUCAUUAAGUCUUGCCACACUUAAGGGGGCGGAUUCCACAAGGUCUGACCACCAGGAGGCAGGGACCAUCAGGCUCCUCUUUGAAGGCUGCUGGUUGCGCUUGUAUUGAUUCUCAGAAUUCUUGCAAAGUAGGUGAUGUUCUUCUUGCCAUUUUACCGAGGAGGAAACUGAGGGAGGGAGAAGCUGAAUCAGCUCUCAGGGUCACAAAACUGUGUAGUAGAGGAUCUGGGAAUCAUUCAGGCCACCAGGCCACCUCCCCCUUAACCACAAAGCUAGCCAUUGUCUGCUGGCAUCUCCAGCCAUGCCGAGGGCCCCCACCUGACACAGCCGUUCCUCGCUGCGAUCACAGGAUGUGGAGCAGCCUAGGAGGCGAACACCCCCUCUUGUAUGUUUUAAAAUCAGAGUAAUCAAUGUUUGCCGUGCCAUGGUGUGUUCUGAGCAGGAUGUGCUGACAGGGGCCUUGGGCACCCUGUUCGUCAUCCAGGAAUGGAAAGAAUACCUGCUUCUUAGGACGUGGGGUGUGACGUCCUCCCUGAUGGCUCACUGUAGCUCAGGUAAAGGUGAUGAGAAUGGAGAAGACAUGGUGAGUGGCAGAGUAUGAGCUGGACAUUGGGGACAUAAAUAAAGACGGUCCUCUGUCUGUGUCCAGUGCGGGCUGGGUGGGGGAAAUGGAAAUAUCUGAGGGGCCGAGGGUUGGCUUUGCUUAGGGAAUGGGGCUGUGCAGAGUUGGGGACCAUCAGGAAUGAAGACGGUGUCCUCAGGACAGUCCCAGACCCCUGCUGCUGCCCUGUGAUGGUGGUGCUCUCGGUCCACAGGGUCUUGGCUUGAGGAGGAGGGCAGUGACCUCUAUAAAAUGUAAGGGACUUUUGUAGGGCAUGUGGCUUUGUGUUUCGUGAGAGGGAAAGAGGACACAGUUUGAAAUGCCCACAUUUUCCUUCUGUGAAAAUCCUGCCUCUUACAGGUGACAACCUCAGGGGCCCCAUCCCAGAGGUGGUCCUGUGUGAGCAGGGUACAGAGCCCAGGGUUAUGGUGCUUUAGGGGCCUGUGAGAAUGUUUUAAUUUUAGCUUCUUUUAAAAUCGGAGGGAAAAAAGUGAGUAUAGUCAUGAAGAAUAUGUAACACCAUUUCCAACCCAGAUUAUUUGUGCAUUGCUUUUACACCAGGGCAGUCACUUAAAAAUUACUUUUUAAAGAAGAAAGAGGCCACCAAAAGCAACAGAGGGCCCCAGCAUCCAAAUGAGUUCUGCAGACGCCUCCUAGGCUGUGAGGAGCUUCCAUUCAGCCUCCCGAGNAGUCAUUAGGCUGAACUGCUUGGGACUGUCCCCCAGGCUUCAGCCAUGGUAUGGUGGGCUGGCAUCUGGACCAUCGAGGUGGGUGUAUUCAGGCUGAAAGGCGGGGGACACCACAGGGUCAGAGAAACCCAGAGUGCUCCGAGGCCUCACAGGUGGCUGGCCUUUCCCAGGGUCUGGGGAUUGGUCUUGUAGGUCCUGACACAUCAGAGUUGGAGUUGCCCUGGCUUUUGCUGACGGUGACUCUGGGGCAGACACAGGAUGGGUGUGCGUGCCAGGGGUCCGUGUGCCACUGGGCAGAGGAUUCAACCUUUCUCAAGGGCUGUGCUGCCUGGAGUCUCUGGCCGUGCCAACCUGGUCCUGGUUUCCGGGCAUCUGAAAGGACACGUUAUGCUAUAUAUUUGUCAAAUAAUGUGUAUUACUUACCAAUCAUUAAGUCUUGCCACACUUAAGGGGGCGGAUUCCACAAGGUCUGACCACCAGGAGGCAGGGACCAUCAGGCUCCUCUUUGAAGGCUGCUGGUUGCGCUUGUAUUGAUUCUCAGAAUUCUUGCAAAGUAGGUGAUGUUCUUCUUGCCAUUUUACCGAGGAGGAAACUGAGGGAGGGAGAAGCUGAAUCAGCUCUCAGGGUCACAAAACUGUGUAGUAGAGGAUCUGGGAAUCAUUCAGGCCACCAGGCCACCUCCCCCUUAACCACAAAGCUAGCCAUUGUCUGCUGGCAUCUCCGGCCAUGCCGAGGGCCCCCACCUGACACAGCCGUUCCUCGCUGCGAUCACAGGAUGUGGAGCAGCCUAGGAGGCGAACACCCCCUCUUGUAAGUUUUAAAAUAAGAGUGAUCAAUGUUUGCCGUGCCAUGGUGUGUUUUGAGCAGGAUGUGCUGACAGGGGCCUUGGGCACCCUGUUCGUCAUCCAGGAACGGAAAGAAUACCUGCUUCUUAGGACGUGGGGUGUGACGUCCUCCCUGAUGGCUCACUGUAGCUCAGGUAAAGGUGAUGAGAAUGGAGAAGACAUGGUGAGUGGCAGAGUAUGAGCUGGACAUUGGGGACAUAAAUAAAGACGGUCCUCUGUGUCCAGUGCGGGCUGGGUGGGGGAAAUGGAAAUAUGUGAGGGGCCGAGGGUUGGCUUUGCUUAGGGAAUGGGGCUGUGCAGAGUUGGGGACCAUCAGGAAUGAAGACGGUGUCCUCAGGACAGACCCAGACCCCUGCUGCUGCCCUGUGAUGGUGGUGCUCUCGGUCCACAGGGUCUUGGGUUGAGGAGGAGGGCAGUGACCUCUAUAAAAUGUAAGGGACUUUUGUAGGGCAUGUGGCUUUCUGCUUCGUGAGAGGGAAAGAGGACACAGUUUGAAAUGCCCACAUUUUCCUUCUGUGAAAAUCCUGCCUCUUACAGGUGACAACCUCAGGGGCCCCAUCCCAGAGGUGGUCCUGUGUGAGCAGGGUACAGAGCCCAGGGUUAUGGUGCUUUAGGGGCCUGUGAGAAUGUUUUAAUUUUAGCUUCUUUUAAAAUCGGAGGGAAAAAAGUGAGUAUAGUCAUGAAGAAUAUGUAACACCGUUUCCAACCCAGAUUAUUUGUGCAUUGCUUUUACACCAGGGCAGUCACUUAAAAAUUACUUUUUAAAGAAGAAAGAGGCCACCAAAAGCAACAGAGGGCCCCAGCAUCCAAAUGAGUUCUGCAGACGCCUCCUAGGCUGUGAGGAGCUUCCAUUCAGCCUCCCGAGUGCAGGAAUGGCCAUGUUCCGAAACACCGAGAGAGAACAUUUGCAGUUUAGGAAGGGUCUCCCGGAGGGUUCUGUCUUAGUCUGUCUGGGCUGUUGGGACAAAGUACCCCAGAAGGAGGGACUGGUAGCAACACACACUUCCUGCCCACAGUUCUGGAGUCCAGCAGCCUGAGCUCAGGGGCCUGCAGAUGCUUGUGUAUUGAGGGCAUCUUCCGGUCCCCGCCAGGUUCUCACAGGGUCCUCACAUGGUGGAAGAGGCUGAGCGCUCUCCACGGUUCUUUUUCUAAGGGCACCAAUCCCAUCCCCAGGGGCUCCACCCUCAUGACCUAAAGGCCCAGCCUCCUGACGCCAUCACCCUGCCAUCACCUUACAUCUGCCCGAGGUACGUGAACCAGGCUGUGUAGAUUCUGUUCAAUCUGAACCAUGAAAAGAGACAUUGUUUUGUGUGUGCACGAGCGUCGGGAAAGAAGAAGGCUCUUUGGAGCCCCAGGAGGAACGGAGGGUGAAUGUUGAUUGCGGCUUUUCCGCUUCCCGGCUUAAAGUCUUUUGCUUCACAUCCCAUUGGCAGGAUGCUCGGGCUCUGGUUAGUGAGCGAAAGCUAACUAAACCCCCAGGGACCAAGGAAGAGCCCACAGUCAGGAUCCCUGGAGGCCACAUUGGGAAGUGGGUGGUGUCUACUGAACGUGCUGCCUGGACCCUGGGAGGAAGUUGGCUUGGGGGCCUAGGUUCCAUGGAUGGGUGCUCUGGGCCCGGGCAGGAGAGGAGGGUGUGCGCUGGGGGGGGGCUCUGGUAUGGUCGGUGGGUUAGAGGGAGGUUCUUCUGUGCAGCGGAGGCUGAGUUCAGGGUGGAUCCUGGAUUUCCUGCCCCAGUGCUGAAUGGUUGGUGGUGCCAUUCAGAAACCGGCAAAAGAAAAAAGGAGGAAGAGGAGGAAAGAAAAGGAGGUAGAGAGUCUGGAGCAAGGUUGGAAGCGCACUUUGGACAAGUUGAGUCCUUGGUGGGACAGGUGCAGCCCUCCCUGCACUGUCCUCCACACUGUGUUUAUAGCCACCUCUCCCUCCGGAAAAACGUAUAAGCUUCAGUCUCAUAAAACCUGGAUCCACAGGUGAGGGCCACUGGAUGACUGAGAAGGCAGUAAGCCAAGGAUCCGCUCCCAACACCACGAUCUAGGCCUGGCUUUGCCUUUUCUGUAAAACAAAAAUCAUAAAAGAGUUCUCUCCUAAGAUCGGGGUGAAGGUUAAAUCAGAUCACAUGCAUAGCUCCAUGCUUUCCGGGGGACUUCCAGUUAGUGUGUUCUUGUUAAGGCUACUGUGGUCCCCCUCAUCUGUGGCUUCACUUUCCAUGGUUUAGUUGUUAUUAGAGGCCAGUUGGGAUCCAAAAAUAUUACAUGGAAAGUUCAGAAAUAAGAAGUUCAUAAGUUCCAUGACAGUAUGUAGUUUUAGCUGUUCUAUUUGCUUGUUGGUUAUUGUCAACCUCUUGCUCUGCCUAAUUUAUAAAGCAAGGGAGGAACAUGCUGUCUGUAGGCUGCAGGCCCCCACUGGGGCUGUGGGAUGUAUUCCUGAUUUGUGUAUGUUGGGUACCUCGCGAGGUCUGUGGAUGGAGAUCACACGUCCUCCUCCUGGGUUAACCCAUAAUUUGUUUCUGAGGACCAGAUCCGGGGAGACGUGUGGAGUCCUGUGCUGUGUUCCUGGAGGGAUGUGCUAUAGGGUGGGUCCCUUUCAGGGCUGGGGCCAGCAACUCUAGCCCAGACCCUUGCAGUCUGGGUGAACAUGUGGCAGACUGCCUUGCCCCAUCUGCGCAGUCCCCAUGCGCUGCAGAAUGUGUGGCACCUGGCAGCUCUGUGGUGUGCCCUUUGCUCUGGCCCCUGCUCUUCUUGGAAACUGGAGUUUCUAACACAGCUGGGUGUUGGAGGCCAGGGCGUGUCUGGAUUGGCAAAGAGCUCUCUCUCCAAGGAGGAGUGGGAUCCCUGAGGAUCCUUAGGGCAGUGAGAUUCCACACAGCCCCUGUCAGUGUAAUGCACCAGGAUAACCGGCGUUGGUCUGAAGGCUGCAGCCUCAGGGCCUGAGUGACCGCUUUGGCAGACCCAGCCCUUCCCCCAGGGACAGCUGAAGCUCCCAGCCCUGGAUCUCUUCUCCGGGUCCAUGCCCGCCGGCUACGCAGCAGUUCCCCAAGAGGCCGCAUGAUGGCGCUGUGGCUCCACCACGCGGCGGUGGCUUCCACCGCCGCCAAGCUGGGACUGCCGCGGUCACCCCGGCGCCUGGCUGUGCCCGCGCUGGCGCGAGGCUCUGCAGGCAGCACUGAGCAGCUGCUCAGAGCCCAGGCCAACCCGCUUCUGCCCCCAGUGAAAGAAGGCUGGGACUCGGGAGCUGAUGGCCCUCCCUGGCCUGGGUACAGAGGAUCUUCGCCACCUAAGGACUUGAUUCCUCUUCAAACAUCUUCUUUUCUUUCUGUCUUGUUUUUGGUUUGAUUUGCUUAUGGAGCUGCACUCUGCAGGCUUCCCAGCAGCUCCUUGGCCAUGCGGGGUGUGCUGACCGGGGCAGUUUCACUUACUCUGCCCCCUGACCCCGGUGAGCGUGGAAGAGGGCAAUGGCUGGUUUGUCCAAAUGCUUCGAGUUUCCCCCGAUCCUAACUUUUCUCCAAAAUAUCCCUCUUAGAGCUUGUGUUUGGGAGAGGAAACUGGACACAGAGUUGCAAGCUAACACUGAAGGCGAAGGAAGAAAAGAAAACCAAAGCUCUUUAAAAAUGAGCCAACCGUGUGGGGACUCUGUAGUAGUACACGGCACUUCGGUAAAAUGGCUGAGAAACACAAAGGAGGAAAUAAAAGAAUCCGUGGUUUUGCUCCUAGAAAUGGGUUUUGUGUCUGAACAUCUCUUUUCAGGAUUUGUUACCAUUGCGCAGAUAUUCUCUCCUUCAUCCCCCACAGGGGGUCCCUCGGUCCAGUGCCGUGGCCUGCUUUUUAGUGUCACACACAGCGAAGGUUUUUCCUUGGCAAGCGGGUUUCUGAAGGCCCCAUUCAAGCGGGUCCCACUUCGGACCGUCUGUGUACAAACUGCUUUCCGCCGGAUUUCUGUGUCACGUGGUCUUACUGAAGCUGUGAUGCGGACCUGUGGAAGUUGAUGGGUUUGUCGUUUAUAGACAGGGCAGAAAUGGGAGCUGUGGUUCUUCUUGGAAGCCGGAGUUGCCCAUUUUCAUUUUGCAAAGUGAGCAGCCCAUUUAAACCCAGCUGUUUCCAGGAGACCCAGAGCAGGGUCCAGAAUCCAGGCUUCUGAGCUGCCCUCCAAGAACCCCAGGUGUCUGCAUGUAGGUCAGAUCCCGAGGCUGCCCAGACUGGUGACAGAGAGGCCAGGCCCCUGAGGCCCUGAACAGGCCCCAUUCCUCACGAGGACCCAGGACACAUGCAGAGGCCAGCGGGGGAGCCAGGGUACUUUUUCUAAAUUUGUCUUCACUUUGGGACGGCAGUGUGUCUGCCUGAGCCGACCCCUUCCAGCAACUCUGAGCACCCAGGGCUGCAGAGGGCAGUGGUCAGAAACCAGGCCAGGACGGGCCUUGGCCUCCCAGCUUCCUUAGGGCAACAGGCCACCUAUAUUCAGGAAAAGAAAAAAAAACAACAAAAAAAAACUUUUAUUGUUUUUUCUUUUGCUACCAACUGUGCGUCUGGUUGCCCCCUGGAGACUCCUGGAGUCCCAACGUGGCUGCUCAGGGACUCUGGAAAGAUCUGCAGGGACAGGGUCUAGGAAACAGCCUCCCAGGCUCCCUAGUAGCCCAGAAAAGUCCUGCCACAUCCAAGUCUGCAUGUCCCAGGGGCCCGGAGUCCCUGUAGCCACACUGACCUGGGCUUCAACUUUGGCUUGGCUCCUUUGUGGCUUUGCCAUUUGGGGUGAAAUCACAGGAAAUUCUGCAUUUCAAUUUUUAUAUCAGUAAAAUGGAGUGAAGAGCUGCCCAUCCACAGGGCUGAAGCGAAGCUGCAUUGAGAUAGUGGAUGGUGAUUUCUUUUUUCUUCCAUGUAAGUCUUUAAUCCACUUUGAGUUGAUUUUUUUGUGUGUAUCAGAUGGUAAUUUCUUAAAAGCUAAACAGUUAUUAAAUGCUUCCCAUGAGCCAAACACUGUGCUAAGAGCUUUGUUUAGAUUAUUCUAGUUAAUCCUCCCAAGACCCCAGUGAAGCAGGUGCUGCCAUGUCCCCCUGGGGGAACUGAGGCCCACACAGAUCUUCAGUCUCUAUCCUCAAUGGCCCAGAUAUGAGGCAUCUGAGCAGGGAUCUGAACCCCAGAGCUUGAAAUGUCCCUGUUUGCCACCUGCCCCCCCACACUGCCUGCGUGCACCUGGUCAGAUGGCAGAUGGCGGUCCACCAGUCCACGGAGCCCUCGCCUGGGGACCCCUGUCUAACAGCGUCACGGAUUUCUUUCUCUUGAAGACCUGGAUGGAUUUCCCAUCUCAGACCCUGUUCAAGAAACACCCCUGGAGUUCUGAACAGAGGACAUUCAAGGGGAAUUUAUUAAUUCCCCACUGUCCAACUGUGGUCAUCGGACGUGACAAAGAAAUGGCCUCCACCAUGUCUUUUCUGCACCAAUGGAGAAGCUCCUUUCAAGGACACAGUGUGUGGAGAACCCUCCUUGCUGAGGUGGGAAAUAGACGGGAGUCAGAGGGAUAACUCCAGCCGUCAGGUGGGGCCCUGCAGAGGGCAGAGCACCUCCCUGGGCAGACGGGGCUGGGGCCAAUGGGGGACGGAGAGGACGUGACAGCCGACUAGGCCUGGGGGACUUCUGGAAGCCCUUUCCCUGCCCAAGCGCCUGCUGCCUGGAUGCUGCUGUUCCUCAGAUUCCUUUAAGANAGUUUUGGGGAGCUUGAUGCAAAUGGUCCUGGGGGAUGUUGGCAUUUACUGUAAGUCCCUGGUGGGAGGUUGAGCCCACGCUGCAGUGGCUCCACAGUCACAGCAGGUGUCCCAGCACCUCUGUGCCUCCCUGGGGGUGUGUCACCGUGGGCACCUCCUAUCUGCAAGUGGGACGGAGAAUUCAUGACAAUGCUGUCUGGGGCGAGUCUGGAGCCACGGAAGACUCCCCCAGGGAGCGUGUGAUCAGAACAUUCCAGAACACUUGGUGCACAUGAUGGAAACACAUUCCCCUCCAUCUGUGGAAAGGCACUCAUUGCAAGACCCCAGGGGUGCCUAAACCACAAUGGUACUGGACCCUGUGUGUCCUACGUUUUUCCCUAGCCGUGUGUACAUCCAACGAAGGUUGAUUUAUAAAUCAGGCACAGUAAGAGAUUAAGAUUCAUUUGUUUAGAUUUUAUGAAUGAAGAAGCACAUUCAGAGAAGUUCAGCAGCUUGGCUGAGGUCACACAGCUUAUUGGUGGUGGAGUGGCACGUCUGCCCCUGGUCUGCUUGCCUCUCUAGCUGGUCAGUACCGUUCCUCCCAGGCUGGGUGGUUGCUGAGGUCUAGGUGGGUACGAACCCAUGCAGAAGGGAAAGGUGGGGAUGACCCAGAGGCAGGUCUCGGAGGAACCAGCUGACCUGCUCACAUCACCCUCUUCCAGCUGCAGCCGAAGAGGCCCUGGACUGACACGCAGCCUGCCGUCCUGCUCCCAGCCUGCCUGGGGACUUGCCUGGGUAUGGACGGCGGAGACAGAGGAGUGUGGGGUUCUCUCCUGAGAUUCCAUCUCUGCUGUCUGGUGGUCAUUCGAGAACCAGCUGGGUGGUUGUGCUGGGGCAGGACUCUCUGCAGCGUCUGUUUCCCUAGUAGCAUCUCCAAGGAGGAGACGUCUGAGACACAAGCCGCUGAGCACGUGGUGACAGCCGCAGGUGCAUCUAUCCCUUCUUCUCCGGACCUAGUGAGCCAGAAGGGCCGCUGUCCUCCCUUGAGCGUUGUCAGCCCUUCUUCCGGCCCGUUGACCUGGCCUGGGGUGGCUUCCACACACACAGGACAGUUCUCUUGACUAAGGUGCACCUGAGCAUUCUUCCCUUGGGUUGUUGGAUGGAGACCAAGGUGAACCGGCUGGGGCCGAGGACUGCACCUGGGGUGGAUCUAGCUAGGCCUGCAGCCCACCCUGUCCUUUGAGGUCCUUCCUGGGGAGGAGGGAGAGGGGAAGAUCAAGUUAGUUGUUUACUUGGGCAGAAAGGACAGUGGAGAAAAGGGCUUAAGCAAAUCAUAGGCUGCACAUCUGUCCCCGUAGGCUGCCCUGGUUCUGAUAAUGGGUUUUCCACUUGUAAACAACUGCACCUGCAAUAAGUUUUGAUGUGGGUUUUUUUAAGAAAGAGAACGUCUAAUCUUGUAGAUCUUCAUGAGAGAAAUUUAUUCAUUUGUUAAUUUAUUCAACAAAUAUUUGUUGAGCACCUGCCAUCAGCCUUGUGCUGUGGUAUGUGCUGGAGAUACAAAGAUACAUGUAGAUCAGUGCCCUCGAGGACGGUUCCCAUCCAGUGGACAGACAGACGGGUAAACCAGUAGUUACAACAGCACACAAUAGCACAAUAGCUCAGUGAGUGGCAGAACAUAAACCCAUACCUCUAGGGAGACUAAGGAAUGUGUGAUUCAGUUCCAUCUGUGCCUGGUAGGACAUUCAGUGGCUCUUAAAGGAUAAGAGGGGUUCAAAGAGGUUUGCAGGUUUGGGAGAGGGGAAAGGCAUCCCAGGGAGAGGAACAGCAUACACAGAAGCACAGAAUAUUGAAAGGUGUGUGUAAAGAAUGGUAAUACUGAGUGUGGGUAUGCACUGGAGCAGUGGUGUGUUAGGAUGAGGACAGAUUCAGAGAGCCUUGAACAUAGUGCCAUUUCAGCCUUAGCCUGAUGAGAGGAAGAAUGAGAAAAUGUGUUUCAAGGGUCUUUAAUGGUGAGUGUCUUAGUCAGGAUAGGUUCAGCUAUGCUACAGUAACAAAUAUCCCUGAAUGUCAGUGGCUUGAAACAGUGGUUCCUUCCUCAUUCACAUUACAUGUGGAAUACUGGCGUGGGUACGGGAGGUUGUGCUCCAGGAACUCAGGCUGACAGAGGCUCCAUCUUCCUUUCCUCUUCCCAACCCUAUGACUUCACUGUUCAUUGUAGCAGGGGAGAUGAAAGAAGUCCUUCUGCCCCUUUUCUAGAAAGUGCUGUAUGGCCCCACUACUCAAGGUCACUAGGACAGGUAGGGGUUCAAAUGGACUGUUUGGUUAUUAAUAAGGCUGACUCUUUGUGACAGUUACCUUGUGCUGGGGAUGGGCUUGUCCAGUUGAGGCCUGGGCAGCCACUGGUUAUGGGCGUUAGCUCCUGGUGGGGACCUGGGACGUAACCAAAGUCAUGUUUUAACAUGGCAUUCCACGUGGAAUUUUAUUGUCCUCAAUACUGAGGCAGUUGGAGAAGACUCUCUUUCGGGGCUGUUGGACUAUCAAUCUGUCCAGCAUCGUGUGAGUCUAGGAUAUAGUCCCACAGAAAGGUUUUGUGCAGAACCCAGUAGCAAAUUGUAAAGCGGGCUUUUGUGGAGGACUCUGGUUAUUUUUAUUUUAUUUUAUUAUUAUUAUUAUUUUUAGUUAUAGAGGAACACAUACCUUUAAACUUUAUUUAUUUAUUUAUUUUUAUGAGGUGCUGAGGAUCAAACCCAGUGCCUCUGCGUGCUAGGUAGGGAUUCUACCACUGAGCUACAACCUCAGCCCAGGACUCUGGCUCUUUUAUACAGAUGGUUUAAGCAGCAUCAUUCAAAUGGAGCUGGCAUUCCACAGGGGGACUUUGGAAGUCCCCGGCUGGGCCAUUGUCUUCUUGCACAGAUAACUCUACAGCCACUUCUCCCUAGACAGAAGGGAGAAGGCCACCCUGGCCAGCCCUUAGAUCUGCCCUGUGCUUUCUUAGGGCUGGUGGAUGGAGGCAGGGCCUCUCUGGGCCUCGUGGGUUUGGACUCUGUGCUUGCUAAAGGUGGGGACUGCUGGUGAGAUUGGGGAAAUCUGCUGGGUAGGACACUGGACAAGACGGCCAUUAGGUGUGACUUUAGGACUUGUCCUAGAGGCAAACACCUACUUUUGAUUUGCUUCCCAGGCAGUUGGUAGGAAAACUUCCUGACAGGGUGAGAGCUGGAGUGUUGUUAGCUGGUUUCUUUUGAUAAAUGCUGGACUGCGGACUGGCACACCCGUGUGGAAAAGGCCCACAGCUGCCAUUUCUUGCUGAGUGGCCAUCUCUGCCUGAGUGUCCCACAGUCGGGGCUCAGCAGUCCUGAGCCUAAAGGGCAGUCUGUCCUCUCCAGCCUGUGCUCCUGUUGCCAACGUUUACGCAGCAGUUCAAACCUAACUGUCCUCCGCUGUCCCCUUCCUCUACCCCAGCUCUGAGACACAGUUCAGUCUUCUUACCUGCAACUUGCAGGGUUUAGAUCCGAUCAUUUAGCUUUUAAGCAAUUGCAACUGAUCUCUCUUUAUUCUUCUGCCGAGUUUAUUUCGUCUUCUGGGCUGACGUUGGGAUUAUUUUCCCAUUCAGAACCUUGGUUUCCUCAUCGGUGGAACGGGCCUGAUGGUUGGUUGUGCAGCCCAGGGGGCUGGGGGAAGAGCACUCGAGCUAGUGCCGUGAAAUCAUAGCUCAGUGUUGGGGCUGCCUUUUCGGGUCACUUCCCUCUUGUUGGACUCUUCUAUUUUUUUUUUUUUUCAUUUUGUAACCUUCACAUUUUCUUCAUGAUAAAAUGAGAUCUUUACAGUAAUGAAAGUCAAAGGACAACUUGACGUAAGUCUUGUUCUCGUGGAGCUGGGGACAUUGCUUUGAGCACCUUCAGUGGUGGGUUGUGUUGAGCUGAGCUGUUUCCCUUCAGGACUGCCUGGGGUUGGAGCAGGUGGCCUGGGCUUGGGCUUUGCAGACGGGGGCUAUUCUGGAUGGUAGAGGGGCUUUCCUUUCUAAACACUGGUUUCCAAGUCCUGUGUGUUCUUGGUGGAUGGAGGCAGGGCUAAUGGUCCCUCUAGAGUGUUGGGUCACAUAGUGUAUCCACAGGCCACUUUGUGGGUGAGAGCUGAGCUUGGACGAGGUUGAGGGGGGUGGUCUUUGAAGGAAAGACACAUUCAUGCAUAAGUCAUUUUCUUCCCUUAAAUACUUUUCAAAAUUUUAACAUAAAUGUUAACAUGGAAUGUUCCAGACUCAGACAUGAGCUGUUGGAGGAGGCCCAGAGGUCGGCGUGGACGUUUCUUUGCAGCCUGGACAUUUCUUGGAUGCUUCCGAUCUUCGUUCUCCACAUUCCCAGGGAUUUUGUCAUGUUCCACCAUAACAUGAAGCAUGUCAGACUCUAUUUGUUGUUUCUGUGUCCCCAUGUCCUAAACCCAGGUGUUCCCCCAAAGGUGCACACCUCUCUGUGAAAGUGUGACUCAGGGCAAGAGCCCUGCCAGCGAGGGGACACUCUGUUUCUUCCAGCUGGCCUCCUUCCUCCAGAGACACUGUUUUCCCAUCAUUCGGACAUUCCUGGGCCCGGCUUGCAACAUGAUUGCGGAUUUUGUUCUUCUAUCCUGUGCCCUAGAUGUCCCCCGCAAGGGAUUUUUCACAAAAUGCCCCUGUAGGUGGGAAGGGGAGGAUUCAAGGGCCUUUUGUCAGGACAGAAGUGGGAGUGAGGGACAGGGAGCAUCAAGAAGCCCGUGUGCGGAGGAUAAUCAGAAUGAGACAGAAACUAAGUGUGGGGUUGUCACUGGAAGCAUCCCAUCAGAUGCUUGUUUUUCUCUUCUGUACAUUUCCUCGUGCUCCUGGGGCAGUAAUACUUUAAAGCACAGAGAACAGCCCCCUGCCUCUGGCCUAUCUACUGCAUUGUGUCUUGGGCCUCAGCCACUAGCAGGGGUCUUUCUCCUAGUUCCAACAGGACGAAGGGCCUACCUGGUGUCUGAAUUGCCUCUGAGAGCACAGAGCUGGAAGCCGCUUCCUAACAGCAGAGGGAUUAGGGACAAAGGAGGACAGUUUCAGGCCAUUAGGGACAGGCAGCUUUGGGGGUCAAUUUUUGAGGUUAGCUAUUCAGUUCCUCCUCUUGUUUUCCAAAUUCUUAGGUUCGUUAACAGCAAACGGAGAAAGCCGUUAGAGUUCAUGUGGGCACUAUGACGUGGGAUUUGGAGAGUUGAUUAAGAUGACUGAUGUCUAAACAGUGAGUGAAUGGACUUAUCUUUACCUGGGCUCCAUGGACCUGCAAAUAAGUGUGUGUGUGUGUGUGUGUGUGUGUGUGUCUGGGCCUACUCUGCCUGACUGGCACGUCUUUCUGUGCACAAAUAUAUGUAGGCCUAUAAAUAAAACCCACAAAUGAGUGCCUUGGGCGGACAUGAGGACUACUCUUUCUAUUUUGUGCGUUAAAUGAGGUGUGCAGGUCUCCUCGGGAGACCAGGCCUGGGAGAAACAGCAGCUCCCGGAAGGGGCCUGGGUUCUCUGGGUUUCUGUGCUGUGCUGUUCUGUGGUUAGUGGGGAGAUGGAUCUACGGGCCUGGGGACAUCCUAUUCUUAGCUCCGGGGCUACCCUGUGGCUUCUCUUUACCUAGUGGGUGUAUUUCCCUUGUCGGGCUUUAGGGAUGAAUCCGGACUUUGCUGCUUCAGGGACUGUGGGCUAAGCCAUGAGACAGCUACUUGAGCCUCAGUGCGCUCCCUCUUGGAGGAUGCUUAUAGGUUUCUAAGGUCAUCCAGGGCUCUGUGUGUGUGGAGCAGGAGUGAGCUCUGUGGGCAGAUAUAGAGAUUACACAAGCAUUGGUUGAGCACCUAUGGUAUGCUGGGGCAUGAGCUAAAUCCUUGACCUUAGUUGGCACUUGGGACAACCUAAGAGGCAGGUCCUGACACCCCCAGGUUACAAACACAAAGAGGUUUCCAGGAGUGUGAACCAGCCAACAGGGUCAUCCACACUGAAAUAUAGCUAGGGUGACAACUCAGGGCCACAGCCCCAAGGCCUACAUACACCCAUUGAUAUUUCCCUCCUCGAAUGAAGAUAAAUGCUCAAAGAGAAGUUGAAUACCUGCCUAUUGAAUGAAUGAAAUAUCAAAAAAGAGAGCUGGAAAAGUCAAAGCAUACUUGCACACUCAGUCCUCAAGGAGGUUACAUCUAGUUAGCAGCUGCGCACGCACACACAAAUGUUACUUAGCCUCUCUGCACUUCAAUUUCCUUAUUUGUGAAAUAGACUAAAAUAACGAGCUCAUCUGUGAAGACUGAAUGAAUCUGUGAUCAUAAAACACUUGGGAUAGCACCCGAUACCCGGUGUACACUCGGUGUGUAUUAGCUAUUAAUUAGGGCGAGCAUUAUGACUGUCAUCGUAUGUCAUAGAGGCAUGUAGGGUUAGAAGAGACAGGACUCAGCGUGAGUCCAUCAUGGCCGUGGAGCACUGGCAACCUGGGACGUUGAGACAACAGUGUGGAGAAUGAGGAGAGCAGUGUAGGCGCCCUAGUCCACGGACACUGCCUUCCGUGUCCUGUUCCCUCCAAGAUGUCAAGUCUGGCACCUUCUGUGGAGGUGGGUAUGGGGUGGGGGAGAGAAGCUGGGGCAGGAGGAGUGUCAGGAGCCCAGUUAGACCUGGUGUCCGUAGUCCGGUGGCUGCAUGCCCAGUUAGCUCUGCCCACAUCUCCCAGGCCACAGGAAUUCAGCUGUGGGGCUUACUGGCUUCUUCUGAGCCUCACCCUGACUUGGACUCUGUUGGUUGGGAGCCAUCUCUAUCAGACAUGCUCACCACGACGCAAGACGGGAGCGGUCACACGGGCAUCAUGAGACCAUUGCUCCCCAGAGGCCGAGAUCUGCGGGGCGCCUUCCUGCACAGCGGGAGGAUGCCGGUGGAGGAGCGUGGCCGGGGACCUUGCUCACACUUCUGUGGACUUUUAAGGGUUGAUCGGUGCAAUGGCGUGAAUGUGUUUACCCGCCAAAUUUUUGUGAAAAUCUGACUCCCAACGUGAGUGUGUUGAGUUGGGGCCUUUGCGUGAUGCCUCGGUCAUGAGGGCGGGGCCUUCAUGAGCACAAAUGGGAUUUGUGUCCUUAUCUAAAGGACAUCCUUCAGGAGGGUGACCAGGCCAGCGAGGGGCCAUGAAAGUCUUACUCUGUAAGAGGGAGUUUUGAUACUGUGGCCACUGGUAGAUAUCAGGUGUUGACAGAUGACUGCAUCACCUGGACAGGGGUGACUGAGGGGGAGGCCGUCCAGUCUUGGCAUCUGAAAGGCUGCCAUGGGUUAGGGGAAGGCGUAGGGUUAGGAUGCCCUCAUAGAAGCUCUGAGUGAGUUUGGGGAGAGCUGGACCCUGAGGAUCUCUGGUUGCUUUUGACCUUGGUUUCUAGGCACCAUCUUGCAAAACCCUCCAGACAGAAAACAAGCGACUCAGGUUGUUUGUACUAAGAGACUGAAGUGUAUAAAAGACCCAAAUCCUAAACGUAAGUCCUGUGGAUUUUCAUAUCGUAGACCUCCGUGUAACCACCCUGCAGACCAAGACAGGAUCCAUGUUUCCAGCAUUCUGGAAGGUUCCAUCUUCCCACUUCUCAGUCGGUAAUUCUCCCCCCUCCCUUGAUCCACUGGGGGUGGCUGCUAAGGUUGUGGAGAGGAAGGGUCAACAGACAAGCCCACCCACCCAGCAAACAAAGACGGGCUUCUUCUGAUGGGGGCAUUUCUAGGCUUGGUUUGGGUUAACAGGGUGCCUUGGUGGAUUCUGGAGCCUUUCUUUUGCUGGAACACGUGGACACCAGGUUCCCAUUCCGAGGGCUUUCCUUUCUGCUUAUCCGACCAACCAUACGUUUUGUAACAUUUUUUUUUUUAGUCUUUGGCAGACACAACACCUUUGUUUGUAUGUGGUGCUGAGGAUCGAACCCAGGCCGUACGCAUGCCAGGCGAGCGCGCUACCGCUUGAGCCACAUCCCCAGCCCCAACCAUACAUUUUGUUUCCUUUGAGGGCCAAAUCGACCUCGGAGCAUGUUUAUGGCCACACUUUAAGCAUCAGCUGACCUUCCAUCUCAAGUCUCUGCCUUUCCAUUGGAUGCUUCUUUCUCUUUUUCUUUACUUUUUUGUUCUGGUACCCGGGACUGAACCCAGGAGAGCUUAGCCACAGAGCCACAUCCCCUGCCCUUUCUAUUUUUGAUUUUGAGACGGGGUCGUACUGAGUUGCUUAGGGCCUCGCUAAGUUGCCGAGGAGGCUGGCCUCGCCCUUGCAAUCCUCCUUCCUGAGCCCCCCGUGCUGCUGGGAUUCCAGGUGUGCACCCCCACACCCGGGUGUGCCCCUUUUUCUGACUGCAGACUUUCCCCAGAGGGUUGGAGAGACCCUGCCCGCCCAGCAGGAGAGAUGAACGGAGAAGCCCCCUGCCCUGUCCUUCUCUGGGCAGCCGCAGCUCAUGCCACAAGUUGUCCCUCAGGUCUCCCUGCCUCGGUGUCCCUGUUCCACCUGACCUUUCUGGUUUCUUCUUCCUGGUUUCCCUUCUCCUCUGCCUCCUCUAGGAGCGGCAGCUCUGUGGAUUUGGGGCACCCCGAGCUGUUUUAGCAAGUCCCCUGCUUCCCACUUCCCAGGGCAUAGCCUGGCCAUUGUCACAGGGGUCUUUGCUCCCCUCCAGGGACUGCCCUCAGAACGCGGUGCCCUCUGGAUUGACUCUUGGGUUUGGAGCUUACGGUGGAGUGGGAGUCACCGCCACUUACAGGGAUGGCUGAUGAGGGCACCUCCUUCCUGCCUCUCGCCAGGCUGGGGAGAAGUGGCUUGAAACCUAUUUAUUUGUGCUUAACGGUACCGAAAUGCACAUGAGGUAGGCCUUCUUCAGCGCCCCAUUCAGUGAUGUUGACUUGAGCACAUUGUUAUGUAGCCAUCGCCUCCAGCCAUCUGCCCCUUUUUUAUCUUGCAAAACGGAAACUCCAAACCCAUUAAACCCUAACUCCCCGUUCUCCUCUUCCCCUACCUCCUAUCCUGGUGCCCACCCUUCUACUUCCAGUCUUCUCUAUGAGUUUGAUCCAUCUGGGGACCUCCUAUGAGUGGCAUGAAGUGGCUGCCUUAUUUCACCUGACUUGAUGUCCUCAAGGUGCGUCCAUGUUGCAGGGAGUGUGAGAUUUCUUUUCUUUUUAGGGCUGAAUAAUAUUCCAUUGCAUGGAUAGGUCAUACAUAGAACAGAGUCAUAAGGCAAGUGCACCAGGACUCAAAGUCUCCUUACUUUUGCAUGUAUUGAGCACCUACUGUGUUCCUGACCAAGGUCCCUGUUGUCCUGUGUGGGGACUUCCAGCUGUGGUUUGCUUUUCAGGCGGGGAAGCAAGCAUGCAAAGGUGAAGGGGUAGGGUUGUGAAGUUCCUCCUUCCAGCACUCACGGCUCAGAGGGCUAGGAGGUGCCCCUGUCCCUUGGCAAGCCACCUUCCUACAUUUCCAGAAAUGAGAUUAGAAUUGUUUAGCUUGGGCUUAAAGUUCACACACAGUGACGUGGUUUAGACAUAAGCAGGCUGGCCACGAGGGUUCACUUCAUCGCCUCCCAAGUUAGUAGAAACUGAAGGCGUGCAGUGCGGCUUAAGAGGUCUUUUUGAGGAGUUUGAGGCUCUGAAAUACCAUUAGAAGAGAACAGAAAAAACCAAGGAGCCGGACACACUUGGGGUGUCUCACGUCCUUAGCUGUCUCCUUGGUGGCAUGUGGGGAACCAUCCCCCCUGCCCCCAGUCUCGGGGCUCUUUGACGGUUCAAGGCCUGGAGACUUUUAAAAUGGGCUCCCCAUUGGUUUGGGUGGGACUGGACUCGCGUCCUGUCUUGUGCUUUCUAUAAGGCAGCACGUGCUCAGCUGGCUUGGGUCUCCGUUACCUUCCAGACCCAUCUGUCCAUCCACGUCCAGUGGCUGCUUUCCUGUGCCAGGCACUGAAAUGGUGUGCUCAUCAGAGAGGUCAAGGGGUAGACAUAAUAUCAGCCGUGAAGUGCCUGCUGGUUAAAUUUGGGGGUACCUAGGACUGUUCUGUGAAAUCACACCAACAGAUUAUCGUAAUGCCCAGAGCCUAAUCCAGACUUGGUUUCUCACCUCCAGCUUAAUCCCACCCCCAGAGGGAAAAAAAAAAGGUCGACUUUGACUCUCAAUAAGUCUUCAUUCUUCCCAUUCCUCUCAGCACUCACAGGUUUCACCUUGAGGUCUUGGAGGCGACCUUCCUACCUGUCCAUAUUUCCCUGGUCACCGGGGAAGAAUCAAAAGUCAUGCAUACUUGGGACUUGAGCUUGGUGGUAGUGGGAGAGGAGCUGGCUUUGGGGGCACAUUUGGUCCAGGGGUCCCUGCUCUCUGUAGAGACUGCCUGCACCCAGAUUUUUCACUCACCAUUUUCAGAUGGCACUUUCCCCUCAGGACUGUGGCUACAGGUGUUCCUCAGCCACCAUCCCUGUGCUAGGUAGGACUUGCGUGAUGGACAGCAGAGAGGUCCUCCGAAUAGAUGCACUUCUCAGAGCAGGGAUGAUCAUCGAACCCUGAAAAUAGAGAUGGGGCAGAGGUUGGUAUGGAGGAAUCCUUUUGUAGGUGUCUUCUGGCUGGCACAGCAGAAUGGGAAGUUUGCUAAUGUGUGUUCUGAGUCAUGGAACAAGAAGAAAUCAUGGGCCCUUACAGUGUCCCUUGGAGGUGCUAACUGGAGCCUGGGGCCUUGCCCCUUGUUGUGGCUUCACUGUGGCGAUCUGUGAGUGUCGGGCGCGUCAAGAUUUCCUUGGGACCCUGUUUCCCCAUUGCUGAAACAGAGAGGUUGACCAGAUGCCCCUGUGAUUCUCCAUCGGCCUCUCCGAUUCCUACCUCCUGUCACUGUUACCAGCUCAGCUCUGGGUUGUACCAUCUCAGACCUGUCACUAGGUCUCUGGCACAAACCUUUGGGACCAGUUUCAAGAGAGUGUUUAAUAUGCAACCCUGCAGGCUCUUGCAAACCUUUCUGGAUAACACUUACUUCAUUGCCCUUCUAAAAAUGAGAAAAGAAAGAAAAGGUUGCUUAGCAGACUCAGGGUAAUCGAGGCGGACAGAUGUCACUCAGAAUUUUAUUAUUUAAAGCCACAGUGAUUUUCCAAAUAACCUAAAAGCAUAUAAUCCAACCUCAAAACAGUGUCCUGUAACAGAGGCCAGGGAACCCUGUAGGAAGUGAAGUCAGGAUCUUGGCACCCUUUGAGUGCUGGGUCAGUGGCUCUGAACACUUUUAUGUUCUCCGAGAAAUACGGGAACGUGGAGCCAUAUCAGAUUACUGAGUGUGGCUGCCAAGGUCUCAGAGUGCUGGGGGUGUCUUGGGUGUUUCUCCACAGGACCUCAGCCAGUGUGACACCUCUUUUGGUCCCCUUAAAGAGCUUUCUCCCCAUGAUGUGGGAGUGAGGGUGGAGAUGUAACAGCUUUCACAUAUUGAAAACAAACUGAGCACCUUUGUGUGUCUAAGGAUUGUCCUGCUGUAUUGAGAAGAUCACCUCCCUGGUGGGUGGCAGAGACAGUUAUAGAAGGAAAGCAAGACAUGUUGAAUACCUACUGUUUUCCGGCUACUGUGCUUUAUUUAAACUGCAUAUUAUUUACUUAUCCCUCAUAAUUAUUUUUUAAAAUAUUAUUAAUCUUUGCAUCAAUCAGGAGUAUAUUCAUUGACCUUGUAAGAAUUACUAUCCCAUUUUACAGAUGUGGGAAUUGAGGCCCAGAGAGGUGACGGUCCCUUAUCCAGUGUGGAACUAGGAGACGGCAGAGCAGGGUUUGAAUCUGGGAGAGUGGAUCAGGGGUUGGGAGCUGGCGUGGAUUUCAUUGCUGGCGACAGGUCCUGAGUGGACAGCUGAUGGGAUGGGUGAGGCUGUCUUUCUGGGACUAGGAAUCACAGGACUGGUCUGCCUUGAAGUGGGAGGGAUGAGGGGCAUGUGGUGGACCCAACCGGGGCUGAGGUGCUGUCUGAAGCCGGGCCCUGUGUUCUCAGGUGGCGGUCCCUGCAAGGAGCCCACUGGAAGUUAUCUGUGCAGAUCCGCGUGCAGGAAGCAUCUCCGGCGGCUUCCGAGCGGGGAGAGGAGAGGCUGCCGGGCUGCCAGCGCCUGCCUGGCUGUUGUUUGGUUUUCUCUGACUGGAUCUUUGUUUCCUGUGAACCCUGAGCCUCGAGGCUCUUGCCUGGGCUCACUCUGCGCUGCAUGGAGCCCUAGCCUGGUUAAGUCAACACCGUUGCAAUAUUACCUGUCUGUUAACCUGUCAAAAUUGCUUUACAGCCCCCUUUUAUCUUCCCCCCCACGGAAUUUCCCCUGGAGUUUUCUGCCUGCUCUCCUCCAUCUUACAGAGUGUCCCCACCCCCUGAGUCAUUAAAUAUUGUCAGAGUGCCGCCACUUACUGCUGCCUUGUUCGCCCAGUUCAGAUAAAUUGUUGUUGACUCUGUGAUGCAGACCAAGGACACCGGGCUCCCAGCCCCAAGAAAGUAAGCACAGUCCCUGCCAGGUGGGCAGAGGCCAGGGGGGCUGCGGCCCUACCCGGAGCUGGGGGAGGCCGCACAGGGAGGGAGCCCUGCCUCCCGGCCAGCGGGCUGGCUGCUGGCUGCCUGGCGGGCCUUCUUCCUUCCCUCUCCGCCUGCUCCACCCUCUCUCUAAACAUGGAGCUUAUAAAUUGGAGGGUCUUGGGGCAAUGUCCAGUUCUAAGCCUCAGCCAUUAGGGGCUGAGGCCUGGCCCCAGGUGUUGGUCUCCUGCUGGAUUGAAUGAGUUCCAACGUUCUUUGGAAAUUUGCUUUUAUUUAAAAAAAAAAAAAUCAUGGUAAAUUACACCUAACAUAAAAUUUAUCAUUUUGACCAUCGUAAGGUGAAUCACUCGCUGGUGUUGUGAGUAGUCACAGGGUUGUCUACAGAUCACUGCUAUCUAGUGCCAGAGCUUAAAAUCCACUUAAAAAUUUUCUGAAGUUAUAAUUCAUAGGCAAAAAUUGUGCACCUUUAAUGUUUGCAUUUUGGAGAGUUUGGACGUCUGUGGAGACCACCAGAAAGGAAACCCCAGACCUGUUGGGGGGCCGUUCUCUGCUGCCCCUGCUCCCUGGCCCCUGGUGACCUGAUGGCCAGUCUACCUCUGCCUCUGUGGUCGCCCCUGGCCUGGAGGCUUAGUCAUCUAAACAGAAUCCUGCGAUUCUGGCUCUGGCUGAGCACGGUGUCUCCAGGGUUCUGAGAUCCACUUGCAUCUUCUGCUCAGCCCCUCCAAGGGACAUGGGUGGUUGCUGGGGACCUGUGGGGCGGCCUUGCUUGCUCCGGCAGCAGCUCUCGCAAGCUGGAGCCUGUGGUCUCUCCAUCUGCUGGUACCUGGAGAAUUUCCACUGCUCCCUGGGGAGGUCACUUUGACUUGCCCAGGGCCUCCUCCACCCCCGGGGGCUGGUGCCCUGUGUCCUCUGGGUCAGGAGUCUGACAGUUGGUGGAAGCACACAUCUUUGGACAGUUGGGCUCAGCACUUCAUGUGGAAAGCCCUUUGCUUGGAAUCGGAAAGUCAGGAUAACAAAGUUAGGGUGUGGGCCUUGGAGUCUGCUGGAGGUUCGGGUCAUAGCUGUGUUGUGACUUCACCAUUCAGCCCCGGUGUCUCUACCUGUCCAACAGAGAUGUCCCAGCCCACCCUCCAGUUGACACUAGCAACUGUCCAUUGCUGUGCAGAGUCCCUGUGUUCAGGAUGCGUAUGGUGACUGGUUAUGGUUCAUAACAUCUAGGCUCCAAAAGUUACCAGUAUAAUAUCCCUCCGUCCCCCACCCCCGGGGGCCCCCUUGUGGUUUGGUCUGAGACAAGGAGAAAACCUCACUUCUCUGCAAGUUGGCAACAGCAUUUCCCCUCUUUCUUUUCUUUCUCCUUUUUAUUCUGUGUCCCUGGUUUUUGGAAUCCCUCCCAGUCUGAGCCCAUUCUGAACUCGCUCAUGUUUCCAUCCCUCCACGCCGACCUCGUGGGGCCUUGGUGACAGGGCAGUCCAUUAAUCUUGCAUGACACACAACAGGCUCCAGAAAGUGGGAAAGAGUUAAUAUUGCCCCCAAGUGUCCCAUCCCUUUUGGGGUCAGGAGAAAAGCGACUUUAUUAUCCUGUGUAGCCUGACUCAAAUCCAGCGUCGUGCUCUGAAGCUUGUUAUCAUGUUUGCAGUCAUCACUUAUUGAUCAUCUGUUUAUGGUAUUAUAUAUUCACAACAUGAUGGAUUGUUGUUUGUUUAUUGCGUGAGCUCAUGAAGCAGGCUGUGGAGACCUUGGUGGGCUCCUGACAUCAGUCCUGCCUCUGGCUGCGCGACGAGUGGGUUGCGUAACCUCUUUGUUUCAUGCCUGUGAAUCAUUGGCCCUUGGCCUCCGCGUCUUGGGGUGCAGAGAGGAGGAGUGGGCAUUGCCUGCAACCCUGCUGUGUUCCCACUCUUGGCCACUGCUCCGUGAGCCCUCUGGGGAGCCGGGAAGUGCCAGUCAGGGACCUUCCUGUGGUGGGAUCCUCAGGAGGAGUCCAUUGCUUGGCUCAGCUAUUGGAACCAAACUCACUUUUGUUUUCUAAAGGAGGUAGCUUUUCUGACUAAAAUAAUAAUAAUAAUUGUCACACUUCAGAAGUCAAACAAAAGGUUGUUCCUUUCCUUCUCUUCAUUGUUCUCAUAUUCUGAGUGGAUGUGUGUGCUGCCUUCUUUUUUGGAAAAGGUGACCUCUGGAUUUGUUUCUCAAGUCAGCCUUGUUGAUGUCAGGUUGACCUACACAAUUUGCUAAAACAGCCCGAGACGCAGGUUUGGAGCUUUGGGACCGUAUAUCCAUGUAGGCUGCAGUACUGGGGAUGGCCCCACUUGGUGAGUGGCCCUUGAGAUGAGACGGUCUCAGGCAGGAUUAGAAGUGUCCUAGGGGAGAAGAGACGCACAGAUGAAGGGAAGGUUCUCCCCUGCUCUGGGGACCUGAGUGGCGGUUGCCAGACCUUUCCCCCUAUACCUACAGCAAGCAAGAGGAGGCAGAUGGAGUGCUCCCCGCCAGGGCUCAGGCAGACGUGUCCCCCUCUCCUGACCCUGGCUCCCAGCUCCUGCCUGCAAGGCCCCUGCCCCCUCCACAUCAUCCAGGACACCCGAGGUGGCCAUGCCGAUGGGCCGUGGAGAGAGCUGCCUGGCCUCAGCCCCUCUCAGGGGGACCUUGCCUUGCCUUUAACAGACUGGGCCUCACUCUCUUCACUGGCCAAGGGAAUUUCUCGGGGGCCACCGUGAGCUUGGGGUAAACUGUGCCUUUGUCCCUCUCAUGUCUCAGUUCCCCACGUGCCCUGCUUCUGAGAGUCUGGGCAGAAAGCUCUGAGCCCUUCCAGCUCAUGGCUCUGGUGAGCUUCCGGUGGACUUCAUAUCACGGUGCUUGGAAAAAGGGUGACAUAGGCCAGUCACCAUCAGAGUGGGGCUCCCGAAUGUUCUGGAACCACCUGAUUUGAAGGAGGCCGAUCCCUGCUCUCCACUGGUUCUCUCCCUCGUCCUUCAUCUUAAGGAAAACACAGACAAAAGCUUUGCCUCUAUAAAAAGCUACCUUACACAGGAGCUCGAAGGGACCCAGAACACUCAGAUCUCUCUUUCGGUGGUCUCGUGCACCUUCAGACCCUCAAGACUGAAGCCAGCCUCGUCCAUCUCAGGGUCGGAAACUGGACAGCAAUAUGCCUGCCAAGGGAAGGGGCAGCUUUGGAAGGCCCGAGUGUGCCUUUGUCCCUCGCAGCAGCCAGCACAUCCAGCUUGCGUGGGGCCAGGGCCCAGGCUCCACAAAUCCCCCAUGGUGCUGGCAGCGGCUGCUUAAAGCCCCAGGACCGAAAUAGCAGAAGCAGUUAGAGGCUGAGGCUGGAAUCGGCUGGAGGAGGGAAUCCGUCAGAAUCUCCUGGAAGAAUCUCUUCUCUGGGGAAGCCCAGGCCUGUCUGCUGGGAGAGAUGGAGGGGAAGGGGGUCUCGACUCUGAGUGUUGCUAAGGAGGCUCAGUGGCCAGCCCUGUGAACCUGAGCGUGACUCUUUCAUUCCCGGGGCCCUUCGCUGUGUGUAACCCUUUGUGCUUCUGUGACUGGCACAGCUAGGAAGGUAGACCAGAUGAACCACCCAUUCACAAGCCUGUUUACUGGGAACUUGGGUGUGUUCUGAAGCACCAUCUCCCACUUAAGCCUCCACACGAGCAUCCACAGUGGCCCAUUUUACAGAUGAGAAGGAGGCUGGAGAGGAUUAAUUGACUCACCCAAGGUUAAGGGAAGACGAGCAGUUGGUCCCUCAGGUCCUCUCUCUAUGGGUUCCCAACCCUGCGGAGCUCAUCUGGAUUUGCAGGCUUAGAUCCCCUUCCAUGUCUGUCUGAUCUCUGAUGGUCUCUUGCACUGGACUCAGGGUGACUGGGGAUGACUGGUUUCGUUCCACGUUGACUCUCUAGUGCCUGGCACACAGUAGGCUCUUUAACUGUUGGUGGCAUGCAUGAAUGAACAAUGCCAGAACCCCUUAGUGGACCUUUGCCACUGGGGCUAGUCUGCAGCUGCUGCCUGGGCAGAGGACAUUAGCAGCGGAGUUCAACUCCCUCUUGAGAGAUUGGCACAGGGGCAGGCAGUGCCCGUCACAGUUCCUGAACAGCUCAUGCCAUCUGUCUCUGCAGCAGGGUGGCUUAGGCGGUCCACCAUGGCCCAGAGUCAUCCAGAACUGUGGCUUCUCCACCCUCCAGAUGGCCCAGUAAGGAGGCUGCUCAGAGUGACCUGGGAGGUAGUAGCUCCUCUCCUCCACUGGGAAGAUGGAGGGCAGAGGCAGACCAGGAAGUGGCGUUGGACAGGGGUCCACCUACUGCUCUAUCCACCUGGCUGUUAAGGGCACACUGGACUCAUGUUAUCUUUUGGGUUUUGCUUACCCAUGAAUUUCUCUUUGGAAGUGUUCCAUGUUUCAAGAUGGUCCCUUGUUCUUUCUUCUCUGAGACAUGGGAAACAUGGGGACCAUUCUGGAUCCAUGCGGCAGGAGAGUCUAAGAGAAGGAGGGCUUUUCUGGAGGUCAGUGUCGCUGUGUGUAACCCCUUGCACUUCUGUGACCGGGCCAGCUAGGACGGUAGACCAGAUGAACCAACCAACCCAAGCUGUGAAGGAUUGCAGACCCUGGAGCUGGGCACGGACAUUUGCUCUAAACUCCAAUAAAUACAGAAUGGGGGGAGGGAUUCCAGGUUCUGGACGUAAGGCAGUACCUAAGUCACCCCUUCUGCUCUCUUGCUGGAGGUCCUGGGAAGGCACAGGAGGACCUCAGGCCUCGUCCUUCCUGCGGUGCUCUCAGCCUGCCAUGGCUUGAGGUGAAGCCUGAGAGCCUGACUCACAUGGCCUUGCCUGUGAGUGUCCCAGGGCCUCGCAUGGGUGGCGUUCUGGAUUCACACUGCCUGAGCCUGAGCCCAAACUCUCUGUGAUCCAGCAUUGGGAGGGACUUACCGGGAGCUUGCUGCUGUCCUUGGCUCCUUCCUCCCCUCCCACCGUCCGCCCCCAGAGGUUUGCCUUUCAUCCUGGAGCUCCAGGGAGCUCCUGUCACCAUGGUUAUUCCUCAAUGUCAGGCUUGAUUUGUUGCAAGUUGUAUUCGAUUCCAGCCGCCUGUUUUAUUUACAGGAGGGAGGUCUUUCCACAUCUGCCCCAUCUUUCACAGUUUGUGCUUACAGAGUGUGCAUAACUCCUCACAAUUAGACGCAUGCACAUGCGCGCUCGCACACACACACACACACCCCUGACGGAGCCUGCUUACCGCUCGGGGCCCGGGGAAACCCUCACGAGCCAGUCCCCUUUCUCAAGCUCUGCUCAUGACAGAGCCCACCUACCACCCAGCGUGGUCAGAACCCCCCGGUGGAUCUUAGGUUUCGAUGUCAGGUGGAUGAGAUGAAUCAUCUGGGGGUCAGAAAUCUCCAGAUAGACCUCCGAAGGCCCCAGCAGCAGGGAGGUGGAAGUCUUCAUCCUGGAAGACUCCCGUGACUAGUAGCGCUUCCAUUUCUAGGGCUUGAGUUGCUCUUUGCUGGACCUUGUUGGGCCCACACUUAUCCUUCAGCUUAGGAGAGAAAGCCUUGUCUUGUUUUUUUGUUUUUUUUAAAUAUUUUUUAUACCUUUAUUUUGUUUAUUUUUAUGUGGUGCUGGGGAUCGAACCCAGGGCCUCACAUGUGCUAGACAAGCGCUCUACCACUGAGCCACCACCCCAGCCCUGUUUUUCUUUUUCUUCCUCCCCUUCCUCUGCUUCCCUGAGGUACAAGUGACUGAUAAAGAGUGCAUGUGGGGGCUGUGGCGGUGGCUCAGUGGUAGAGCACUCGCCUGGCACGUGUGAAGCCCUGGGUUCAAUCCUCAGCACCACAUAUACAUAAAUGAAUAAAAUAAAGGCCCAUCAACAUCUAAAAAAAUAUUUUUUAAAAAAGUGCAUGUACUGAAGGUAUUCAGCUUGAUGAUUCUGUCUGUCUGCACACUCACACUAAGGUAAUCACCAGCGUCAGAGUAGUUCACCUUUUCCUCCUCAGCACCGGACAGCCAUGGAGGAGAAGGGGCAUGAAUGUCUUCUGAGCAAAUGCUAAGUCCCUGUAACCAAUUAGAUUUUUCUUUUCCACGGGCAGAUCCUCCUGUGGUUUCUGGGCGGAACUCAAAAGUGCAAUGGGUUCUACCAGCCGCUGCACCAGACCACAGAGCCCCAGGGGGAUGGAAGCCCAAGAUCACUGGCAUUGUUCGGCUGAGGGCAGUGGAACUGGCACCCUCAGCUUCAGAGACUUCUCCCCUCCUGACCCGAAGGUGUGGCCUUGACCAGAGUGACAAGAUUGCAAACACCGGGGUGAAGAAGAUGUCUCAUGUUGCUGCCCUUUCCCUUCCAGAAUAUUCUCCACUUCCUGUUGCUUUUAACCGGUUACAUUCAGAGACUCUUAGUCUAAAGCAGCAUCCCCCUUUAAGAGGUUGUGUUGUGUAUUAAUUCAAGCUGCGCUUGGCAUGGAAGAGCAUUCCCUCUGACCAGUAGCUUGUUUUCUUUCUUUUUCUUUUUCUUUCUUUCCCUUUUUGCAAGCCAGGAUGGCGCUUAAGAAUUCCCCAGCAUGGGGUAGGGCUCAAUUUCUCUAAAUCUUCCCAGCCACCUCUUUUCCAGUCAUCCCAAAUAUAUAGCAUUUGAUAGUGUUUCUAAGCACAGGGACAAAGUGUUUUGCAUGGAAGAAGAGGAGUUUCAAAAUAAAAUAUGGGUUUCUUUUGAAGAGACACCAUGGCCACCGUUAGCAUGCUGGGCAGGUCCUGGUUCAAGCUCAGUUUGAGCCAUUUCUAGAUCUGCAAGCAGUUUUACAGUCCCUAGCCUUCUCCCUAUUCCUUUUUCCAUAAAAAAAAAAAAAAAAAAUAGGCACAGAACUUUGCUGACGAUCCACUCCUUUUGUCUUCCUGUUGUAUGCAUUAGUGCCUGAGGCUGCUCCAGGCUUUCCCUUUAGGGAGUUUAAAUAGACAGUGCAGAGAGAUGAGAAGGAAAUUAAACUCAGUUGGGGGCUGCCCUUGUACCCCAAAAGUAAUUCCAUGAUUGAAAUGCCAAAAACCCAAAGAUCUCUGUGUGUCAGAUCGCAAGAGGAGAGCCAGGGUAGCCGGAGCGGAUGAGAGCGAACGUUUCGUUUCUGGGUGUUUCUUUGAAAUGGUCAGUCUGGUUUUGGGGAAAAUGACUGUCUCGAAACUCCGUUAACUCUUUCUUAUCCCUGCGAUGUUCUCUGGAAGGUAGUGGAGAGCAAGCUUGCCCGGGAAGCCUUCCAUCGUCCAGAGAGCAUCUGAGCUCAUCUGUUGGUGGUGAGGCAACUGCAUCAGGGCUCCCUAAAGGAGAGAGUGGCUGGGUGAGUGGAGGUCCCCGAAGGAGAGGCACUUGGGCCCACAGUGGCUGGACAGGUGUGCCAUCACGGGGAGGAGUUGCCCAUCCUGUGUUUAAGGAGUGUGAAGACGGAAAGCUAUGGAAAUGCCAAUUAGUCGGAGGAUAUCACCCACCCGUAGAGUGGGAGCUGUUGGGAGGAUGACCUGUUGAGUCCGAUCUGCUUAAAAACAAUUGGACCAAUGUGCUUUGGUUACGUAAGAUGUUCACGAGAGAGGAAGGUGAGGUCAGGAUGUGCAAGAGUUCUCUGUCCUGUCUUUGCAACUUUCCUACAAAUCUAAAAUUAUUCCAGAGUAAAAAGUUCGAGAAACAAAGCAUUUGAGCACGUUGAACACGUGGGGAAAUAUUUUAAACAAAAGAUUGACAGGUCACCUCUGCGUGCUGAGAUUUCCUGUGAUCUUAAUUUUCUAGUUUACAAUGAGUUAUUUUAUGUUAACAGAAACACAGUUGCUCUGGGGAAUAAAACGUGAUAUACAAAGUAUAAAUUUGUCACUGGCUGGAUACAAAACCGGAUUCUCCAUCAGACUCCAUGGGUCCUUUAGGGUUAAGUCCACCCUUUUGGGUGCCCACCAGGCAGGAAAGAUAGACAUGGACUUGGGAAUGAAUCAGUACUGGAUUGAAUCCAUCAUUUUCCAGCUGUGUGGCCUUGGACAGUUACUUUGUCUGUGGCCUAGUUUUUAAAAAAAUCUGUAAAGAAGUGUGUUUAAUGACCCUGAUCUCAUAAGGCCAUUGCAAGAAUUAAAUGGGGCAAUACAGUGUAACUAACAAUCAAGCCUGUCACUUAGGGCAGGGUCCUGGAGAACUCGUCCCUAACGGAUUCUGGUGUUUGUAACUUCCCGGGAACCCAUCUUUUCUGAAAUCGUUACAAUUCUCUGAUAGCAUGUGAAUUAUAUUUACUGGCUAAUUCACUUAAUAACAAUUUACGAGCUGUUACUCAAACAUGGUGUAUUUGAGAAUCGUUAUUUUGCGAUUCCCAUGCCCACUCUACUGUCCCAUGUUCUGUGCCCAAAUAAUCUUUGUGGGUGGUGUUUGUGUAGAUUUGUGUCUAAAUUAGGCCAGUUAGAGAAAAGCCUUCAUAGGUGUGAUUUUUCCCCCCCUUUUUGGCUGCAUCCUUACAUAGAGGUGCAGGUCCUUGCCUGACCUUACCUGAGAGCUGGAGGGGUCUCUGAGUCCCUGGGGAGAUGGCCAUUGUCAUUAUCUCUGCUGAUAACUGACACUAGAUGUUCUCGUACAUUCACAUGUCCAGGAAGGGUGGCCCCGGGGUGGUGAACUCAGGGCAGGAGCCCUGUUUUCCUGCUGUGGGAGGAGCACUUUGUGUGGACAGGGGCCAAGCCUCCUGGGCUCUGCCCCAGGUGGCCCACUCUGGAGAAGGUCCCUGGUGCCCAAGCAGCCUUCCUCCUCCAUAACAGCACAGCGGCCUGAGAGGCUUCCUGGGCCUAGUGAGCCGUGCUUCUAGAUCAUUUGGAAAGAAAAAGCACCGUCCUCACGCUCCUUUCAGGGCACAAGACAAAACAAAAACCCCAAACCAACAUCAGAGGCCUGAAGGCUUUGAACAUACCAUUAAGAAAAAAAAUGUUUAUUUAAUAUUGGAUAAAAAUACACUACCUUACCUUUGGGGGGAAAAUAAUUAAAUAACUAGGAGGACUUCAAAGCGUUUCCUCUCCCUCUGCUUUCCAGGAUGAGAAAUGUUUUUCGAAGUCAUUUGAAUAUUAAAGAGCUGGGCCCAGAAGCCCUCUGUGUCUGGGAUGGAGAUCAGCAAGUCGAUCAAGUAUCUUUUAAAAUGCUGGUUUUUUGCAUGGGGUGAAAUAGAGACCCUUUCUCUGCCGCCCCUGAUUUUACUGUCUCUCUUUUCCUUCAUUUUAUUUCUUUCCAAUCCUGGCUGUGCGCUGAGAAACUUAAUCCAUUUGUUUCUGAUUCAUUUACACUUAACUCAUCAAAAUGCUAUUUAGUGAGAGGCGUUUCAAGCCAGGAGGUGCUUAAUCCCACAGAACAGGAAACUGCGUCUCGCUCAGGGUGACAGCCUGCAGACCCUGACGGCUCUCGCUUUGGGCUUCCCCUGGACCUCAGAGUGGGUCUGGACACGGGAGCUGGGGGGCUGUAUCUACAGCCCUGCAUGUCUCCAAGGUGCCCCGGCCCCUCCUCUCCUGCAGCCUCCUCAGUCUGUGACACCAGGGAUUUGUACACAGCCCUGAAAACUUACCCUAUCUACUCACUUUCCACAUGAAGCUGUUUGGAACAUUCUUGCAUUUUCUUUCCCCCAAUAUUUUAUUUUAAAAAUUUACAAAUAUAGAGAAAGGUUGAAAGAUUCUUACAGCAUAGUCCUCACAGAGCCCAUGAUGGAUUUUUUUUUUUUUUUUUAAAUUCCACAUCCGCUCACUGUGUCCCUCCUAUAGCCUGGUCCUCAGGCCUCUCUCUGUCCCAUUUCUGUUGAUCAUUCCAUGCAAGUUGCAGACCUCGGGCUCCUGCCCUCCAGAUGCUGCUGCAUGCAUAUCAUUAACUAGAACGCAAUAUUUGGUUACACAAUUUUUUUUUUCUUUUAAGGCAAAAUAUGCCACAGGCAGUGCCGGUAGCCCAGCAGGUUGCCACAUGGUCUCGGCCAUCUGUCCCCUUGCCCAGGCCCACCGUGGCAACUUCUUCUGCUUUCUUUUCCCCGGCUGGGUUAGUUGUGCUAUUUUAAGGAAACAUCAUGUAGAUGGAGCUAAACUGUAUAUACGGUGGUUUCCCGCUUACCCAUGGAUUAAUUUUCACAUGCCAACGGUCAACAGCAUUUAGAAAAUAUUAAAUGGAAAGUGCCAGAAAUAAAUAAAUCACAUUUCAAAUAAGUUUUAAUUUAGUCUAUUAUAACUGUAUUAUUUAUUUAUUUGGUACCAGGGAUUGUGGGCUUAACCACUGAACCAUAUCCCCAGCCCUUUUUAUUUAUUUAUUUAUUUUAUUUUGAGGCAAGGUGUUGCUAAGUUGCUGAAGGCCUCACUAAGUUGCUGAGGCUGACUAUGAACUCGCGAUCCUCCUGCCUCAGCCUCCCAAGCUGCUGGGAGUACAGGCGUGCACCACUAUCUCUGGCCUAAUUGUGUAAUUAUUAAUUGCUGUUGCUAAUCUCUUGCUGUGCCUAAUCUAUAAAUUAACCUUUGCUACAGGUAUGCAAACAGGAAAAAGCACAGUACAGGGUCAGGCUCUCUGUGGAUUUGGAUAUCCACUGGGGGUCUUGGAUACCUUGGAUCAGGGGAUAGCUGUUCUCCUUGGUGUCACUCCUUCUCUCAGCAUGCUGCUGUUGGGACUCCUCUGUGCUAUCACAUGUAUCCAGGUGGCUCCUCAACUGCCGAGUCAUGCCCCAUUGUACGGCUGCCCCACGGUUUUUUAUCUGAUGGGCAUGUGUCCUGUUUCCAGGUUUGGACUGUUUUGAAUAAAGUUGUUGCGAGCUUUCUUGAGCACAGCUUCUCGUGGACCCGUUUUCGUUUCUCUUGGGUAAACGACUCGGCAUAGAAUCCAUCGCUGGGUCCUCGCCACUCUGGGUUUAAUUUUGGAAGAAACCACCAGAGGGUUCUGCAAAGUGGCCUGGCCUAAUCCCCCCACCAACAGAGGACAGUUCCACCCCUAGUCCUCAUGUGGUGCUCUCACUUUGUGACAUGUGGCCCCUGGUGGGUGUGUCACUGCUUGGGCAUCAUUCAGAAUAAAUGGCCGGAGAGCAAACCCGGAUGCAGAGAUGCUGAGCCAGGCUGGCUGUCCUCUGUCCUCUUGAGAACCUGUAAACCUUCCUUUCCCUUUGGAACUUGCAAGUUACGCUUUCUCUCUCUGGGGUCUGUUUUCCUCUUUGGAGGAGAACACUUCUAUGGCAGGGUCCCUGUGGAGCUCAGAGCUCAGGGGUGUGCUGCAGGGAUUUGCACAGGUGCCGCUUAGUGCUGUGACUCUCAUUCCCCCUCACCUGGCUUGGAGCCUCUGCUUGCUCACCUGGGUCCCUGUGCCCAGAAGAGUGAGAGACAGGUGCUGGUUAAGUAGUGGAAUGAGGGGGCAGAGCUGCCUUUGUCCCUCGGGUACAUUGUUCACCCAUUUAUUCAGUAAUGAUGUCACUAGGAUUUGUUGCUCAGCAACAAAAGCUGAAAGCAGUUUGGAAGGGAGACUUGUCCCUGCCUUUGAGAAAGUCUCUGUUAAGAGACAGAAGGUGGGUAAAAGUGGCUUGAUUGUCAGGUAGGAGGAAGGUGGUCCGCGCUGUCAGAGGACAGGGCAUACAGCUGACUCCUGGCCACCUUGCUGUCGCUAGGCAGUGGUAGGACUUGGGCAUCUUGCUUAUCCUCUAAGCUUUGGUGUGUCUAUCUGUGCAGUGGGAUGGACAUGGUUUCUGCUGCACAGGGAGGAGGCAGGGGUUGGAUCCUGGACCUAGCAAGCCCUCAGCACAGUGCCCGGUACCCAGCAACACUCCAGGAAGGGGAACUUGUGGUUUCAGACCCUCACAGUCUGAAGAGACCCAAGCCAUGAAACUCCCAGGGAUCAACUGGACUCUCUCCAGUGAACGCAUGCGCAGUCCUGAACACCCUGCGUCCCUGGGUCCACUCUCCUGGGCUUUCCUCUAAUAAUGUGCCAAGUCUGUGACUGUGUGAAAGAUGGACACUCGGUACAAAAUGGAGAUUAAUGUGUAAGGGGAUUUUUCUUUUUGAAAAAGCAGCACUUUCCCCUCACCCCCCUGCCCCUCCGCUGAGUGUGGCGAUGGCUUUGCUGGGGACCUGGAUAAUCUCAGACCGGUUCCUCCAACCCAAGUUCUGUCAAUUAUGUUACAACAACCAGAGCUUCCUCAGGAUUUGAUGAUGUCCUCAGACUCCACCUGGAGUCUUCUUCCUGUCUAGCCUCAGGCUAUUGGGACUCACUCAGCCACAUCUGGGCUCUUCUUGCUAAGUGGAAUUGUAAGUGAUGACCAUGCAGGGCCUGCAGAGCACUGGCCUGGAGGAGAGGGGGUGGAGAAGGUGGGAAGCCUACUUCUGAGAAUGGGGAGGGAGACGUUGGAUGGACGUGCUCAGUCGACUUUCCUGCUCCUUCCCUGGGCUCCAUCAUCAAGUGACCCGUCCCUGUUUCCUGGGCCUCCUCCCCAAGAUGGUCCCCACUUCCCUUCAGCUCUGGUGAGGCCACAGCGCAGUUCCAACAGCUGGACUGAUGUCAGGGCGGAGAGCUGUCUGGAUUCCCCUUCAGGGCCUCCCCCUCCAACGCCCUCUUGAUCCAAGAUUGAGUAAGAGAGGUUGGCAAGAGCCGGGUGCAGCUCCAUUGUUUGGACUUGCAGGAGCGGGAGGUGGGUUCUCAUCUGCAUAUGACUCAGGCUCACAGCACCCCCACCCCUCCCUGCCUUCAGAAGGUUCCAAACCCAAUACAAAACCAGAAACAGACCACAAGCAGGUCGCCCCCUUGCCUGCACACAUACUGGGAGAUGGAGCCGCCCUGGGAGAGUGGCUCAGGCCAGGUUUCCCAGCCACGGAGCUCCAUAGAGCUAGCCUUGUUCUGGGGAGUCGGGACUCUGCUUUCUGGCAGGGGGGAUUCUUGGGGCUGGGGAAGCGGGCCACCUGGGAAGGGCCAGAUUUGCUGCAAGGUCUCCAUUGCAGCUGGGCCCCAGGCUCCCUGUGGUCCCUCCUCCCUGGCCUCUGAGAACAGCUUCUAGUCUGUUCGCUGGACUCUGAAUGCGGUAGCUGUCCGGGGCCUGCAGCGCGGGCAGAUCAUGUAACCCUCCAGCUUCAUUCCUAUGCAGGACAGGUAGGCUGCAGGCGCUAACGAGCCGCCAGCCAGGCUCCGAUGAGGCCUCGGCACCAGUGGAAAUUUAAAAAAAAAGAGAAGGAGGGAGAGAGCGAGUGAGCGAGAGGGAUUAUUUUGUUUCGACGUGUUUGAAAGCGGGAUCUGUGGCCAGUUGGGGUGUUUUCCUCCUCCCCCCUUAUUUACACAGUCUGUUCAGAGACACACUCGGGCCUGUUUGGAUUGGGUGUUUGCUCCGGAGCCGGGCCAAGUAUUCCAGCACUGUGCCUUGGCACUGCCACCUCGGCGGCACCAGGAGGCCCAGUCGGUCACAAGACCUCACGGGGCCUCCUCGCUCCCUGCUUAUCCUCCCUUCACCUCCUCCCUCUGCCUUGUGCUGAUCCCCAGCAGCCCUGGGCCGACUUCACCUUCCGACCCGGGGCUACCCAAGGCCAGGGCAGGGGUGCUGUGCUUGGGAAGGUGGAGAGGAAGGUUGAGGCGCAGACCCUGGGACGGAUCUUCUCAAGAAGGUUCUGGAUUUCCCAAGGUCCCGGUGCAACUUGCAGUAUGCGGUUUGAGGAGGCAAGCAGUGGCUAGAAUCCCUGGAGAUUUGCACACGGGCUAUGGUCCUGGGGACAGUGAGAAGGAGGACAGAGCCAGCCAGCGCUGGUCUCCACCGUGCCAAGAGGGCCCCCAGCCUCAGCAUCACCUGCAAGCUUGUCAGAAACGCAGAGUCUCAGGCCCCUCCACCCAGAAUCCAAGCCUGCACUUGAACAAGAUCCUUAUGUGUUUCAAGGGUGCAUUAACGUUUCAGAGGCGCUCCUCUGGGCCUGUGUUUCCUAGAGCGAAUUAGUAUCCUGCCCUCCUCCUCAUGCCCCGAGAUGCUUUUGGACAAAAGCAUUCUGUAAACUAAUACACACAGAGAAUGUUGCAAAAAUACAACCCCCUCUUGGAAAUUCUCUGACCUGUGCUCCCUGUGAAGUCUCUUUGAGAAGUUCUACCAAAAAAAAAAAAAAAAGAAUCCAUCUCAUUUGGAUUAACUCAGUGCUUCCCUGAGUGAUCCACAUCACCUCCCACCAUCUCCCCUGAGGAGCAUGUGUUAACAUUCUCUAGAACUAGGCUCCCAGGCUCUGCCCUCAGGGACAUUGCUGCACAUGGUGAAGCAGGUCACCUGCAGGAUGCCCCAAGGGACUUGCCUUCACUUCAAGUGUAGAACAAGGUGGUUAAGAGGUGGAUCCUGGAGCUGAGCUAACUGGGUUCUGAUCCCAGCUCAAUUCCUUACUGGGGGUGUGCCUUUUGUCAAGUUAUUUAGCUGCCCCAUGCCUCAGUUUCCCUCUCUGUCAAAUGGGAACAAUGAUACUACUUAACAGAGUUUUGGCAUCAUGUAAGUCAUUUGAAUGUGCCUGGAACAUAGAACCCCCUUAAUAAAGACUGGCUAGCUAGGUUUUUUUGAAUCGUCUUCUGUUGUGGUCACUGCUUGCAUCGGAAUCAUAUAUGGAAUUCCUUGAAAGGCAGUUUCCCAGAGCUCCAUGGCAGAUCCACUGAGCCAGCCUCCAUCAGGGAGGUCUGGGAAUCUGCAUUUCAAGAAGGUCCUGUGCUGGUUCCACUGGGGCUCACUGGCCCCCGGUGGCCGGCAGCAGCUGACUGCUGGAGUCCAGGUCCUCUAGAGCUAGGUGACACCCACCCUGGUUUCCCACAAGAUUCAGCCUCCCCAGUGUUCCCUGGGGCUCUUGGGAUUUGGUGCAGGGCUCUGACGUCAGAGAGAGAAGCUUCUUCGUUCCGCACUUUGGACUUCUCACCUGUGAAACGAGAGGGCCUUGCAGAGCGCGGUCCUUGGGGCUCAGGAGCCUUCUUUCCUGAUGGGGAGCCAACUGGGCCGGGCUGAGGAAGGUGUGGGGUGUGGUGUUGGUGAAUGCUGAAACAGUGACCAGCUGUUAUCCAUCCGAGCUGGACAAGAGGAAAUGAGCUCCAGGAGCCUCAGGGAUUAUGGUCAGAUUUAUGAGAACAUUUCCUGACAUGGAGGGUUAGGAGUCCCCCAGAAGAUUUGCAGGAAUAAGUGUGCUUUGGAUGGGCUUCUCUAGAGCCCAUUAAAAUCAGAGCGGCUGCUAGGCAUCCAUGUGACAGAUGUUUAUGGAGAGUCAACUAUAUGCCCAGCCUGGGUACCAGGAGGCUGUGGGCAGUGGUCGCAGAUGGCAGUGGCUCUCCCCUGCUACUGUUUAUGUGACACCAAGGACAGAUAGAAACCUGCCCGUGAAUAGCUGUGCAGGAUAAGACUGUGGACCAGGACCAGAGGGCGCUCCUGUCCCGUUGAUGGCCUUGCGGAAGUGUGUGGGUUAUCAGUUUCUGUAUAACAAGCCACCCUAAGCCUUAGCAUUGUAAAGCAGCCACCAUUUUAUUUGUUCAUGAUUCUGGAAUGUGGGCUCAGCCUCGCUGGGCAGAUCUUCUGCUAGUCUGGCCAGUGGUUACUCAGGAGACUUUGUUCUGCUAGAAGGUUCAUUGGAGACCAGUUCAGCUGGGCGGCUGGUAUGCUGAGCCUGUUUCCGUGUCACCCCGGGGGCUUCUCUUUGUUCUUAUAGGUUCUCCCUCCAGUGGGGUAGUUUGACCUCGUCUGUGGCUGCUAGGACUCCUGAAGACUGAGGCCUAGAACUGGCAUGGAUGACUUCUGUCACCUUCUCCUGGUUAAAGCAAGUCACAGGGGCAGCCUGAACUAGAGAGGAGGGGACUAAAUGUAAGCAUGGUUCUUGGGAGGCAGGUGUCAUCAGGGCCACUAGAUGUGCCAUGCAAGGUCCACACUCCUGCAUCUCUUGACACCUGGCAGAGGAGACCAGUCUCAUUUUGGAUCUGGGAGGGAUGAGCUUGUUUCUAGAUGGCAGCACCAACCUCCCUAUCAGCCUUUACUGUUCCCAGGAACUUUCUCCCCAGAUGCUCUGAUUGGACGCCCGACCUCAGUGUUCCAUCAACAGUACCAUCAUCCCUCCCAUGGUCCCAGUCUACAGUACAAAGCGGGUUCAACCCUUCCGCUUUCCUCUGGCCCCCAACAUGUUUCCAUCCAGUCGAACAUGAAGAAGCGUGGAGACCUUGGCAGGGUGUGGAGCGUCCCCCCACCCAUGGAGGCUCUGGCCCCUGCCGGAUCUACCCAGGGGACUCUAACUGACCACCUAGCCACUCCUUUGCUAUCUGCCCACACCUGAAAAUCCCACUUUGAUCAUUUAGCACUGGACACAUGACCCACGAGGAUUCUUAUUUCCUACCAGAGAGAACAGAAUUCCUCUGAUCUAAUGGAAUCCUUCCUUAUUCCUGUACAAACACUCUUUUGGGGGGGCUUCCCUGUCCACUCUGAAUCAGAACCCCCUUUUUAAAAAAAAUCUGGGGUGGCCUCCUUACAGCCUCUGUGGCUUGACAAGCUGCUCUCUCUCUCCUCUGCAUGCUUGACUUUAAGUCCCUCUCCCUUUCCUCUUUUCCUGCAGAUUGGACUCUGUUCCAUCUCUUCAACUUGAAGCCCAUCUUCCUUACGAAGCUGCCUCUGAACACGCCUAUCAAAGUAGCGUCCCUGGCGCUCAACUCUAGAACCUGUCUGAUCUUUAUUAGGUGCUUGGUGCUACUCAUGGUCUGCUUUUUCCCCUUGCUUUUCUCUCUUAUGAAAUUGCAACGUUUUGAAGCAGUGGCUUUAUGUGCAUAUAUACACACACAUACACGCUUACACAUGUAUGGGUAUGUAUAGGCACAUGCGUGUCGUUGUUAAUAAAGCACUUUCUUACAACAGUGAGAUCAGUUUUUACCUGUGGGGGCAUCCAUCUUAAAUAUUUUGUGUUCUUUUGGGGAGAUGACAGAGUUUUGUGGGUGACACGGGUCUGUUCUCUAAUGCUGAUGUUUCUUUGAGGGAAGCGAUCAGUUUUCCACCGGGAAGUAGUCCACGUGGCACUGUUAACCCCUUUGAAAUUGUUGAAUGGAGACGUAGGGAAGAGCGAGGGCUCUGAUCCUGUCUCUGCUCUUGCUAACAGAAUGGCAUCUCUCAACCAGGGUGCUGUGGGCAUUUGGGUGGUCAAAGUCCUGCAUGAUGCAAAUAUUCAGAUCCCUGCCACCUGCCUGUUCGAUGUCAGCAGUAACUCAUGCAUUGUGACACCCUCUCCCCCGAGCCCUGACUUGGUGUCCGCCAGGACUCAAUGAGCCUUCCAAGAUUGCCGCAAGAAUUAUAUUGGUUCAUGACGUCAGUGUCUGGUACAUAGCUAAUGUUUAUCGAGCACUUAGGUUAUUAAUUUAUUGGACAAUUGUCAUGGCUACCAGAUAACGUGGUGGCCGUGGAGGUAGGCGUACUGGAGUUUUAGAGGCCGGGGCCCUGGAGAGCCUUUUCCUCCUGCCUGUCCACCUGCCCUUUGGCCAGAUGGGCCCAGCGCCUCCCUUUGCCUCGUUUCCGUGUCUGAGGAACACCUGCCUCAGCCCGCCCCCAGGGUGUGGCAAGAUUCCACGUCCUUGGUGAGCCCCCAUGCCGCUCCACUCCGGGUGGCUGCUGGCUUCUUAUCAAGUGGCCCAACAAGGGCUCUCGAUUUGUAAUGGAAACUGCAGGAUGUUUGACAAGUAUUUACCAAGCGUCCUCCGCAUGCCUGACACCUAACCAGGAACUGGCAGUGGGUGUGAGGCUGAGAGAAAGUCAGUGCGGAUUCACUCCCAUGUGUGUGUGUGGCUGGAUCGUUCCCAUCUGCUCUUGGAACUGGUGUGUGUGUGCACGUGUGCGUGUGUUAAGUGUGGUGCGUGGUCAGUGUGUGCGAUAUCCCCAGCGCUGUCAAGCAGAGAGAUUGAGGGCAGAGGCAGGGAGGUGGCGUCAUACUUCACGGUUGGGGGCAGGUAGAACCGAGGGGCCACAGGACCGCUCAUGUGCACGCAGUGGUCACCGGCUUGGCCGAGGGAAAUGCCUGGGGCUUUGGUUGUCCGGAAACUAGGUCUGAACUGUCAAAGAAGAUGUGUCUCCUCAUCGUCGACUUCUUGUGGAUAGAAUUUGUUUUUGGAUUCUGCUUUGCUGUUCCCGGUGUGUAGGGGCUCCCAGGGAUUCUGCCUGUCAGAGAAGGCUGGGGGCAGAGCCGGGGACCUGCCAUGGACCUGCCGUGGUUACAGGGCACAUCACUGCCAGAUGUGAAGACAGAGCAAAAGACGGGGCUUCCUUCUAGCGCGAGGCGCCUCGUCUGAGGUGUUUAUGAUCUUAAGAGCUUUGUGUUUAAUGACGACUUUGUCAGGGUGACAAGGAGGAUCACGGCCGUGGAGGGGUCCAUCCACGCACAGGGAAGGAGCUUAGGCCUGGGCUUUGCUCUUAGAGUCAGUGGUCAUUUGUUUUCACCCAGGUGUGCUCUCUGCUCCCACAGAAGACCUCUCCUUGAGGGCCUGAAGCUCUGGGACAGAAAUUCUGAGUCUUAAGUCAGAGGUGGUCAACUAGAUCCAUGCACGUCUUAAAAUUAGACACCAAUGUGACAUAUUGCAAUAUUACCAUCCAAAGAUCCAGUUUCCCAGUUUCCCUUGCAAAGUUGGAAAAUCUGGCAACAAUGGUCUCUUCUUUCCCGUGUGGCAGGAAUCAGACAGCUGAGAAAUGAGUCUCCUCAAGAUUGGAACUUUGCUGUCCAUGUAUCCGAAAGCUCAGCACGCCCCCUGGUCCCCAUUGCACUUGCCCUCUUGGUCUGAUCUAGGUGACUGGGGGCCCCUUAGGUCUUGAGGCCCAGGAUUCUGACCCACACACCAGUCAUCCCCUCUCAGUGCUGUGAUGCUGGUCUCCCUGGGUGAGGCGUGGGUGCUUGGUCACUGUGGUCCUGGGGACAGUGGUGUCAGCACGAAUGUGUGACUGUCUUCUGCAGGGUCAGAAGGCCCAGAGUUCUGGAGUCUUGUUUCAGCCGUGUCCUUGACUUUCAUGCUGAGCCAUCAGCCAUUGUUUAGCCAGGUCAAGCCGGGUGCAGAAUGCUGAGUACCACCGCCUUCUCACCACCUCUGAGUGGACCCAUUGAAGAAGGGGGAAACGCCUCCAGACAAUUUUUACCUACAUCCUUUUCCUUAUGCUUCUCAUUUGCCCUUAAUGUCAUGUUUGGGGUUAAAAAUUAUUUGGGGAGUUCAUCUGAGAGUCAUUCUAAUGGAAACUCGGAGUGGUGUCCCACACCCAGUGACUUGGGAGGCUGAAGCAGGAGGAUCACAAGUUCAAGGCCAGCCUCAACAACUUAGUGAGCCUCAAAGCUAGGUAGCAAGUCCCUGUCUCAGAAAAUAAAAAGGUCUGGGGAUGAAGCUCAGUGGUAAAGUGUCACUGGGUUCAAUCCCUAGUCCCCUCCCCACCCGGAAAAAAAUCAUUCUACUGCAUAUAGUCAUUUUGGAAAACUGGCAGUGUCUGUGAAAAUUGAACAUGUAUACAUACUUCAUGAAGUCUACCUAACAUAUACCUUCACAUUUCAUUAAAAAAUACGUACUAGAAUGUUUGUAGCAGUACUUUAUAGUAGCUCCAAAUGAUAAGUACUCAAAUGACUAUCAAUAAAUAAACUGUGGUAUAGUUAUUCUAUGGAAUACUAUACAGCAAUUAAAAUAAUCUACAGCUAAUUAUAACAGACGAAUCUCCUAAGCAUGAUAUUAACUGACAGAUAAACAGAUAAAUAAAGAUGACAGAUAAAAACUUGUAAAGACUACACAUUGUUAUCAUAGUUGCAUAAAGUUCAGAACUAAUCUAUGGUGUCAGAAGUCAGGAAAGUGACUACGUUUGGUUGGUGGUAAUGACAGUAAUGAGUAGGAGGUGGACCUCUGGGAACGUAGGCACUGAUCUGUGUUUUUUUUUUUUUUUAAAUGUGAUUACUGGUUUUAAAAUUGUGUUUAUUUCAUGAAAAUUCAAUGAGCUAUACUUUUCUGAAAUGUGCAUUUUGUGUUCGGAUUUUAUUGCACUGAAAAGUUAAAAUUGAUAAAGGCAAAAUACAAUACCAAGGCCCAAUUGAAUACACAGUGUUGUGAGUUCCAAGUACCAAUGCUGGGAUUUUUGUACGAAUCCUGUAUCUAUCAGGCUUCUUGUGUGCAAGCGAUAGAAGUCACCUCUGGCUAAUAACAGCCCCAAAUUAGAAGGUAUUCUGCUAUCCACCCCACCCCCCACCCUCACUAGAGUGGCGCUCUCAGGGCUUCUGGGCUUUAUGUUACUGUUUAAUGUUCAAAGUCAGGCUUGAUUGUGUAGAUUAGAGGAACCUGGAUGUAGUGCUUUUGCCCCAGAUGCAUAGGAUGUUGAUUACAGAAGGCCCCAGGGGUUUUAAGCUCCAGAGCAGGAUUCAAGCUCCAUUUCAUGAGAUAGAACAUUUCUCAAAUUAAGAGACAUGCUCUACCUGGUAAUGGCAAACUGCUUCUCCUGGCUGCUGGUCGGAGAAGCAUUCAAUGUGAUUAGAAUUUUGUUCAUCUUUCCUAAACCAGAGGGACUGUGGGCCCACAAAGAGACAUCUAGUGGCUGAAUUCUCUUCUUUCCUUGCCCCAACCCAGAUGUUUCCCACCCAGCAUGGAAGAGUGCGUUCAAAUGAAGCUCUCUGUACCAAAUUUUCCCUCCCCAAUCCUAGGGGGCAGAGGAAGGAUCCCAGUGUCAGAGUGGCUAGCUUAACCAAGAAAUGUGCUGGCAGGGUAUUGGAAGUCCUCUAGCCCAGCCUUCCACCCACUGUAGGAAUUUCCUAUGUUUAUUUGAUCACAUUUUUAUUGCGCCAAUUUCUUUUUUUUAAAAAUAAAUCUACAUAUUCUUAAUCUUUUCCAUAGUGAAAAAAAAAUUAAGACUCUUCAGUGGUCAUAUUGAUCUGUAUAUUUGAAAAAGUACACUCCAUUUUGUUAAAAGUGGGUGUGGUAGCUUUUUUUUUUUUUUGUAUUUGUGCUUUCAUUUGAUGGAUUCUUUGGGCAAAAUAAUGCAGUAUUUCAAAAUAUCAUUUUUUCUCAUCUCUAAACUGAAGAUGGCAGGAUUGUGGAGGGAAUUGGCAUGCUGAGCAUGACGGCUGCACAGCGGUGUUUGUUCAGAUUAGUGGCAAUAGUAAAUGAGCUAAUGAUCUGCACCCUGGAGGAUUUGGUGAUAAAAGGAGAUAAGAUAUUAAAGUCCUUAGCGCAUCGAGCAUGGAUUGUAGCAAACACCCAAUAAGUUAUAACAACAAUUGCUAUUAUUAUUUGAUGAUGCAGAAAACCUGAUCUUAGCAUAGGGUGGUAGGGUGAUGGGGUCAGUGGACUGUCGUCUCCUGACAGACCGUGGGAGAACACAACCCCAUCCCCAGAUUGUCCUUUCUCCAGACAAGCCACCCAGCUGAACACACAUUAUCACACAAAUGAGAUAAUGUAAGUCUUAGGAAAUCUGAUCAUAGCCAAACAGCAUAGAGACUGGACAUAGUAUAAAUGGACCCUCAGAGCCACAUGGCGUGGGCCAGGCAAGUAUAACCAAAACCUCUGAUUGUUGCAAUGUGUGCAAUUCCAGGAGGGUCACUUUGUAAGCCCCGGGGACCCAGAGCAAUGGAAGAGCAGUCCUGUCCCUUGGAUUCAGUAAUGCCUCAACCCUGUGCUGAUUCGCCCUUCCGUCAUUUCAGUCCUGAAUAUGGAAACUUCCGAUCCCCCUUUAGCUCUCUAGUAACCGUCUUCACUCUUUCACGUUGGGCAGAGCUGGGAGAGACACCGGGCCAGGCUCUCCAUCUGUGGGGCCAGCUCUCCCACUGGAAGGAUAGAUGGGGAGCGCUGGCGGGUUGCUGCCUGGCCCGCUGUGCAGGAGCCCGUGGAUCUUACGGCCACGGGGUAAACAGGAUGGAAGUCGGGGUGCUUGGGGCACACCAUGUGUUGCUGCUCUUCCUCUCUGUCUGUUCCGUGGGUCUCCUGCCUCCUGGCUCAUGCCACACGGCGGAUGGCCUGGUGGGAGAAGCAGCCUCCUGUUUCCAGGGACAGGCUCCAGGACAGGAAGAUGCCCAACUGGAAGAGAAGCUUGGCCAGCCAGCAGCCCUCCACCUGAGCUGGGCCGAGCGGGGAGAGCUCUGUGACUGCAAGAGGUUAAACUUGCCCGUGUUUACUUUUGUUGGCCGCCACGCUGCAUAAUAAUCUGUCAGCACGUCAGGUGCGGAUUUAUUUGUGCAUUAAAAAUGGCCUAGAGCGGGCGGAUGCAGACGCUCUACAGCACGCUGGAAAAUAAAUGUGCCUCUAGCACAAAAACAGCCUCUCCAAAUAUUUCACCCUUUUAAUAAGUGCAUUUAAUUAAAGUCGUAUAACUUUUUUUAUUAUAUUAAAAAAAAAUCCUCUCGCUGGCUGAAGCUGAGAGUAAGCUUUUGGGCACAGAGGGAGCACUUCUCUCGCUCCCUGCCUUGAAAAUGGAAAACUCAUCACCUGGGGUGUCUCUCGUCCUUGGCCGUCUGACGUGAAGACGGUGAUGGUUUAGUCCGGGAGGACCAUCUCAGUGUGGCCGGGGGGAGUGUCCCCAGUUGGAUAUUUUGUUGUGUGGGUGCCCUCCCCUGUUAGACACAGGGGCAAGGUGGUGACUGUGUGCCUGUUACUCUUCUCACCCCUCUGGUCCCUGUCACCAGCCCAUGCACGUAGCUGCAGGGGAGGCUGUUCAUAUUGAGGACAGCCUUCCCCAAAGGCAGGGCCCUGGACUAAAUGACCUGACCUUGCGUGUUUGUGAUGUGGGUGGGGCGGGAUGGAGGGCUCAGCCCUGGAGAGUUCUCUGCAUCUCUCUUCUUCCCAUCAUGGCUUGGGAAAGUCUAAAUGAGUUGAGAAGACGUUCGGCUGGGAGGGCACAGGGUGACAGCAGGGCCCUGUGUUUGCCAGAGGAUUAGGGAACGUGUCAGUGUGAGGGGGGUGGUGGCGGUCCUGGGAGCUGAUGUGCAGGGGGGCGCCGCAGUUGGCGAGGUGGCGCAGGGGAGGCGCCGGUGAGGAGGGGGCUCGGGGCUGUGUUUGGGAGCUGACGGCCACAGCAUACCAGGCCUGGCGACUUGAGGCCGCUAAUUAUGCAGCCCCAGGGAGCAAUGUGGGCCUGCCAGAGCCGCCCAGAGAGGUGGCAUGGAAAACCUCAUAAGGGGUCUGUGUGCCUUGGGUCUGACCAGGAAAUCGCCCCUGGGGGUCAUCAUGCUGGGCCCCUGGGAAAUGGCUGGACGCUCUGGCUGCUGGACAGGCGUGGUUUUCACAGCCACUCUCUGGAGGGUGUCCCACAGGAGAGGACAGAGGUGCAGGGCAUCUCCUCCUCUGCCAGGCUGAGGUCUCUGGAGCGUCUGAGAUCCAGGACCAGCAUCCGUCUGGAGCAUUCUGCUUCUCCCAGUUCCUCGGGGAAUGCUCAUUAGCGUCUUUUUAUGGCUGCAGAAACAGAAAUCCCAGAAUUAGUUACUUGAGGCCACCCAGCGAGAGCAUUGUGACCAAAGACCAGACCCGUGGUUAUUUAUUUAUUUUUUCAAGCUAUUCUUUUCUUAGCAUCUUCUAAUGAUGUGGGAGCAUUGCUAUUAAGGAUUAUUUUUCCUGUUCGCAGAAGGUAAACAAAUCCGAGCUUCGGUUCUCAACCUUCUUUUUGAAGUUGAGGCCCCUUGUGCCUGACCUGAGACCCCCGUCCCCCCGGACUGAAGUUUUUAUGAACUUCCUACCUUCUCUGAUGGCUUUUUUUGGGGAGGAGGAAAACUUUUUAAUUGAAAUGAUCAGCUGUUGUUAGUAUUUGAAAAUGCAGUAGCUCCUCCACUUCCCAGAAGAAAAUAGAUCUCAUUUUAGGAAUCUAGGUUUUUCUCUACCUAUAAGCCAAGGGUGGACUCUCUACUUAUUCAUGUCUAUGUGGUUGAAAACACUAUGAAAUGCAGGAGUUGACUGGAUGCUGUAUUUGUGUGUGAGAGUGUGCAUUUGGUUAGUAGGGGGCUUUCUUGGUAAGCAGACAGACCCAUAGUGAAGCAAUGCAGAUGCUGAACAAGUCACAGUGCAGAGCUAGUCUAGGCCCUUGAGAGAGCUCAGACUCUGUAACUGAUGGGGGGCUUGGUUACAGAGUCUGAGAAGGGAAAGGCCCAAAUAAUUCUUACAGCAUUCUUCUACCUAUGCACAAAUCUAUUGUACCUUUAGAAAAUUAGGUGCAAUAUUCUCCAUGUAUGCUUUGAAAAUUAAAAAUAGAAAUUAGAAUUAGAAAAACCCAGGAGGAAAAUGAAGUAAAAGUCCCUGUAUUUGCUGUGGACUUUUGCAAUCUCUGUUUCCCUCCUUAGCAACACCCUGUGGGUAUUUCCUCCAGUUGUUAAAUAUUCUACAGCAGUGAUUCUCAAACAUUUGGCUGCAGGACUCAUUUAUUUGGGAGUCUCCAGAAGCUUUUUAUGUUGGUCAUAAAUGCUUUAUCCUGUUUUAGAAAUUAAAAUCCAAAACUUAAAUGUAUGUAUAUAUUCAUUCAAAAAUAACUAUAAUAAACCCAUCGUAUGUUAAGGUUCUAAUAAUCUUAUGAAAAUAGCAGUAUUUUAUGAGGCAAAAAAAUUAGUGAGCCAAGUGAUAUUGUAAUAUUUUUUUUCUGAACUCUGCUUCCUUUGGUUUAACAGAAAAUAUCUGAAUUCUCACAUCUGCUUCUAUAUCCCAUCUAUAGAGAUGUAUGUUGUUGUGAAAAUAUGAAGAAGAUUCAGCCUCAUCUGGCAUGCAUGUGGGAAGAGGAACACAUGCAUAGCUUUUUCAGAUAACUGUGCAUAUUCGUCUUUGAAAUCUCAUCAAAAUUUGACGUGAGAGAGUUUUUGAAGAUUUAGCAGCAAUUUAAAUUUGAAACCAUGUUAAUGGAUUGUAUUAUUCUGUUCUGUCAAUAUCUUUGGCCAACCUUGCAUUCUGAAUCUUUUACCCAAGCCAGAUUUGGCAGCAUUGUCUGUGGGUCAUUUGGAAAGCAUUGAUUCCCCAAGUUUUGCAGGUUUUCCAAAUACAGAUGCCUUUAAUUCUACAGCAUCAGUGAGCUCCAUUCUUUGCUACGAGAGAGGUGUCAUGGUGCUGGGAAGCUGUCAGGCUCAUGGGGAUGAUGACCACGUGUCUCCAAUUCUGUUCUUGAUGGAAGCUCAAACUGUCAGUCAUCACAAUUAUUCUUUCCUUCAAAGUACCAUUUCUUGAGAAAAUAUCUGCCAGAUACCCCAAGUCUGAAUACCCAUAAUUUGUCUGUCAGUUUUUCUUUCAGGUAAAAAUGGUGUUCAGUGAAAAGUGCAGCUAGUUCUGCUGCCAACAUAACAGUCCCCCAAGUGCCUUCCUUGAGACAAACAUUAUGUGCCACUGUGUGCAAGAAAUGCUUUACGGAUACUUCCAUUAUGUUAUACAGAGCGUUAAAAAAAAAAGACCCAUGCUCAAGGGUCAAGACUUAAAAUUAGCCUUUGUCUGCAUAUUAUCAGGGAUAUCCUUAGCUCAAACUUGUAUGUAGGUAUUUCAUUGUGUGUGCGUGCACUAAACAUGCCACCCACCGCCUAUGUUCAUGCUGAUAACGACAUCGCAGCAUCCGUGCAAAUCUGAGUAUAGUGUAGAGGCAGAUAACAUCUUGGUAUUAUUCAUAAAAAGGGUGUAGGGGACUCUGAGGGUCCACAGACCAGGCUUGGAGAACUGCUGUCCUGCAGAGUUUUCAGCUGCCUGGUAUUCCAUUGCAUGGUGUGCCUGAGUUCAUUUGAACAAUCCCCCAUUGUUGAACAUUUAGGUUGUGCUAUUAGAAAUAGCAUCGUAGCGGCCAUUCUUUUACCUAAGGUGAGGCAUGUAUCCAUGAUUAUUUCGUUGAAAUGAAUUCCUAUAAGGAGAAGCAUAUAUAUUGCUGUGGUCCUUGAUAUAGGUGGAGAGGCAGACAGACAGAUGGAUUGCCCCCAAAAAAGAUUAUCCAAAAUGUCACCGGCCACAUAGAAGAUUCGUGCCUACUUUCCUGCACUUCUUGUAUGUUGUAUCUUUAAAUGGACAAUACUCACUGUCAUUUUGGUCUCAUGACAGUCCUUGAGGUAGCAGUGCCAGUCCCACAUUAGAUGCCUCGUUCAGGGAGAGGAACCCUGUGCAGGACUGCUGGAUUUUGGUUUAUGUGAUUCUAAGUCCUCGUUCUUCCCACUACCCUCUAUUCCCAGGGGAGUUCCCAAGGAGCUUCCUCACAGGCAGCAGACAUUCACAAAGAUCCUUCUCGAAGCAGGAUUCUAGACAAAGAAAAAAUCUGAAAAAGCCAAAGAACGCAUUCUUUCACCUCACUGUGCUGACAGUCUGGAUUCGGCAUUGCCUACUGUAGCCCCUGAAUGAAAUCCACCCUGCAGCCUGUUUUUUAAGUAAAGUUUUAUUAGAACACAGCCAUGUCCAUUUAUUUGCACAGGCUCUGUGGCGACUUUUGAGAUAUAAUGACAAAAUUGAGUAGUUUCAACAGAGAUCAGAUUGCUGACGAGGCCAGGAAAAAAAAAAAAAAAAUAUAUAUAUAUAUAUAUAUAUACACACACACACACACACACACACAAAAUUUUUUGCAGGAAAAGUUUUCGGACCCCUGAUCUGUUGGAAAAACCAGCAAUGAAUUAAAGUAAUAAUAAUGAGGGUCACCGAGACGGGCAUCCCAGGGCCCACCUUCUCCUAGCAGGGCAACUUCCUGCCUGUUGAAGAGCUCUGCCUUCCAGUCGUAUGGUGCUGAACAGCUCUGGGAUUUUCCUAGGCUUUGAUUUGUGCACAAGAGGGUGGGGAGCGAGAGGCUUGGUGACCGGGAGUGUGGGGAGAACUUGGAAGCUAUAGAGAAGGCUUUGGCCACCCUCUAGGAAAGUGAAAUCUGACUGUGGGCAGCGAGGGACCAUUGAGCUUUCUGAAGCGGCUUUAUCAGAAAUGUGUCUAUCGGGGCCAGGCACAGUGGUGCAUGCCUGUAAUCCCAGUGACUUGGGAGGCUGAGGCCGCAGGAUCACGAGUUCAAAGCCAGCCUCAGCAACUUAGGCCCUAAGUAACUCUGCAAGACUCUGUCUCUAAAUAAAACAUACAAAGGGCCGGGCAUGUGGGUCAGUGGUUAGGUACCUCUGGGUUCAAUCCCUGUACCAGGUCCUGGUGUGCAGGUCAUGUGUGUGUGUGUGUGUCUGGAGGAGGGCAGGGUGAAGUUGCCGACAGAUAGCAGCCAGAGGUGAAGGGGACAGAUGGGAUGGUGGACAGCAAGCUACUGAGGGUUUGACCAGUGGAAGAAGCAGUUGCACCCCCAGAAACAUGAGGUGACCCACAUGGAGGGUGAGAGCAGAGGAGGCCCCUCAAUACCCAGAUUUCCAGGGGACCAGGAAGAGCAUAGUUGUCAUAUACAAGGUCACACAGCAAGUCAGCCACAGGUCCAGAGUGCAGACCCAUGUUCUGGGUCUCCCUGGCCCAUGCUCCUCCCACUGACCUCUGCUCUUCAUGGUGCAACAAGGAAUCAUGUGGUGGCGAGGUGAGUUUGAGGUGACGGGGACCUGGUGAGGGGGACGGUGGGACAGGCAGCAGCAGCAGCACCUGAAGCGUUCCCUGGCAAAGCCUGUGGGGCCCACUCCUCCCUCACAGGGUCUCGGAGGCAGCCAGGCUUGGUUCUUGGGCUCAACUUGUUAGCUAUGGGUCUCAGGCAAGAUAGCCCCCAGAAACUCCCUUUCCUCAUGUCUCUACUUGGGAUGAGAUGACCACCCACCUACUAUUCAUGAGAAAAGUUCAUUUCAAGCCUGUGCCUGGCGUACGAUAAGUGCUUGCUGAACGUUAGUUUUAGUUCAUCAGUGUUGUCAUAUGCCACCUGGUUGGAGCUUCAGCAUACAGAGGCAAUGGUAAGGGUCUUCCGCACAGUACAUGUCUAGAUAAUGGAAAAGGAGAGUCAGCUGUCACCUCCGCCUUGCUAGCGUGGUCCAAAGCUCGCCUUCAAACCUCCAUUGCUGUCCUUACAUCCUGUGUUUGGUAACCUCCGCCCUGCUCUUUAUCUGACUGGCAGAAGGUGGCUCUGGAAAGCCACCAUGCCACCGAGUUGGCGCAGGCAAUGUGGCGCCUGGAGGAUCAGCUUGGUUUUCCUGGGGCUUGCUCCAUCUUGGGCCUCCUGUGUGCUAGGGGGCAGGGGGCAGGGGGCAGCCGUCGGGUGCCUUUCCUCUCUGGCUUAUUGCGGCUUCAAUGAGAAAAAUCUGAAGAUAGGAGGUGAGCUCAGUUGGCAGGUGUGUCUAUUUGGCGGCAUGGUCUCUAUUCGGGUCGUAUGUUCAGGGCAGGAAGAGAAAUACCCUCCAGGUGCUUAGAAUUGUGGACCCAUUCUUCAGUCCAAAGUGUGAGACUGGGGAGAACUUGGAGGUGAAGUCACGGGAGAUGUCCUGUGUCCCGUGCAUUCUUCUUUUCCCUGGGGAUGGAUGGUGUUGGGGUGGAACCUGGGAGUGCGUCCAUGGUGUGGACAGUGACGGGACCCUCAGAAGAGGUGGUGAGAUUAGGUCUCAGGACAUCUGACGCACCUGAGAUGAUGAAGGUGACGUGAACCGAACCGGUGCCUUGGUGUGCAGUGAUUCCCCGAUGGCAGCAGCCCAUGGCUCCUGGAGCCCGGGCGGCGUCCUCAUCUCUAUGACUCCUCCCCCUGAGGUCAGCCCUGGAGACGGAGGAGGUGAAACGAGGUGUGCAGAGUGUCCAGGGCAGGCGCCCCUCACUUGGGAAUGCUUCACGGUUGCUGUCCCUGCCGUGGCUCUCGUUCUUGGCAAGGGGAGGUGAGCUGGAAACACCUUCUGGAACUGGGAAAGAGUUAAGGGACACGCCAUCAUCCUGGUGAGGUCAGUGACUCCCCCCCCCCCCGCCCCCGUUUUCAUCUGCCUGCCAAGGGAGGGGCUGUUAGUUGUCACCUCUUCCAACGCUCACUACUUGGGCACUGUGGGCUUGUGUCAUGGUUGCCCUUUGUAUCUGUUGAAGGCAAGAAGUGAGAAGGGUGUGGCUUUAGACCAGGGCCCGAGGUCUCUCUUUCUUUGGUCAUGCUCUCCAUGGAGAUGUGGUAGGAGAAGGUGAAGCGCAGUUUCACCUUGAGGCAGAGGAUGUGACAGGGGACUCUGCUUAGGUGGCAUCCCUUCCGUGAAAAGAGGGGCAGCCCUUGAGAAAAGAUCCCUUUUCAGACAUGGCCUUUGGCUCAGGGUGACCAAAUGGUGAAUGGGGCGAUUUUCAAUUGUUGGCUCCAGAAAGAGAGGCCCAUCCUAAUUUUGUAAGCAUUUCCAAUGAGUAAAAACUGAAAUACAGAUAGUGCUUUUGGUUUUCUUUGGAAGGACAGAUUUUCUUUAAAGUUUUCAAAUUCUCAUGUUACCUCCAUUUUUUUUUUCCUCCUAAUAAUGCCCCCCGCAUCAAAAUCUUAAAGAAUUCUGUUUACUUAUUUUCCCAACUACAGAAGCUCUGUGCUUCUAGUAACAGAUCGAGAGCCUGGCAGACAAAGGAAGACGGAGCGCAGGUUUGUGCCUUCCAGAAAGACCAGUGCUUGCUUGAAGGCCAGUGUGGGGGGUGGGGCUGAGCUCAUCUGUGCUGAGCUACCCUCCACCCACCACUGACCAAAGGGCAUCUUUCCUCUAGAGGAAGGCCCUGCAGACCGAGGGCUGCUGGAGGCCACCUGUGGUGUCAGGCUCAUGAGUGUCCCGGGUGUGCAGGAGCAUUGCCAGCCCCGGGGCUGAGUGUUCACCUGCAGCCACUCUGUGCCCAGGGGAGCACAGGUCUGCUCAUCAGCAGUUAGGUGCCAUCUGUUCUCUGAGUCGUCACCCCAUGCACCCUGAUUUGUUAUUUCUUGAAGAUAGUGCUGGAAACGGGAGAUGCAAAAAAAAAAAAAAAAAAGAAAAUCUGCUGAAACACUUGUUAAAAAUUUAGGGGCAUUUUAGGCAAUUGCUUUAUUUAUCUAUCAUCAGCACAGGAAUUUCCCUAUAGAGAAAAUUCCCAUUUUUUUCCCCCAAAGCCAAACCAUGAUGUGCUUCUAACUCACGGAACACCAGUGCGGUAUAUGUCUAGGUCCUUAGUAACCCAAAGGGAGGAUACAGGGAGGUGUUAUUUGCAAAAGAGCCCCAGGAUUAGAGUCUAAUGGCAUAGUCUAGAGCAUCUCUACUGUGGCGGCAAGGACUUUCAUCCAACCAAAUAUAUAUUUUUUAAUGAAUGGAAGACACCGGUGCAGGGUGCUAGUGUAGUACCCCACAUUCUCAGUGCUCAGCAGUCUAGAAGUGUGACCUGCCUUGAGUGCUUGGAGGAUCGAAACAGCAUUUGGGGGCCCUGUCCCCUAUAGUAGGUGACUUAAGGGGCGAUCUGAAAGGGAUAACACAGGACCAAAUACUUUUUUUUUUUGUAUCAGGGAUUGAACUCAGGGGCACUUGACCACUGAGCCACAUCCCCAGCCCUUUUUUGUAUUUUAUUUAGAGACAGGGUCUCACUGAGUUGCUUAGUGCCUCACUUUUGCUGAGGCUGGCUUUGAACUCUCGAUCCUCCUGCCUCAGCCUCCGGAGCCACUGUGCCAGGUAUUCUCCUUGCUGGAGUUUUGAAGGUCUGUUUUGGUCCUGGGGAUUGAACAACAGGGGUGCUCUACCACUGAGUCACAUCCCAGCCCCUUCUUAUUUUGGGUUUCGAGACGGGGUCUCUCUAGGUUGCUGAGCUGGCCUUGCUCUUGUGAUCCUUUUGCUUCAGUCUCCCAAGUCCCUGGCAUCAUAGGCCUGGGCCACGACACCCGGCUUCCUUACUUCCUCGCUGGAGGUUUAACAGUAAAAAGAACCUGCCCCUGCACUUAGGAAGCCUGUAUUCAAACGGGAGGCAAAGUGCAUCUCCAAGUACAUGAAUAAAUGUAGAGUUUUAGGGAAGAGAAGGGAGGGGAGAAAAAGAAUGCAGGAUGAAGAGGCCACCGAGGAAACUGUGGGGCAUGUGAGUGGCGUCUUCCUUGGGGUUGUUGGUGGAGAGGCCUGCGGAGGUGACCUCUGGGCAGCCUGGACAUCCCAUCAGAGCAGGCAUCAAUGAGUAGAUACUAGGAGCGCCCUGGAAUGUGUGUGUGGUUAGUUUCCUGGGGCUGUUGGAGUGCUUGCUGCCUUCUAGGUGGCUUAAAGCUUACGGUUCUGGGUGCCAGAAGUCCCAAAUCAAGGUGCUGCCAGGCCUUUACUCCCUCCACAGGCAAGUCGGACGCAUGGAGCCUGCCUGAGUACAGGUGCCGGGGGAUGUUGGCUCAAUCCUGUGUGACCCACGGUUGCUCCAGAGGCUCAGCUACACUCUGCCUCUGCCUGGCCCGGUGUCUGGUGGCUCUGGCUGGCUCCCUUGCUUGUGGGGACAUCACUUGCAUCUUUGUUUCUGUCUUCACAGCCUUCUCCUCUUGUCUGUCUUGUCUUCUGUCCCCAUGAGAUCACCCGUCACUGGAUUUGGGGCGUACCUGGGUAAUCCAGGAUGAGCUCUCUUGAAAUCCUUAACUUCAUCUGUGAAGACCUUUUCCCAAAGGGGGCCAUCUGAGAGUUAGAAUGUGGACAGAUUUCGGGGCGGGGGGUGUUAUCAUCUAACCCAAUAAAAUCUGGACCUAGAGGAAUCAUUCCUAUGGCAAGUGUUAAAAUAAAACAUAGCCCCCGAGCAGAGACCUGGCGCCCCGCUGCCUUGCAGCCAUGUGGCUUGAUGAAGCUGCAUUUCACGGGAAAGGGGGAGGGAGCAGCCCUGAGCAUUGGUGAGAUGCACAGCAGGGUCUUGCUACUGUGUUGCUGCAGAGGGCCGGUGACACUGCCCGCUCAGCAGGGUUCCAGCCUGACUUACAGUGGUAGCUUGAGGAGGAAAUCAAGUAGCAAGGGGUAGCUGGGGGUCUUCACGGGGAUACCUCCUAGGACAAAUAGCAGCUCUUCUGGGUUGAGAAGUUGAGAAAACACAAUUAGGACUAACGGAACUACUGAGACAGAGGCUGGGGAGAGGGGGCGAGACCAUCCUCUGGGGUUUCACAAGUUAGUGAACAGUCUGCAUGUAGGCAGGAGGCUGGGCUGCUUGCAGACGUCAGCAGCUUGGGAAGCUGAGCCCUUAGCCCAAGAGGAGGUUUUAUUGCACUGAGCAAUCGUGACCUGUGGGAACGUGGGGUGCACAGGCGCUCCCAGAGUGGCUUGGCCUGCCACCCACCUCCAGGGGGCGGCCACUCUGUUUGACUCUACUGUUCAGGCUUUCUCCUGUCAAGUCUCUUGCAGAAGGAGGCAGGGAGGAGCACGCUCCGGAUGCCCAGGGCCUGCCUGAGUCGGGGGUGAUGUUUGCUCAAUCCUGUGCAACCCAGCUGUUGCUCCAGGUGCUAAGUUAGACACUCGGUAAUUAGCGGGGCUAAUUUAUUUAAUCAUGUUUGUGCUGAUUUUCUUCUCCUGGUUGCUCUUCUUGCCCUGAUCCUUCAGGUUUUCCUGGAUCCACUCCCAGGUGUGUUUGUUGGAAGGUGGUGUUGAGGGAGGAUGGUUCCUCCUGGAUGCCAGAGAUGAGAGCGAGCUCUAGCUUGGUGAUGGGGAGCGGGGGAGUGCUGGUCUCCUCCGGAUUCUGGACCAAAGUUUCUCAGCCUCGGCACUAGUGAUGUCUGGGGAUGGAUAUUUCUGUUUCGUGGGGGCUGUCCCGCGUGACAUAGGAUGGCCUCUAUCCACCAGAUGCCACAUCAUUGGUGCAACAACCAGAAAUGGUCUCAGACCCAACAAGACAUCCCCUGGAGGGUCAGGACUGCUCCCUGUAGAGACCUUCUCUGUUGGAUCGUAAUACUGACCACUGAUGUAUCUGACAUGGGCCUUUUGGAUGAAAAAUGUUCCUCAGAGUUCACACCCUCCUCACGACUUCUGCUCUCUCUAUGGGCCUGCCAUAGAAUAAACUGGUUAAGGGGCUGGCUUGGGGACCACGGCCUGCAUCUCUGUCCCCUCAGAGGGGACAGAGGCUCUUUUCCUGAAGAUAUACAAUCCUGUAUCCAAAAAGGAGGACAACAGGUGGCAGGGUUAGCGUCACCAGGACCAGGGAAGCAGAACCAGAAAAGCCACUUCUGUGUGGAAGGUGUAAACGGAGCUUCACCGGCAGCUCACAGGGAACCAAUCCAACAUGGCAGCCGAGGCCUGGGAGAGAAGGGCUGUGUCCUUCUUGUGUUGCUGACUCCCCUUGGGGCCAGCUCUCUUGACCUGACUUCUUGGGAGGUCAAGCCGGGUCCCCAGAGCCUUGGCCUCCUAUCCAAGGGCCUGGUUCAUUCUGGGGUCUCCCACAGAAGCCAGCCUAGUGCUUUGCAUGGAAAACACCUAAAAUAUCUGAAGCAAAUACAUGAAGAUUGACAUGUCUCUUGUAAGGGUCCAGGGGGCCUGCAGUGGGUCUGCAAGGAAGGGCAGGAAAUAAGACAGGAGGGACAGAGCUUCCGGAAGAACUCGUAGCCUGCCUCGUGCUGUCCAGCCACGGAGGCCGUUCUGAAUUCAUGUUUAGAGUUGGCCAUGUUUAAAGGAGGACAAAGGGAACAGAUGAAAUCCAUUUUAAUAACGUAUUUUGCGUAUAACCCAGCAUACCCCAGCCUUAUCAUUCCAGAAUGCAACUGGCAUGCAAAUCAUCAGUUUGAUAGUAAGUGGGUUUGUUCAUCCUAAGGCUAGGAGGUGCCCUGCGUUUUAUACUCACAGUGUCUCUUAGUUGGUGCUGGUCACCUCUCCUGUGCUGUCUCCUGGUGCCUUCUGCACUGGACUGUGCAGGUCUAGAGAGGUAGACGGAAUGAGUAAGUUUUGGAGAUAAACUGGGGUGGGGAUACAGCUCAGUUGGUAGAGUGCUUGCCUGCAUGCACACUGCCCUGGGUUCAAUCCCCAGCACCAUCAAAAAAAAAAAAUAUUGGAGAUGAACUAUUCCUCCUAGAAGAGGAAUGAGAAAUGAAUGUGAGGACCCGUGGGGACAGGGUUUCACCAGCAAAGGCCCAGGGCCCAGGAGCUCUGCCACUCUGGCCCCUCCCCACCUCCCCAGGGCAGCCCUGGCUGCUGCUCCCCCUCCCCCUCCCCUUGGUGAUCCACUCUAUUCGCUUUUGUUUCAAACGAAUGAGCACACAAAAAAGGGCCUCCACAUUCCACUGGGAGUCUUAUUCAAACAUGGCAGUGCUGGUUUUCUCAAUUAAUCAGGAGUGCACCCCCGCCCCAAGCCGCUCCUGCUUUCUCCGCAUCUUAAUCGGGGCCCACUCUUGAGGCCUUGGGAUAGUUUCAGCAGCUACAUUGACACCGGCCCAAGUGGGUAGGAACCACACGGGUCUGUCCAGGUUUCCCUUUCUUUCCUCUUCUGCUAAAGAGAAACCGGAGGAGACUUUUCCUUGAAGGGACAAAGGGAGGCAGGUUGGGAGAGGUGGAGUUCAUGACGGUGUCCAGGAAGGAGAGGAGACACAGGCUCACAGAGCUGGGAGGUCUCCUUUGAAAGACCCUUGGCUUUCUCCCGGGCACCUGGGCUGAGCUUCACUUCUGUGUGUCUUCCCCCUGUCGUGGCUGAGCACUCAGAGCCCCAGAGGUCUGAUCUUGUCCUUCUGACACAGGAAGCCACCUUGUUCUGUUGCUGGUUCACCCUGGAAUCUCCCACAUGGCCUGUGGUGGGAGUCUUGGGCUGAGGCUAAUUGGGCAACUGCUGCCCUGGGGGGGUACUCUCAUUGCUGUUCAGAAGUGGGUCUUCCCCUCAAGCCCCGCCCCUGCCAGUCCACCUGUGGUCUCAACCAGAGGCUGUCCUGCCCCUGGCCCCAGGGGGCAUUUGGCAAUGCCCGAAACACUUUUGGCUCCUAUAGCUGGUGGGAGAGAGGGGCAUACCUGGUAUCCAGUGGGUGGAGGAUGGGGAUGCUACCGAAUGUCCCUUAGUGCAAAGGUCAGCCCUCUUCCCAGCAAAGAAUGAUCAGCCAAAAAUGUCAAAAAUGCCAGAACUGAGAAACUGUGUCAGAGCAUCUAUCCUGUGGAUUUUCAAUAUCUUCGUCACUGAGAGAACCUUCUCUUAACCCCCAGAAGGCCUUGGGAGGGGUUGGCUGCACUUGAGCGUAUAAAUGAUUAAAUCACUACCUUGCUUAUCAGUUAACACCUUCCGGGCUUUGUGGGCAGCCAUCUGAGAACAAGACCUGAAUCUGGCUGGGUGCCUGAGGUGGGGGGUGGGCAGCUUUCUAAUAUUUUAAGUGAGGGGGAUGCCUUCCUGUUGAGGGUCUCAGUUUGUUCUCUCCAAAGCCACCUGUGUGAGCAAAGCCCAGGAGUGGUCUAGUUUGGGACUCAGGUUUGCCUCUCUUAGGCUACAUUAAUAAACCAACCUUUACUGGCAAGGAAGCUUCUCUGCAUGGAUUAGGCAAAGGGGAGCACUCAGAAUUUCCUAUUGCUCUUUGUAGGGUCAGAGGCAGCCAGCAAAGGUUGCAUGUGAGUGGAAAAAGGCCGGGGGCAGGGACCAGCCUUCUGGUCUACUGAGCCCAAGGUGUGUGUUGGCCUUGAAGUUGACUCAGGAUGGGUGGCAUCCUUGUGCCAGGCCACCUGGUCUCCAUUCUGUCUUUCUGCAGGCCAUGGCUAGCCCUGAGACUUUCCCACAGCUCACGUAUCCCCAGGCUCUUUGGAAAUGCUCACUUCUAGCACUCUGGGUCAGCGCACCAGGGUGGCAUAUCCCAGGUCCGUGUGUAGCAGUGCACGGACCCCGUCCAGGGAGGCCCUUCCUUCCUGAGCACCUGGGGUCCCGAGCCUGAAGACCCCAGCACAACCUUGACUUUGCCUUACCUCACCCAGAGAAGCUCUUCUCAGAGGAGCCGGCUGCUGGGCCACCCGGGAGUUUGCGCAGAGGGCUCUGAGGUCCUGGGCGAUCUGCAGUCUGUCAUGACUGACAGUCUCUGUGCUUGUCUCUCCUCCUGGUCUUCAGAGGUUAAAAGGCAUUUGGGGCCUGAAGGGAAGAGAGGUCUUAAUUCUGGGAUGCUGAAGGACGGGGAAAAAAAUCUCUGCUGUGGUUGAAAAGAAAAAUGUGACUUAGCAGGAUCCAUGCUUGGCCAUUUCCUUCCCGGUAUCGUUUGAAUAGACUUCCAGAAGUUCAUUUGACCUUUGCAUCUUUUGUUUUAACCAUGAAUAUUGCAUUUCUUUCCAUAUGUUUCUAAAUUGUUGUUAUUAUUACAAUCGUUAUUAGUGUCUGUCCUUAUCUGGUCUUCUGACCUCAAAGAACUUUGGCAGGUGUCGUUAAAUGGGACUGACUCUAGAUUAGGGUAAGAAGAUCUGUCCCUGGAUGGCUGUGUGACCUCUCUGAGCCUCAGUUCUUCAUUCACAAAGUAGAGCCCUCUGGACCUAGCAGGAGUUGUUGCCAGGCUCAAAUGAGCUAAGGUCAAUGCACAAGCUUUGUAAAGUAUGACAAACAAGUGUUUUUGAUUAUUUGUACAGGGAGAUUUUUACUUUUCCCAGAGGAGACCUUCCCGUAGUCCCAGGCAGGAGCCUUCAUUAACAAGCAUGUCACUCCUGAGCCCUUCUCUUGCUUUCUAACCUCCUGCCUCCAGGGUUCAGGGCAACUGCUUAUUGGAGAGGACAGGAGUGGGGUGGGAGUAGGAAAGGGUCGGAAUUUGGAGUAAUCGCAGUGGUUGUCUAAUUAUAGAUCCUGCUCCCCAUUAGUCCCAAAGCUGUGUGCAAGGAGCAUAAAUCAUUUGUGUCUCUCGAGGGAAUUCACUCUCCUUCCCCCAUGCCCCUGCCACCGUGCCCUGCAUUCCGAUUCACCACCAAAGGCGAAACUCACUCCCUCUAAUAAGUUUCUUUCCCCAGUAAAAACCAGGUGGGGGGUGUGGGCAACCCCACAGCUGCCAGGCCAGUCCCUUGGGUCCCAAGGCGAAUUCCCCUCCUUCUGCCAACUUCCAUUGGCAAUUUCUUUUGUUCUUUAAUCAUUUUGUGCGGCCAAUAGCCUUCUGCCACCUUGACGGGCUGACUGUCCCUUGGAGGUGGAGGGAGCAGAGGGGGAGAGAGGGAGCCCAGAGGGGAGGGGCAUUGGAGAAAGGGGAGGCCAGGCAGCCCAUUAAAGAGGAAUAAAUUUUGCAGAGGGGAAGCGAGAGGUCCCUCCCUGUGUCUCUGUAAAUCAUCUUGUUUUAUGGACGGGAUGGGAAGGGAAAUGGGAGAUGGGCUCGCCCUGAUAACCAGGGUCAUUUCUCCUGCUUAUGUGUGUCUGAAUUUUAGGAUGUUCCGUCAGAGAGCAGCUCUGAGUGGGAGACCGCUGGGGCUCCUCUCCUGAAUUUAUUAUCCUCAUUAUUACUCGAGAAUCAGAACCACAGUUACUUAAGGAGAGCACUUGGAGAGUUUUAUUGCAAAACCCCCUGGUUUGUUUCUGUCUCCUGUUGUGCUGUGGGUUCCCAGCCACAGCUGCGUGGGCAUCAUGGCUACAAGGACAGGAUUUUUGUAGGUGGUUGGAAAUGGCUUCACUUUUAGAAGUUAGGUUAUUUUUCUGCCAGAAAGCUUCUUUCAGACCCAAAGUUCUCAUAACCUUAGGAUCUCAGAGCUUUCUUCUCUUUGUCGAGUUAACUGAUCUUUCAACCAGAAAUGGAUUCUUCUCCUUGGGGGCGGAAUCCACAAACCGGCAGCCCCAGAGGCCUGGGUAUGGGUGUGUUUAUUUUUUUACUUAUGUCAUGUGCUAAAAUGGUUUCAGUUAUCUGCUAAUAUUUAAAUUUGGGACAUUUCAUAUGAAAUUUUGGAUCUUUGGUUUUGCUUGAAAACGUAGGACCCUUGGGGACACUGUGUAGGCUUUGGGAGCUGCAAAGGGUCACAUCCUUGUGACCAAUUCUUCUCCCCACCAGCCAAUUGAACUCAUUUCUGUUUUCUGCCUAAUCCUGGAAGGCCACUGAGUUUGAGUCCCCUAUCUGCCUUAGAGGAAGGCUUAAAUCACCCACUGAAACAAAAGGGGUACAUGAUAGACCUGUGGAUAGAGUUGGGGUCAGUGCUGAGGGAGAGUAGGGCACCUCUCUGGAAUGUGGGCUGCUUUGGCAGGUGCCAGUGUACUGACUGAUUUGGAACUAGAUCCGCUUCCCAGUAGCUGUGUGACCAUUAGUAGUUUAAAAAGAUUUAUAGCCACUUACAUAAGCAAAAUCUUUCAUGAAUGUCAAACGUGUGGGGUGGUUGGACGUGGCCACCGAAAGUGCUUGGAGAGUCAGGAGGAGCGUGGCUACUAUACCAUCUUCCCCGAGACCCCCAAGGGGAGGCCCCCGAGGACAUAGAGCUGUAACCAACCAGAUGGUCUGCGAGGCCUCUCUCGAUCCAGCAUGGCAGGAUUCCGGCCUGUGUGAGCAAGGCCUGUUCACUGACGGCUCCUCGGUUAAUUGUUCUGAGCUCCUCCUAGUGAGGAUCUCGUGAAAGGAAGAGUGUGUUUAUGCGUGUGCCGGGGUUAGUGUUCACUCAUGAUAUGUGAGCACCUACUCUGUGCAGAGUGCUGCUGUUGGCUCCAGAAGUGUCAGACCUGGUCCCCACUCUCAAGGGGAUGGCAGGCCUGCGGGACGUGGAGUGACUGAGUGCUGGGUCACCACCAGAAACCUCCCUGGGAAGCAUGUGGCUGGAGUGUCGGGCAAACCUGGGAGGUGGCGGGAGAGGAGGAGGAAUCCUGAGAGGCCUUGGAGGAUGACUAGCUGGGCAUACUGGUGCCCAGGGUCAGACCUGGCCCGGGCGGGGCUUCCCAGGUUUGGCAAGUGGCCCGGUGGGAGUGGGGGCCUGAAGUGGAGGAGGUGGGUUUCAAAUGGUGGGCAGGCCAACAAGAGGAGGGUCUCAAUAGUCAGACCUGAGAAAUUUGGAAAGCUUUAGAGCUAGAGAUGGAUUUGCCCAGUCUCUGUGUCCGGAUAAAGAGCGGGAGAGGGCAGGGGAGCAAGGGCUGUUUGGUGGACAUCAGGGGUGAUAGCGAGGGUCCAGGGCGAGGCUUCAGAAAUGGUGAUGAGAAUAGGGGACACUACAGAGAUGAAAUCAACAAUGCAGGGACCAAACACUCCUGGGGAAAGAGAGGUGCUUCCACGAUGGCAGAAUGCAAGCUGGUCAAGCAGGCAGUAUUUCCCAGGUGACUCCACACACACUCCUUGAGCAUCUUCCCUGAGCUCAGGUCUGGGUGUAAUGAACCAGCUGAGGUGGAGGAUGCACGAGGGUUUCCACUGUGUUUUUGCAGCUGCCUGGGUAUUGUACCUGCCACAGGAGAUGGGGAUUCAGAGCCAGGUAGAGGCAGAGGGUAGUGCUUGAUUUAUUUAGACAGCAUUUGCUGUAUUCCUGCUCUGCAUCAGAUAAUGCCUGGUCCUGGGAUAACUGCAGGUACAGAGUCUGGUCACUCAACAAUGGUGGGAGAUACGCCCAUGAAUGAAGAAAUCAUGAGAGUCACUGGUGCUUCAAGAGAGGGGGGGGACCAAACGGUGAAGCUGAGCCCAGGUCAAAAUCUCUGUGCACAGCACAUUGGGGAGAGACGGAAGGGGUGUGCAUUCCCUUCCAGCAAAGGAGUAGCAGCAGUCUGCAAGAGAGUGGGAGAACAGGGGAGAUGGGUUCCUGGAGAACGUGACAGUGUGUGGAGGCAGAUGAGUGGAGGGGAACACAGGAGUUGAGGCCAAGAGAAGAGGCUCACUCCCGAGACAAGCGUUUCCUGUGGCUUGAAUGCCCUGUUGCAGUGUCUUCGGAUCUGAGUGGAGUUCAUCACGCCGGCAGAAACAGAACGAAGCCAAGCGUGCACCUGAGCUCAACCAGAGCCCUGAACUCACUUGCUCCUCACCUUUUCCACCCGCCUCCCCUCCCCUCGCUGCACAAGAGCGCCCUUGGAGAAGAGGGCAGGGGACGGUGCUGUGUUGAAAAUGGGCUGUUUGGUUAGGAGACUUGGACUGUUCAAACAAGCCCUCCUGGCCCUGGCAUUUCUUGCCGUUGGAAAGGUGACUGGGUCUCUGAGACUUUGGUUGGAGUGGGAUGAGGCAGGGAGGUGGAAUCCUGCAGGUGUGGCCUCUGCCAGGGUUGCCAAUGUUUUGCUGCUGAGGAGCAGGACCCGCGCACACCGCGCAGGGCUAAUGACAGGGCUCCGCAGGUUGGAACACGAUCGAGCCCUUCAGCUCGCACAUGUGUGGUUGGGCAAAAGACAAUCGCAGAUGUUCCUGGAAUUCCCAAACCGGAUACAACAUUGCUAGCAGGAUGCAGAGAGAGCGGUGGGAGCCAAGUGCUUUUAUGUAAUGAGAAGCUGUCUCCUCCUGCUCAGCCUCUCUCGGCACAGUGGCGAUCUGGCCUCAUUUUCCUAAGGUUCGAGGAUUAGGAAACCCUUGUGCGUGUGUCUGGAGGGUGGAGGGAGCACCAACAGACAGCUUUUUUUGCUCUGGUUGGUUUCCGUGGCUUUCCACCGGGUGUGGUGGCCCAGAGGCAGCCAGGCAGUGUGCUCUUCUCCCCUUGGCGCCGGGAUGGAAAAGAAGUCGGGCAGUGGGCCUAAAACUGAAAGCAGCCACCCAACUCUCUCCCCCCAGCUCGGGGGGUGUGGAGAGGGGGUGGCAUUUGAGUGGAAUUUUCUAUGGGAGGCAGCAGGAGGGAGACCCAGCUUGGAGGGCAUUUGUGCAUCCAGCCCGGACAGCGGAGGCUAAUGGUGGGAGGAGGAUAGAAAUGCAAUAUUGCAAGACCAGAGCAAUAGAGGCCUAGGUCUCCUGUGGCAGGGGCAGAAGGGGGGGUAGCAUGUGGGGCAGAACUGCUUCUGGGGCGCUGGGUAGAGCCUCCCAAGGUAGUGGGCCCCUCCCUCCUCCAGAGCUUAGCCGCACUUCUGUGACCCACCAUAUAAGAUACUUGAUUUCUCUUUUUCUGAUAGUGGCACCUAAUCGUCUGUAAAACGAAGCUCCCUCCUCCCCAGGCCCAACACUAAUGGUUCUUGGAGUUCAUCUGAGCUGUCUCAGUUUGCAGAACGUUUGAGGAGGAAUUGACACAGAAGGGCAG
rnacentral:lncRNA from 1 species